GUUUCCUACCUUUAGCUUGCUUGACCCACUUCCUAUCUGAUCCUUCGAUACUUGGCUUAAAGGUCAGGGGUUGGAAGUUUCUCCCAGCUUGUUUGGUUUCGCUCAACUUCACCAUGGGGCGCCUAGGAUCAGGAUAUCUCCUGGGAUCAAAAAACCUUUUCGGCUUACUCGCUUGAAUAUUAUGGAUGGAUUUACGGCCAUUUUGGUGAUUCACUCUCCUAACCCCUUCUAGAUUAUGGGUUGCCCUUUUGUCGAAGACAACACUACACCUGAGGCAUAUCAUAACUUCUGAUUUCUUUUUUUGGCACCUUCAGAGGAAGUCCGACAGUGUUUCUUCCUCUUGAGGGAAGGCGAUUUUGUUGUAUUCCUCUUGCCAACAUUCAUCAUCGACUUCCAUGGAGACUUCUCGAGAUACCUCCACCAUAUUAACUUCCAUGUGAAUAUCCUCAGUAAUAUCCAACCUUUGGAAUUGUUUUUGAAGGCCGUCGGUGGCCUUGUCCAACUGAAUGAAAUUAUCAGCGGUCUCUUUAGUGAUCAUCACUAACUUUGAAUUUCCAUCACCCUCGACAUCUGAGGCUUCAACAUUUAUUUCUUAACAUCCUCUGUACCCCUUUGGGCGAAACCGUCAAGAGGUUCCUGCUCGAAGUGCUCAUGUACUUUAACCAUGACAAACCUAUGGACAAAGUCUUGAGUAACUUCGGUCAUGCAGAAAUAAUCACCGACUUUAAUGAAAUUCACCUCCUCUGGCUCAAUAUAAUGAGCUUCAACGAUUUGUAGAGGAUCAGAGUCGAUUUUCAUCUGGCUCUAUGUCUUAUCAACGAACUUGAGUCUUCCCUCCUAGAUUGCAUUCUGCAACAGAUCCCUGAAAAGAAAACAUUGAGACGUUUUAUGAACCAAAAAACUAUGGUAUUUACAAAACCCUCGUUUCUUUCUUUGUUCUAAAUAGGGUACUUUAGCACCCGGAGGUACUGUCAUUUGACCAUCUUUGACCAGUAAGUCAAAAAUUUCGUCACAUUUUAUAACGUCGAAUGUAUAUGUUUUCUUAGGAAACUUGUGAUUCUUUUCAGAUUCGACAGGGUUUUUCCCGUUCGAAUGAGCUAAAACUUUGCACGCAUAUGGUGGCCCUUGUGUUAAUUCAGCAAGGUCGAUCUCAAUAUCAUCGAAGUCUGGAACUUCAUGACCUGAAUAUUCGUGAUCUUUCCUAAAAUCGACAUAGGCUACCUUUUACCUUUGUUCGUCCUAGCCUUUUCUUCUUUUAAACGCUUUACCUGUCAAACUCUGUCAGCUAAUUGGGACAUAUCCCUUAGGUAUUAAGUAUCCAAUUUCUUUCUAAUCGAAUAGUCAAGGCCCCCAGCGGCCAUUUCGACCAGCUCAUGCUCUGGUACUUGUGUAAAACACCUGGCUUUGAGCAGUCAAAAUCUAUUCAGGUAGUCAUCAAUUGGCUUAGUGAAUUUCCGUCUGACACUAGCCAACUCUUUCAAACUUAUCUUCGUUUGCCGCAUGUAGAACUCUUCAUGGAACAUUCUAUCCAGUUGGUUCCAUGAGUGGAUUGAAUUUUGGGGCAAAGUUGUGAACCAUGUGAAAGCAUUCUUUGUAAGAGAACUUGGAAAAAAUUCCAUCUGAAGACUCUCGUUAUUUGACAUAUCCCCAGCUUCAAUUAAAUAUCUCACCACGUGUUCGACAAUAGACUCAGUAGUAUCCCCAACAAACUUGGUGAAUUUAGGGAUUUUGGUCCUUAUGGGUGCAUCCGUUUGCAGGACAUACUCUGCUAAAGGCGACGUAUAAUUUGGUCUUCUAAGUCCAAAAUUUACCCCAUUUCGAACCAUAAUCAUUUCGACUAUGGCUGAUAGGUUAUUAUCUGGUGUCGCAUCAUCAUGUCGAACUUGCCGUAUGAUAUCAUCAGCAUUUUGAUUUCUAUUUACCAUUAGCACCCUUGGUUCCCUAGGUACAUGUGGUUCAAUCCUAUGGGGUGCUACUACCCCCCCCCCCUUGAUUUUGUGGGAUCUGGUUAAUAGUGAGGUCUUCCUCAAACGUGGGCUCUUGACUCUUUCUUAUCCAAUCCCUAGGCAGGGGACACUGGUGCUGAGGUAUACCAAGAAACUCAGACAUACGAGCCACUUGUGUUGUCAUCUGUUGAUUCGACUGAGUUGUAUUCUAAAUCAGAGGAUUUAGCACAGUGGUCAAAGUUUGAGUUAACAUUUGGACCAUUUUAUGAUUGCUUUCUUCCAUCUGUUACCUCCAUGUUGCCGUAGAAUUAUUGGUAAGAGUGGGUAGUUGUACUGAGUGUCUUAGACCUAACACUUGAUUGGUUCGACCCGUGUUUAUCCGGACCCUUGCACUGGUGAAUUUAUGUUAGCCUCCGGUUCCGAAAAAGUAGAACCCACGCUCUGUAGAUUAGCCAUCAUUGAAGUUGGCAUUCCAUACGGUUGUUCUCGACCGCUAAAUGGUAUUGAGAAACCAGGGGGUACCAAUGACCUAUUUGGGAUGUCCUAAUUGGUGAUGGAGUGUGAGAAGGUCCCCUAGGUCUAAUGUAAGUUAGAAUUGGUUCAGAAUGGGAGAUCGAAUCCGUAGGCAUCGAACUCGCUAUAGACAAAACUACUUCGGACGCAUGUGUUGCGCUCGUGUUUGUCCCUAUCGAAGAAGAAGGGGGCACUAUGUUGCUAGUUGGUAGAUUUUGAGAAUUCUGAGUUUCUGGCGGGUUCAUAUUCGCCAUCCUCGUCUGGGAUUCUCUCCCUGUUCGUCGUUCGUUGUCUAUGGCUAUUUUACCACUUCUUAAAAGCAUACAAUGACUCUUUUCUCAAGCAAAACUUAGCAAUCAAAAAUGUUACAUAAUACGCGACGUUAGCACUAGUCCCACUGGGCGUGCCAAUUUGUUUACCUUGAAAAUUGGUAAACAACCGUUGAUCUUCCAAAUUUCUAAAUUUGGUCACUCACAGGAUCGAUCAGAUUGAUCCUAGGACAUGUGCUAAGUGUCUCGUAAUCGUGGUAGUAAUAAAUGAUCAAAACUAAAUGCCAGAUCAGAGUUUUAAAGAAACUAAGGAAAACAGAGUGAUUUAAUGAAAAAGAAAAGUCUUAAAUUAACGUUUGGAACUAGUAAAGAAAAAUGAAGUAAACGACGGAAAUUGUAAAGGAUUGAAAAUAAUUAAGUGAAAAGUUUGCAAGUACUGGAAUCUUAAGAUUGUAAGGUAAAAAUUGAAGGUAAGGAAAGGAGUGAAAGGAUCUUAAAUUUGCAAAUGACAAAGUAAAAAUAAAGCGUUUAAAAGGAAAAAACAAGGAAGAGUGUUUCUGAAAAGAAAGUAAAGACAGUUUUAUAAUACUUUGAAAUGAUUAAACAUACAUCCUGCGUUUUAUAGUUCUUCUUCACACGAAUACUUAGUAAAUUUUCAUAUUUUGUACACAAUUUGACACACACUUUUCUAACACUAAGACCCUAUAUUUAUACUAGAUCGAAAUAACUGCUUUGAUGGUCCUUCAAUCACGUCGAUACAUGUGGCGCCCUGCAUGCGUGCAUUCGCUCACCCUGCUCCACGUGUGUUGUUGCGGCUUCUUUGAUCGAAAAUCGUUUUUCAACCGCUUCUCAAGGAACUGCUCAUAAAAUUCAGCUAUGAGCAUGAUCUUUAUCCAAUCAGCUAAGUCGAUCUACCUCCAGCUGGUUGAAUUACUUCUUGGUCGAAACUAGUUGUACAUAUUUUCCAAUUUUGGUAAUUUGGAGUGGGCGUCAAAAAUAAGUUCUCUUAUAGAGAGAUUGUUCCAUGAACAGUUCUACGUGGGACAAUUGAAAAUAAGUUUGAAAGAACUAGCCAGCGUCAAACAAAAGACCGCUAAGCCAGUCAAUCAAUACCUCAACAGGUUUAGACUUUUAAAAAGAAGAUGAUUUACUCAAGUCCUUGAGCACGAAUUAGUCGAAAUAGUUGCAGGAGGUUUAGACUAUUCUAUCAGGAAAAAGUUAGACACACAAUGUCUUAAGGAUAUGGCACAAUUAGCUGAUAGAGUUCGAAAAAUCGAACGCUUGAAAGUUGAAAAAACCAAAAUUAGUAGAUACCAUAAGAAAUAGGAAGUGUUUUAUGUAGCAGCUGAUGAAUACUCUUCUGACGAUGAAUAGCUUGUCGACGAAAGCGAAGUCAACGUGGCUGAGCUCAAGCCAGGAACUCCUUACACGUGUAAAUUUUUGAAACCAUCAAACGGGAAAAGUCUCAUCGAAAUGGAGAAAACAGAUAAAUACGUUGGUAAAACUUAAACUUUCAAUGUGUCUAAAUGUGACGAGAUAUUUGAUUUGUUAGUUAAAGAUGGUCAAAUUAUUAUUCCUCAAGGUUUAAAAGAUCCCCCAUUAGAGAAGAAAAAGACAAGGGGAUUAUGUAAGUUUCAUAAUUUUCUUGGUCAUAAAACAUCUCAAUGUGUUUUUUUUAGGGAUUUGGUGCAGAAAGCUUUGACAGAGGGAAAGCUUCAAUUUGGAGAAAGGCCAAAGAUGCAAGUAGACACAAAUCCUUUGAAGGUCGAAGAAGCCUUAUAUUCUGAGCUUUUCGAAUGCAUGAUGGUUGAGACUACUGAUGGUCUCAAUGAGUCUUUGGCUGCAUAAUCUUUUAAAUGCAUGAUGGUUGAAACUACUGAUGGUUUCGACAAAAAGAUUGAAGGCAGUUUAUCCUCAAGCUGGAGAAGACUUGCCUGAUUUCCAGGAGAAAUGUUGAGUGAGUGGGUCAAAGGCGGUGCUAUGUGUUGGUGUAAGCCCUAGAGGCCAAUACUUUUGGUACUUGUAUCGAAUUAUUUAUUAAUAGUAAAAGGCAUUUUCUUUAUUAUGGUUUAUUAAUAAAGUCCCUGGAAUAGAUAGUCCGUUUAAUGUAUUAAGUGUGACUUAAUCAUGAGAGCACAUUAAACAUAAGGACAUCAUUCUUAAAGUAUUCAUAGUCGAGCUUUAGUGUGAAGUGGGAUAACAUUAAAGCAUUAAGACUAUUAUGUUUGUAGACUGAUGAUCACAUCUCAUGGAUCAUGGAUAAAGAGUUAUCAAGUCUUAAACAUAGGUAUGAACAUUAGGAGUAAUAUUUAUACUGGAUUGACCCGCUAUGAGAAUACUAUAUAGAAAGUUAUGCAAAGUGUCAUAAGUUAUUCUCAUGGUGAUAAUAGUGUAUACCACUCUUCGACCUGAAACCACUAUGGAUCCUAGAUGUAGAGUCGAGUGCUUUAUUGCUGAUCCAACGUUGUCCGUAACUGGAUAACCAUAAAGACAGUUGAUGGGUACUCCACAAAGCAUGUUGAGGGACAUGAGUGUCCUAGAUGGAAUUUGCCCAUCCUGCGUUACAGGAUAAAUGUCUAUGAGCCCAAUAUUGACUGGACAAGGAUGACACGGUCUAUACCUUGUGUUCAAUAUAGACAUAAGGGCAAAGGGGUAAUUAUACACAUAUCACAGGAGGUUUUGUCAGAUCACAUGACAUUUUCGUGUCUUGGGUAGCAGUGAUGUGUUGCUAGAUACCGCUCACUGUUUAUUAUGUUAAAUACGUGAUUUAAUAUAAUUGCCAACGCCAUGAAAACCUAUAGGGUCACACAGAAAGGACGGAUUGAUGAGAGAUAGAGUAACUAAGGAACAUCGUAAGGUACGGCGUACUUAAGUAGAAUACAAAAUAUGGUAAGGUACCAAAUACUUAAGUGAUUUUGGCAUAUUAUGAGAUAUGGGCCAAAAUACACUUAAGUGGGCUUUUUGGCUUGAAGCCCACACAAGUGGUUCUAUAAAUAGAACUCUUGUGCAGAAGUAUUCUAUGGAAAUACAACACAACUGAAGAGUUGGAAUUUCGUAUCUCUUUCUCUCACUCAAAGCCUUCAUUCAUAACAGCUAGCACUGCGAUUGAAGGAAUCCGUUCGUGUGGACUGAGUAGAGAGACGUUGUCAUCGUUCAAUGUUCGUGACCGCUCCGUGGAUUUGUAUCCAAGGUUUUUGAUCGUCACAAGAGAUCUGCACCAAAGGUUUGAAUCGCCACAAGAGGUAACGAUUCUAUCACUGAUCAUGCCCAUUCGUAAGGAUCACUAAAUGGAGAAAUUUUUAAAUUCCGCUGCGCCUUGGAUGGCAAUUCUCCUUCACUAUGUCCAAGGUGCAAUGGUGUUUUCAAUGAGAAAGUCGUUGAGAAGUAUGAAUCUGACAAGAAGAAUGCACUGGAAGAGGAAAAGCCCAACAUCCCAAGGUUUGUGUUCGAUAAAAGUGGGGCACCUCGUCGAAAUUAAGAGUACAUAAGGAAAUUCCAGCAGCCUCGACCAAAGACCUUUCGUCCUCCGUCGGAUAUGCCACAAGAGAAGUGGGUGGAACCUGUGAAUCAGAAUGGGAGCAAAACACCAAAAUGGAAAGUGCUUGAUCUAGAGAAAGAAGCAAAGACUUUAGAGAAGAGGGUCGAACCCAGAGGUUAUGUGGUUUCCCCUAAUUACAAAGGGAAAAACCCUAUGCCAAGAAUGCAAUGGAGGCAUUAUCAAAGAAACAAGAAAGUUGGGAAAGAGGCUUCGACUUCACAGUUGAAACCUGUCGAAACCUCUGGAUAGAAAAAACAAUAUCUAAAAGGAAUGUGGGUUGAAAAAGGGAAAUCGUGGCAAACCAGACAAUGGCCAUGACCAUGGACUCUUCAGGAGAGAAAUGAAUAGUAUCAACCCAAAGCACAAAAUGCACAUCUCUGGUCGAAGAUAAGAAAGAACCUAAAUACACUCCUCAGUCGAAUGAGGAGGAGCUUGAAUAUUCUCCUCAGUCAGAUGAGGAAGAACCUGAGUGUUCCCCCCAGUCUGAUGAAGAAUACAAUCUAUCACUAGAUGACGAUAUGUAUGAUUAUACUAACAAUGAUACUUAUGGUGAAGAUUUCAUCGUCAAUUGUGGCAUCGUGUCGGUAUUGCCUGCCGAGUAUGAUAUGGUGUCAGAAGUCUCUGAAGCCGGCGAGGAUUUUGUACCAGAUGAAACUGCUGAAGACAAACAAUUAUGCUACUAUUUUAUGAAUAGUGGCAUGGUGGAAGAACAAAAUGCUAUGUUUGAAAAGCCUAGUCCAUGAAAGAUGUAUCAUUUGAAACCAUUGUUCAUAAUGGCAAAGGUCGACGGAGUAGAAGUGAAUAAAGUGUCCGUGGAUGGAGGAACAAUUGUCAACUUAAUGCCUCAUACUUUGUUUAAGAAAAUGGGAAAAUAUGAUGGUGAUCUCCCACAACAUAACACGGUUUUAUCUAAUUAUGAAGGAAAAACCAGUAACGUUCUUGGGGUUAUCCAAGUCGAACUAGCCAUUGGUACAACCACACGAUCGACGCUUUUCAUGGUGAUAAACUCUAAAGCGAAUUUCAACUUUCUCUUAGGACGAUAAUGGAUCCAUGGAAUAGGGGCAGUGCAUUCAACCUUACACCAAAGGUUGAUUAUCUGAAGGAAAGAUGGCAUUGUUGAGAAUAUCAAAGCUGAUUAGAGUUAUUACAAGAUCGACGAGGCCAAAGGCGCGAAGAAAUCCUUCGACCAAUAUUUGGCGAAUAUUGCACCUUGUGAUGAUGACUCAGGAUCCUACACAUCUGUCAACACAGGCCGUGUCCUGAAUCUAGAUCCUGAUUAUGGAUUUAUAUGGAAUGCUGAAGGUGCAAUGGAGCCUAAAUUGGUAAAUCCACCUAUGGGGUGGCCUGCAGUCGAUGAAGAUGACCACUGAGUCAGAAAGUUUGGCUCGAAUUUAAGCCUAUUUGGCUGAGAAUAAAAGAAAAUCGGCACUAGAAGCUGAGAAACUACAAAAUUUGGCUAUCGAAGCCAAAGUCGAAGAAUGUGAAGAUGGCCAACAAUGCCAAACAACAGCUUCAGAAAGCCGGAGGCUAGAUUGCAUUUAUGACAAUGAGCCUUUGGGGUUUGAGAAAGACCCAUUAAAUGAGUUUCAGAGAAUGCAAGCACAAGACCCACUGGAGGAGAUAUAUUUAGGAGAUGGGGUCAUAAAAGACCAACUUAUAUAAGCACUAAAGUUGGGUCGAAGAUGAAGGCUAAACUGAUCGAAGUAUUGAAAGAGUACAAAUAUUAUUUUUCAUGUGACGAUGGCGAAAUACUUGGCCUAAAUCGAAGCAUAGUAGAACAUCGACUGCCUAUUCAACCAGGAAAAUGGCCAGUAACGCAACAUCCUCGAUAGUUUGCUCCAAAAAUCACAUUGAAGAUUAAGUAGGGGAUCCGGAGUCUACUCAAAAGCCAGUUCAUUAGAACUGCAAGGUACGUCGAAUGGUUAGCGAGCAUAUUACCCAUUAUCAAGAAAAAUGGAACACUUAGAGUCUAUAUAGAUUUUAGAGACUUAAACAAUGCAACUCCAAAAGAUGAGUAUUCGAUGCCAGUGGCAGAAAUGCUAAUCGAUUCAGCCGCAGGUUUUGAAUACUUGAGUAUGCUUGAUAGUUAUUCUGGCUAUAAUCAGAUUCUCAUAACAAAAGAUGAUGUUCCAAAGACGGCGUUUCAAUGCCCUAGAGCUUUGGGAACAUAUGAAUGGGUUGCGAUUCCGUUUGGUUUAAAAAAUGCCGGAGCAACCUAUAAAAGAGCCAUGAAUGCCAUAUUCCAUGAUUUUAUUGAAAAAUUUAUGCAGGUAUACAUUGAUGAUAUUGUGAUAAAGUCUUCAUCUGAAAAUGGUCAUUUGGACCAUCUUCGACUCUCAUUUGAGAGGAUGAGAAAAUAUGGAUUAAAUAUGAAUCCAUUAAAAUGUGUUUUUGGUGUACUUGCAGGAGACUUCUUGGGUUUCGUGGUGCACAAAAAAGGCAUCGAGAUCAACCAAAACAAAUUAAAAGCAAUUUUGGAUCUCAAGCCUCCUUCGACAAAGAAGCAGCUCCAGUGUUAGGGAAGAUAAACUUAUUGAGAAGAUUUAUAUUAAAUCUAAGUGGCAAGACGAAGGUUUUCUCGCCAUUGCUCAUGAUUAAGAAGGAAAGUGAUUUUCAUUGGGAACGAGAGCAACUGGAUGCUUUCAAUGCCAUCAAAGAGUACCUCACAAAGCCUCCCAUUUUAUUACCACCUAGUAUAAAUAAGAAUAUGAGGUUAUAUAUUGCUGCGUCAGAUACAACGAUAGGAAAUAUGUUAGCACAAGAGGAUGACAGUGGUGUCGAAAGAUCCAUCUAUUACCUCGUUCGAAUUUUAAUAGAUGCUGAAACUAGGUACCAUAUGAUUGAAUAAAUGUGCCUAUGCUUAUACUUAUCAUGUAUGAAAUUAAAGCAAUAUAUAAAACCAGAUUAUGUUUAGUCUCAUUUUGAUAUUAUUAAACAUAUGUUGUCUAAACCCAUUCUACAUAGUCAAAUUGGAAAAUGGGCAUUAGCAUUAACUAAAAUUUCUUUAACAUAUAUGCCUUUGAGGGAUAUGAAAGGCUAAAUAGUGGUAUAUUUUAUUGUAGACCAUGCAAUAGUUGAACCAUCACUAAACACGGUCGACACGAACCCAUGGAGGUUAUACUUCGACGGGUCAAGUCACAAAAAUUAAAUAGGUGUUGGCAUCUUAAUAUUAUCCCCACAAGGCAUUCUGACGAAGUUCAAAUGUAAAGUCGACAGAAACUGUUCCAAUAAUGAAGCAUAAUACGAAGCCCUAAUCUCUGGCCUCAAAAUCUUGAGGUAUUUAGGAGCCAAGAAGGUCGAGAUAAAGGGUGAUUUUAAGCUAGUGAUCAAACAAAUCACACGAGAAUAUAAGUGCGUUAAAGAAAAUUUGGUGAUGUAUUCCACAAUGGCGAAACACAUAUUAGAGUGCUUCGAGGUUGUCAGCAUUACACAUGUGCCUAAAAUAGAGAAUCAAGAAGCUAACAAUUUAGCACAAAUUGCAUCUAGGUAUAAAGUGUCGAAAGAUAAGCUCAAGGACUUUAUUGAGGUGAAAGAAAAGAUGGUGUUGAGCGUCUCGCCGUCACCCAAAAUGCCAAUCCCAAAAACUGAGGGGGGGUGUAGAUGUCUUAAGUAAUUUUGAAAAUUUCGAAAGACAUGAAGUUUUUUCCAUUGACAAUUUGUCGCAGUCAAAUCGAAGAAAAACAAUCACGGAGUACUUAGAAAAUCCAAUCGGAAACACUAACAGGAAAAUCAAGUAUAAAGCGUUAAGUUAUGUAUGUCUAGGAAAUGAGUUAUUGAAAAAGACUCCAAAAGGAGUGUUGCUCAAGUGUCUUGGGGAUAUGGAAGCAUAUUUGGCAAUGUCUGAGGUACACAGUGGAAUAUGUGGAACUCACCAAGAUGGCCAUAAAAUGAAAUGGUUAUUAUUUCGACAAGGUGUUUACUGGCCAAGUGUGUUAAAAGACUGUAUGGACUUUGCCAAAGGGUGUCAAGAAUAUCAGAUACUCGACAAGGUAUUAGUUCGAGAUUUGUUGGUCAAAGGCUUGUUGUCGGUUGAAACACUCUUUCUUCUUAGUCUCAAAAUCAUUGAGUUUCCUUUCACAAAUUUCGCUGAAGUCCCUUUCUCGUGUCAUCUCAUUGAGCUUCGUUUUAAUUUGGAAGUCAGUGUGUCAAUGAAGAGUGAGGUCUUUGACAAGGUAAGUGAAGAAGGCUUCAAAUUCAAUCAUAUGUUUGUCCACAGGAGCAGGAACUUUAUGUCGAGAAAGCUCAUCAAUCAGCUUGAGGACGUCGACCCCCAAGGCCUCUUCCUCUGCGAUGAUAGCCAAAAUUUCACGCUCAAACAAAUAGGUUUUCAGCUGUUGGAGUUUGAGAAUGACGGAAGCAUCCAUUUCUUGAAAUAGGCAUGGUAAUCGAGCUAGAGGGUUGAGCAUUAAUUAAAACUUGGCGAAGCUUCUGCAGCCUUCUCAAAGUCUUUGUUGUAUUUUGUUGUUUCAGAGAGAGAAUCUCCUCCGAAUUAAAAUAAUUAUUGGAACUUUUAUCUUGCAUAAGGGGGGAACCUUUAUCAGAGGUUGGGAAAGUUAAUUUUCCUUUAUCAGUGGAAUGAGACUCGCCACCAACAGUAGUUGAAGGACCCUAAAUGUGAUGAACCAUAUUAGACCGCAAUUGCGUUAGUGAUUUGAUCAGACAUUCGGCCAUAUUAGAAACCACAUUCCCCUAUUUCAUCCAUGUUCAAGUAUUUUCAUUGAAACUCAAAGUUUUAGAAUACCAAGACUCAAUUUAUAAUGAAAAACUAUAACAUUAUGUAUUUUUUAAGAAUGUCUUUCAAACACUUCUCUUUAAAAAUUUACGCUUCAACUGCCACAAUCCGCAUUACAACAAUCGCAACACCCACAACCAUACUGUAAUUUAAAACCACGAACUCCACUACUUUCCACUAUUUUGCGUCCAUCUUUUUCUCUUUCCAUGUCAAGAGGUAUCCUCACUAGGGGGCCUAGCGACUUCUUGGAGUUUACGGAUUCAAGAUUGAAGCAUGGGUUUAAUCUAUGCGAAUAUCUAUUUCUAGGCUCUCUUGCAUUGCAGCUGAAUUUUUCAAGCUUACUUGAAUUUCAUGCAAAUGCAUUUUCUUCACGACGCAUGGCACGUGAGUUGUUACCGUAUUUUGUUUAGCUUUAGUAGUAUACAACAGAUCAAAUUUUUUCUCAUGGGCAUUUGUUACCCUAAUUUAAAUAUAUUUAUGUUUGUAACCUUGAUGUAUCAAUUCCAUGAAUAUUCCUCUUAAACUAAAUAUUUUAUUACCGAUAUAUUUUUUUGUUAAUGAAUCAAAAUUAUAAUGAAUUGGUCAAUGAUACUUGAACAUGUACUUGUUUUGACUGCCUAUUUAUUUUCUAUUGGUAUCUAUGGAUUGAUCACGAGCCGAAAUAUAGUUAUGUGUCUUGAACUUAUACUGAAUGCAGUUAAUAUAUAUCUAGUAACUUUUUCUGAUUUUUUUUUAUAAUUGCCAAUUAAAAGGAAAUAUGUUUUCAAUUUUUGUUAUAGCUAUUGCAGCCGCUGAAGCGACUAUCAGACUUGCUAUUGUUUUCUCAAUUGCUUGUAACAGAAAAUCCACAUGUAUCAAUCAAUCAAAUUUGUUGAAUAAAUAUCAUUAAUCCUAUCAUAAAUAAUAGUAAAGUCGAGUUUCAAAUAUUAUAAUAUUAAUCCAUUCAUUUGAGCAUUUAUUUGACACAACUUAUGAUCAUAUCAUGUUCGCAUUGCCUAAAUCAUAAGAAAUCAAAGUAUCCUAGUCCUCGUCUAUUCCCUCUUCUAAAUUUAUCUAGAUACCUAUUUUUAUUAAUAGUUAACAAUAUUAUCAUAAAACAUUGAUGCAUCUGGUAUAUAAAUAUAUGGUUCAUAUACAAGUUUAUUAGAUCUGAUAAUUUUCAUUUUUGAACAUAAAAAAUUAGCAUAGAUAUAAUGUCGCAUUCAGUAAAGAUUUAUGAUACAUGUAUAGGGUGUACUCAAUGUGCCCAAUCAUGUCCCACAAAUGUAUUAGAAAUGAUACAUUGGGGUGGAUGUAUAGCUACAAAUAACUUAUGCCCCGUGAACAGAUGAAUGUGUUGGUUGUAAGAGGUGUGAGUCUACUUGUCCGACAUAUUUCUUAAGUGUACGAGUUUAUUUAUGACAUGAAAUAACUCAAAGUAUAAGUCUAGUUUAUUGAUCCAUUUCAAAAAAACACCACACAAAUACAUUUUUUACUGGCAAAAACUUGUGCUCAAAGUAAAAUAGAAAAUCUUUUAUUUUAUUUUAUUUUGAGCACGGGCUUUUCUGGCCCAAAUGUAUCUUAUUUUUAUCACAAAUUAUUAGGAAUACAUGGACUUUUUUUAUUAUUAAUGGAAAUCAUGGGUAUGAGUUUAUAUGGCUCUAAUGAACCAACAUUAAAUUUUGAAACAUUAAUUGAUCAAUCGUAUCCCGUGGCACUAGAAACAAUAUUCUAUACGAUAUUUCAUAUUGCUUUUGCUUUCAAAUUGUUGAUUAUACCCUUACAUACAUGGUUACCAGAUACCCAUGGAGAGACACAUUAUAUCACUUGUAUGCUUUUAGCCUGAAUCUUAUUAAAAAUGGGAGCAUGUGGGUUGGUUAGAAUUAAUAUAGAUUUUUUCCCACGCCCACUCCAUAUUUUGCCCCUAAUUAAUGAUAUUAUGUUCUAUUCAAAUAAUCUAUGUCGCUUCAACAUCUUUUGGUCAAUGUAAUCUAAAAAAAGAAUAGUUUAUUCUUCGGUAUCUCAUAUGGGUUUUAUAAUUAUCGGAAUUGGUUCUAUAAGUGAUAUUGGUCUCAACAGGGUCAUUUUAAAAAUAAUAUCUCAUGGAUUUAUUGGUGCUGCCUUUUUUUAUGGCAAGAACUAAUUAUGAUAAACCACGUCUUCUUUAUCUUGACGAAUGGCUAUCCUAAUGCCAAAAAAUAUCCACUAUUUUCACUAUUUUAUCAAUGGAUUCUCUUGCAUUGUCUGUCAUAAGUGGUUUUGUUGCAAAAUUGAUAGUUUUUUUUCGGAAUAAUUACUAGUCAAAAAUACUAAUUACUUUUGUAACUUCAAUUUGAAUGAUAUUAACUCCUAUUUAUUUAUUAUCUAUCUUACGACAUAUGUUCGAUGAAUACAAGUUUUUUAAUAUACCAAACUCUUAUUUUUUUUAUUCUGCCCCCAGAGCAUUAUUUAUUUCGAUUUUUAUCUUUAUACCCAUAAUAGGUAUUGGUAUUUAUCCAUAUUUCAUUUUCUCAUUUUUGAUUGACAAGGUAGAAGUUAUUCUAUCUAAUUUUUUAUGGAUGAUUUUUGUGAAUAAAUGAAUCAAAAGAUAAAAAAAAUUGUUAGAUUCACUUUAAAAAAUUGAAAUUGUAAUUGAAUAGGUUUGUUGUUUGUGAGAACCCCAUGAAUCAUUACAUUACUUAAUUGAAAGGGUUCUCGAUGAUUUAUGGAAAGUAUAAAUUUAUAUGUUUUCCAUAUUUUUCUUUCUCAAGUCCUGAAACAAGGCUUUAUGUAGCUUUUGAUAUCAUUGUCUUGGUGCUUGCUUAAAAUCAUAAAGUUAUUUGUUAAAGCUUGCAUACCAAGGCUUUUUCAGAAUUGAUGGGGUUGAAGCAUCAUUAUCUUGAUUCUUUUGUUUUUCAAGACAAUCACUAAAGUAGUGACCAUACUUCUGACAGUUGAAACACUGAAUGUGACUUUUGUCAUGUUUUUGGCCACCACCUCUUCCUUUACCUACAUCAACACCUCUUUGGUUGCUUUGGUAUGAGGGCUUUCUCUGAUUCGAUCAGCCUCCUUCUUACUGAUUUCUACCAGACGAAUUGUUGUAGCCUCCUCUACCUUUAUUGUCGAACCACUUUCAUUUGUCUUUCUUUUGUCUUGUGGAUUGUGCCUGCAAAGUCAUACCACUCUUCCACUUGCCUGCAGCUCUUCCAGUAAUUCUUUGUUAAUGAGAUUCAAGUGUCCCUUGAAGCUAUUCCUUUGUUAAUGUUGACAAAUCUUUUGACUCUUUUAUGGCUACUACCAUGUAUCGAACUUUGGAGCCGAUGACCUUAAGAUCUUUGAAACAAUUUAUCUUGAUGUCAACACUUCUCCACAUACCUUGAUUUAAUUCAUCAGUUUUGUAACCCUAGUGAAAAAAUCAGUUAUGCCUUCAUUGUCUUCCAUCUGAAGCAAUUCAUAUGUUCUUUUGUGAGUUUGUAAGCUCACUUCUUUCACCUUUUUUGAGCCUCCAACCGAUUUUUCAAGAAUUUCUCAUGCUUCUUUCGCUGAUUCAACAUCACUAACCUUUUCGAAAUUGUUUGCAUCAACAUAUUGAUGGAAUAUAAAGAGAGUUUUAUAAUUUUUCUUCUUCAAUUCUUUGUGUUCAGCCUUUUCUUAAUUUUUCGCAUUUGUUGCAAGCAUCGUCACUCCCUUCUUCACAAGAUCCCAAAGAUCUUGAUAGAAAAAGACAAGAUUUAUCUGCUUGCACCAAUUCUCGUAAUUCUGAUUCUUCAGAAUUGGGAGACACACCGGAAAAUGCUUGUCCGGAUGAUUCAUCACCAUCGUGUUUUGCUUCUCAUGAAUCGCUCAGUCAGUGCUCUAGAUACCAGAAGUUGGAAAUUCACAAAUUUCUCUUCAAGAAAUUCAUCAAAACUUAUGGAGAAUUCUGAACCAAAUCUUAAUGAGCAAUAGUCAAUCUUUCUUAUUGUUACUCCUCUAGUUCUUCACUCUUCAGUCGAGUGAAUCAACCAUACUAGGUUGCAAGAUUAUAUCGUUGUACAAUUGUUAACGGGAGAAGAAAUAAAAGAUGAAAAUUUGGAAGAAAGGGAAUUAGGGUUUUAUCAAAAUAGGGGAAGAAGAAGAAGAAGAAGAAAAAUUUCUACAGAGUAAUUCUUUGCUCUCAAACUGAGAUUUUAUUUAACUUUACAAUUGCAUUUCUAUUGUCUUAUCAUUUUACAAUGAUAAGGGUUACUACCUAUUUAUAGAUUGAGUUUGUUUUCUCCCUAAACAAAGCUCAAAUACCUAAUUCUCAGAAAAAUUGGGUCUAAGUAAAAAUCCAUGUUGAUGCUAACUUCUCAACACUUCGACAACUAGAUCUUUCGACAACAACAUGUUUCGACAUCAUGAAUUACAUUCUCAAUAAUAUUCGUAUCACAAGUGACAAAUUCUAUCAAAAAUUAUUAUUUUUUAAAGAUUUCAUAAGUGUAUUACAAAAUAUGCAAAUAAAAAUAAAAUUAGGGUAUUGAUCACAGUCUUUAUUGAAUUUCAUGCAGAUGCAUUUUCUUUGCGUGUUGUUUGUUGCCAUAUUUUUCUUUUACCGUCACAAUGUAUUUGGACAUAAUUGGGCUUUUGGUUGUUCGAGAAUUGGAGCUUUUAAUUAUGUAAAUUCAAUUGUUUUCUUUUUAAAACAUUUCGUUUAUUAAGUUAUAUAGCUAUGAUUAUUUUUGUUUUGUUCUGUGUUAGGUUAUGUACUGUGAAAAAAAUGGGGACGAAGAAUAUAUAUAGUAGGUUUUUUUCAUAAAGUUAUAUGUAUAUUUUUUGAAGGGUUAUGUUUGAUUGUUUUCUAUGUUAUUACUUAUCAUUCUCCGGUAUUUGAACAUUUAAUUUGAUAUUUCCCAAUUAAAUCUGGCACCCUCCAUUUGAAGCGAAAUGAUCAUAAUAUCUUUGUAAAAAUUUCUGAAAAUUUUGAUAUUUCCCAAUUAAAUCUGGCACCCUCCAUUUGUACCAACAAAUUUUACCCUUUCUAGUUCAUUCCCUAUAUGUUGUAUACAUUGCCUUGAAAAAAAACCAUGCAAGUUCGUAUAGAAUGAAGUGUUAUACCGAUGCUCAAUGUUGGCAAUACUUUUUUGGAACGAGACCCUGAUUGAACCAAGCUGCAACUUUAACAUUGUGUUCACAACAUCCCAACUUUGACAUAAAUCUUCUCGACUUGUAGUCAACAUGUUUUUUAGUCUCCAACGAUCAGACUCCACCUUGUUCGUUUUUGUGUUACCUAAAUGAGUGACUCCGUUAGUCCAAGCUGUAACAAACCUUUCUUUAGAAGGUGCCAACCAUGUUUCAAUCACAUACUUAACAAACAACGGAAUAUCAGCACAAACAGUCUCAAAGUGCUCCAAGUGUACGACAAACUCAAUUUCUCUAUUAUCAUACAUGAUGUUAUUCCAUAGAUCCAUGACAUGCUCAUGUCUUUCUGAUUUAACAUACUCUUUACAUUUCAUGCUAACGUUUUUUGAAAUAUGGAACGAACAUAACAUACGAGUUGAAUUUGGAAAUACAACUUCAAUUCAAGUUCCCAAUUCGUCAUGACAAUAUUUGGUAGCAAUUUCUCUGAAGAGAACAACUCUUUGAGCUUAUCCAGUAUCCAUUUGAAGUUUUCCUCCUUUUCAUGCUCCAAAUAGGCAAAGCCUACCGAAAAUGUCAAUUUUAUUGACGUAACACUAACAAUCUCAAGUAGUGGUAGCUGGUACCUGUAUGAUCACGAUGUAAAUAAUCAAAAGUCUGAUAAAUCAAACUAUGUCGAAAUGAUAUCAAGACAUGAUCAUUAUUCACAUUACCUAUUUGUCUUGUAUGUACAAUAAAAAAUCAACACCAAAUGAAACAUAUUCAACAACUUCAGUGAAUCAGGAUAUGUUCAGAAGAUAUCAGCAACAACAUUUGAGGCUUCUCUAUUUGUCUAGCACAUAUUUCUCUCUAUGAAUAAGACUCAACAUUUGCAUUUCCGUCAAUGAACCUCUCUUGCUCACAUUGUAUGUAGCUCUAGCUUUAUACACUUGGUUAACGUUAAUGAGGUUUCCUGAAUCUUUGUCUUUCAAGGCAGAAAUAAUGUAUCGUGGAGCCAUGUUGUACUUCGUGAUGUCAUUCAUAAACUGUCUCUCAUGAACUUUUAGACAAUCCAAUAUAUCAUGGCCAUAUAAAUCCUCAGAUAGUUUAUGAUUGUGAAGUUCACACCUAACCAUCACCUUCCAAUCAAUACCACCCAGUGUAAAUCUCAGCCUAAAAUGGAAUUUCACUUUCAUACUAUAAGUGCCCUCUGAGGAUUUACUGCUUUCAGAUGUAGUCUUUCUUUUAUAAUUACAUCCUCUCUCACAACCCAAAAUCAAUUUAUCUUUCCUACCCUACUGUCCAUUUGCAGUAUCAAAACGAAUAGUCACAACUCUAAUACCAUGUUGUUUGCCAAUAUUUUAUGCUCAGACUAAUACUUUAGAUAGGUGUCGUACCUCGAAGAAUAAUGAACGCAAUGGGAAGGUAUUAGCACCCCUCACGUCCGUUGUACUCAACGGGAACCGUUAGGUUAGUUGUGCGCGUUAGUGUUAGUUUAAAAUGUUAGGCUUCUCGAGUUAUUAGGUGAGAAAGAAAGAAUAGAAAAGAGAAGAAAGUUUUUGGAUUUUCAAUGAAGGAGACUAAACCUAAGUUUUUUAUUAAUGGGCCUGACAAGAUUUACGAAUCCUGCUCCUACGUAUCUCCAGGUGCAAUAGAGAACUCAAGGUUUACGUAGUUAUGGGUAGAAAAUGUUUAUUUAUUGGUCGAUUUUAGCGAAAGCUACUUUGUGUCAAUCGACGAAAACAUUGUUGGACUACCCAAAACAGGUGGAGAAACAUUGCCUUGCAGUGUUUUGAAACAAAGUACCUUUUGUUUGAGAAAGGGUUUGAAGGGUCAAUCGCACGGCGGCGAGAAAAGAUUUUGAUUGGUUUGAUGUGUUUUGAGUAAUGGCGAGAACUUGGAUGAGCGAGAUAUCCAUCUCGAAUCCUGGUCUCAGGAGUGCGUGGUAUCCCCCACGUUCCAUUUCCGUCUUAUUUGCAAAAGUAUUUAAUAAGAAUUAAGUGUUUUUGAAUUUGAUUGAGAAAUGGUUUGAAGAAACCGCAUUGACAAUUUUGGAUAAUGGCGAGAGCUAAAAUAAGCAAGUCAUCCACCUCGAAUCUUAAUCUCAAGAGUGCAUGGUAUCCACCACGUUUCAUUUCCAUCUUUAUUGAAUAGUGUUAAAUAAGAAUUACGUAUUUUUUUGAGUUUUUAUUGUAAAAAUGGUUUGACGUUGGAUCGAGCAUUUAAUAAGCGGUUGAGAAAGAACUUUGAAUGAAGGUUUGAGAGGAACAAAGUAGAUAAAUUUGGAUGAUGGCGAGAACUAAAAUAAGCGAGGCAUCCACCUCGAAUAUUAAUCUCAGGAGUGCAUGGUAUCCACCACGUUCCAUUUCCAUCUAUAUUGAAAAGGUCUUAAAUAUGGAUUAAGUUUUUUUGAGUUUUUAUUGUGAAAAUGGCUUGACGUUGGAUCAAGCAUUUGAUGAAUGAUUGAGAAAGAUUUGAAUGAAAUGGUUUGAAAGAAAAGGACUGGGUAGAAAUGGAUGAAUAGAAAUGGAUGGAUUUAUUUAUUGGGAAAAUACUCGACAUUGGAUCGAGUUUUUAUUUUUUGAUCUUUUGGAAGCAGUUGAUUUUAUUCUUGUGUCAGUAGCUAGCUAAACAGUCAAGAAAAUAAAGGAAUAAAACAGUAAAAUUAUUACACAUCAUGGGAGUGGGGGUACAUUUUUGUCGAAUGGGGAUUCAAAGUAAUGAAAUAAUUAAAUCCGGCCCAACCAAAAAGCAAUGCAGUGUAUGAGUGUAGGUGUAAGAGAACCGUCUCAUUGUAAGAAAACCCAAGAGUAAGCUGUGUGAGGUUGACGAUGAUGCUUAAAGGAAAUCGACUUACAAGGGUGUGGGGAUGGGGAAAUUACAACUAAGUACUAUGCUCAAAAUUGGUUUAUGCAUCAUGUCAACAUUGAAUGAUCAUGUGCGACCAACCGAAACGUGGCGAAAUUAUAUUAUUAUCUCGAUGAAAUAAUCAUGGAUAAACAACAUAAGAGCGGUUGAAUCCAUAAAUUAAAAUUGAUGCUUUGUCAAUUAAAAUAAAUAAAAGGGGUAAACAUUAAAAACAAUGAGUAUCGGAGAAAUUCUAAUAAAACAUGAACAUGGGAGGAUUAAAAAGAAUAACGUAAAAAAGAAAUUAAAAUGUUGUAAAACCAAAUAUGCCACACACAAAUAUCAAACCCAGGACUAAGAGGGAGAUCAACUAUCUCCAUCUCCACCCGACCAUGAGUUACCAAGUGUCAAACUAGGACCAACAAAAACCUAAAUACUAAGCUGAAACUUUGAAAGAAAAAAAAACAAACAAAAAGGCCAACUAAUGGGUCGUUGGAGUAAAUUGGACCAAAGCCCACGACAGUGGCCAUAUCACGAAAAUGGAACAGGUCAAGAGUCCAAUGGUCACCCCAACCGCAUGGUUGUUGGGUGACGGAAACCGAAGAGCCUUCUCACUAUAAUGCCAAUUGUCGGCAUUAAUGAGUGGUGGUUGUAAUAGAGAGCCACGCAAGUCCCAACGGUAAACCCAACGGUCAAAAAAAUCAUUUCAAAAAUGGAAAUAAUUAAAACACAAAGGGAAAUGUUUAAAGAGGCAUCAGUGCAUUAAUGACCUAGUGUCAGCCUCCAAGGCAAGUUUUUUCUCCCAAAAAUAUUUUUAUUGCUUUAAACACCAAUUAAAGGGACGUUAUUGUGGUUUAUUGAAACAAAAAUGUACAAACCAAGAAAACACUUUUCCUCUCCCAAGCCAUGGCGGACGAUCAAGGAGAAAUCAAAACACGUGAUGAAAAACGCCACAACCCCAAGCAACACAGUAGGGAGAAAGACAAUGAAGAACAAAACAAAGAGAAAGAUGAAAAGAUAUUAAACCAAAGCAACCUAAGUUCUCAUUCGCACCUAGAUCGUGUAUCUGAAGCGAUAAUGCAAUGAGAAAUUUACCUGAUCACCAAGAGAUCAACGGAGAUUGGAAAAGUGAUGUUGGAUCCUUCCUUCAAAUGCUCUUUCUCCCGUUGAUUCAACUCCAGUGCGCUCACUCGCCUGCUUUGCCUUUGGAAUAAGCUUUCUUCUAAACGGCGGCGAGAUGAGGCUCUAGGAUUCUCUCCAAAGAACACCGCCUCCAGGUUCUUUAGACUCUCCUUAGUUUGAAUUUCUUUAGUUUUUUUUUCUUAUCUCUGUUAACAUAUCCUUUUUCUUUAUGUAGUCCCGUUCUGAUUGUGAGAGGCCUCCAAAAAUUCUCUCUGUGGUCCCUCUCUUCUGUCCUUUUCACCGUUGGGGACGACAUUACCUUUGGGAGUGUUGGUGAGUGUUCGUACGGACACUUUAGGGCCUUUUGUCCUCAUCCAAACUUGUGACUCCUCCUCUACUCCUCAUUUUACCCUUUUACUGCUUGGUAAGAAAUUAACCACUGCUUAUGAAUUUACUCGACACACUUGAACAAAAUUGGAAUAUGUGUUUUCUUGAAUUGAUGAAACGUGAACUUGUUAAUUUAAUUUGUUGUUGUUGAUACUUGCAGCUUAAUGUUUCAGAUGAAGAUAUUAGUCUAUACUUUUCCAAGAUGUUGCAAUGCUACACAAGGUUAUCAUUGAUGAAGUAGGAAUAUUUAAUCUUUGCCUUGGAACAAAUUUUUAUUUCAAGUGAAUUUCUUCAUUCCUCUCUUUAUUUUUUGUUGGAGAAUCUCAGUUCUUCAAGUUACCAAGUUAGAAAUGCUACAGAUUAUGUCUUGUAGAUAGUUUCCACUACAUCUGGCUAUGAAAUAGUUGGACAGUUAGUUUUGGAAAAUGCAGACUAUAUGGUCGGUUCAAUAUGUCUACAAUUACGCCAUCUAGAUGUCAAUCAUCAUGUACCAAAUGUACUGGCAUCUAUUCUUUAAUACAUUGGAGUGGCUCACAAGAUAUUCCCCUAUUGAAGGAACCGGUGCAUUGUGUGUCAAUUGGACUCGAAAUAUUGGGUAGACAUCAACAUCCUGGUUUAACUACAUCGUUCUUAAAGGCAUUAGAAGAAAUAGUGAAGGUAUCAAAACAUGAAGCUUGUUAGUUGCCCUUGUUGACACGCAAGGUUUUGAUGUGGGUUUCAGCUGCUUACUCUUUCUCAUGUUCCAAACUUGACAUGAUGGUAAUGGUUUCGUAGCAUGGUUUUAUGGUUAUUAUUAUUGGACUGAUGCGCAUUUUAUUUUGCUUGUUUGGAGACAAAACAUGCAGGUUGGUGCUACUGCAAGGUUUGCUUGCAGAUCGGUUCAGGUUAAGCUUACGGCGUAUCAAAAUGUAUUGGGCUUGGUCUUUGCUUAUGUGCUUUAGUGUGAGGUAUGAUUGGUAAAGUCCUGUAGUAAUCAGUUACAUUCGUGAUGCUAACCAGGAUUUUGGGCCAUGGCGUGUUCUUGUGAGCUCUAUUCCGUGCGUGAUGGUUCACUUCACAACAUGAGCACGAUAAUGCAUCACUGCUAUGUUGCCCAUUCUGUUCGUAUCAGGUUAGCAUUAACCUGGAUUUGACUUACUUCAAUGGCCUGAAAACGCAUGGUUGGAUCAACAUUUUAAUGGAUUAUAGCGUACAAUGCAAGCGUGCUUUUUAUGAUUUUACAAACUUGAGUUCCUUUAUUGGCUUCAGGUAGUGUCGUAGCAGAAUUGGCAUUGAGAGUAGCGGUUCUUUCGGAGACAAAAUGUUGCAGAAUUGGCAUUGUCAUAACGUUCGAUCGCAGACUGGUCUAGGAUUCCAAGGCAACAAAUGGUAAGCUUUUGAUCCUUGUUCACGCCUUUCAUGUACGUCGUAGACUUGGUGAAUUUACUCUGAACUUGUUGCGUUUGAUGCUAUGCAGGAUCUUGAGUCAUGGCAUAGUUUGGUGAGCUUCCAUACACGUAAUGAUUUGCGUUUCAUUUUCAUCUCUGCACUAUGAGAACCAAACCUUGUAAUGUUAUACAUAGUGCUUGCAGUUAGGAAGAAUGCUAAUAGACCAAGCAAGUAAGUUGUAAAUGCGGAUUGCCGAACGAUGGUUAUAGUGUAUGCUGCAAACUUGUUUUUUUAUGAGUUUUCGAAAUUUAAACUCGUGCUUCAUCAUCGGUUUCAGGUGGUACAGUAGCAGUAAACACUUCAACCUGAAUUUUGGGUGACGGCUGGAAAAUGACUGAGCCUGUUGAAACGCAUCAAGACCCUCUGCAGAAAGGAACAAUUCUCCUUUGCCGGACUGCGGAAGGCUUCUCAAAAUUGUGAGCACAUAUGCCCAUUGUUUUGUGUCAAAGAGAGGAUAGGUCAUGCAUACAACUUUGAGCUUGUCGGUUAGAGGUUAAAGCUUAGGGAAGUCAGAGCCGGUGAUACAACUCUAUUCUUCAUAUUCUUUCAUACCGUUGACAACCAUCUCUUCUCCCAGUCUAGUGGAGAGAUAACGUGAGCCAGUAACCCUAGUAGCCAUUUUCUAAAAAAAACAAGCAGGGUAACCAUAAAAAGACCUGCCCAUAUUAUAUAUGUGUAUUGCAUAAAGGCGUGUCAAGAAAUAGGCCUGCUAAAAAUACUUUGUCCAAUGUGUUAGCUUUUCAUCGCAACAUCUGUGAAGAUAAUUUGAUCGGGCCACACCCCUUUUGCAGUAGCAUAUGCCCAUCAGUCUCAUUUCGCCUGCUGCAGGAAAUUUCAGGAGCCAAAAACUGCCUUACUUUUCAUAGAGGAGGAAAACAGGAGAGUGAAGUAGGGAUUGGGAUUCUUGGGGUUUUAGGGUGGGUUGAAUUUGGUCCAAAUACCAAUUUGUAAAUUAUGUACGUUCUGUAAAAUUUUAUGUUUCAUAAUGAAUGUGACAUUUGAUGAAAAUUGGCUCUCUUUUUUUGUGUAGUAAAACAAAAAUAUCUCUUCAUUUCUUAGAAACCUCAUGGAUUCAUGUGAUGAUACCUAAAUAUUAUGAACUAAUCCCCUGUCAUGCAAAUGGAUGACUCUGUUUGAAUGAAUGCGUGAAGGUCUUUGGUCAUGAGUGAAAUGAUCGUAAUAUGAAUGAUGGAAACCUUUAAACAUGAUUGAAUGGAAGAUUUCAUAAUAUAAAGGGAAGACUUUGAACAUGAAAUAGAGAGUAUGAAUAUGGAUAGAGAGAUAUGUGUGGAAAUUUUGAAUCUUGAAUAAAUGAAAAAUGAAUAUGAAUGAUGGAAUGAAUCUAAUGUUUGUAUCUGGCAUAGAUAUUCAUUAGAAAUGAGUGACGAUUAGGAAACACGACAAUGGAAUGUGAAUGAUCGCAUACGUGACAAACUUGAACGAGGGGUGAAUGGUGCUUUACGAGGGAGACAAAAACAUGGAUUGAAUUUAGUCAUGAGAUAAAAGGUCAUGAGAUUCCACCUGAUUCUUAUCAAAUGAUAAUGGGCUCCAUGUCCUGCUUGACCAAGCGAAAUUAAUUACCCUAUACCAAGAUAAAUGGCAAGGCCCAAAGGUUUAUGGAACAGCAAGUGGUGAUAGGUCUAAACAAAAACAAAACGAUGGAUAGAUUCAUGAUCAGAUGAAAUGGUCAUGCGGAGAAAUGUAAAUGAAUGAUUGAUUGGAAAAAAUUUCAGGACCAAACUCAGGGUAUGACAGUUGCCCCUAUUUAAACAUCCUCAACCAGAGGAAUAUGAAAUGGCACCUCUUCAUUGGAUCACAGUGGGGGAUGGUUAAAUACCAUGGAGACCCAGAUUUUGAUCCUGAAAAAAAUGCACAUGCUAUGAUAUGAUAUGCAUGGGUGAAGGACUCUUUUUUUUGUGAUUUUUAUCUUCUAGAGAUAUGGUGAAUCCUAACAGGGAAUUUUAUGCAAGACAGACAAAUCUAUGGGGGAUAACUGACACCAAGGUAUUGGUAGGCCACCGGAAACGACAAAGAGGGUAGAAACCCAUUGGGGAUGACAAUCCUGUUGGAGAAUCAGACACACACUGGGGAGUAUUCAAAGUGAAAGUUGACAAACGACUGUCGCAACCUGAAAAAAAACAGUGUGCAAAAAAACCAACCGGCGAAAGAAAAUGACAGAAGAGUCUCCACCGUGCGUUAUUUAUCCCAAAGGAGGGAAAGGAAAUGCUCGAAGUAAACCUGAAAAGAGGAAAGGAAAAGACAAGGUCUCGCAACCAAAUCUUGGGUUCGGGAGUCGGUUAUGCGAAGGAAGUAUUAGCUCCCUACGCAUCCGUUAGUACUCUACGGGAUCCACUGUUUGUAGUUCUUGUCUAAAGGGUGUGAGUUUAUCUUGUGUUGUUUACUAAAAAAGGGGUUAAAUGAAAAUGACUCGCGCGGAUGUCCCAUCCACUGCAUACGUAUCUCAUCUGAAUAUGAGAAUCAGAGUCUUCGUAGCUCGCUGACCUAUGGGGUUGGGGUGUGUGCCCGCUAAGACAUCGCGUCUUAUGCCACGUAUCUCAUCUGGAAUGAGAAUCAGAGCAAGCCGUAGUUCGGCUAACUACGGGGUAUGGAUUGGGUUUUGGACGAACGACGUUACUACGCAAUCUACCGAUGCUCGACCUUUGGAGACUUACUCGCUGUAGUAGAAGGAGUAAGCGUGAUGUGUUAGGAGGAAGAAAAUCAAUGAAGGGUUAGGGUUUGGGUAAACUCAUGCCAAAAAGGCAGUCCUUGACGAAGGAACCUGCAUAAAGUAAACACAAAAACAUUGCCCUCUAUCGAGGUCUUCCAGCUAGGAAAGCAGUAAAAUGCGGGAAAAAUGUAAAAGGUACCACACGGAUGAAGAUCCGAGGUAACAGCAAUUAAAGGAACGAUAAACCCUGAGAUCCCUCCAAGCUAAACACAUCAAAGAAAGUGAGUUAGUAUAGGUAAUCGGAAUGAAACCUCCAGGCGGUAUCCCACAAAUAAAGUGGAAAACCACGCAAGUUAUCCCUGCAAAAGUCAUGUGAGCCAUCACAAAAAACUCAACAAACAGGUUAGAGACAAAAAAAAUAGGGUAAUCAAGGGUUGCCCCCAAAUCAAAAUGUAACCACAUGAAUCAUGCCAUUAAAAUUCACAAAAAAGACAUCCAUCAAAAGGGUAUCAAAUUCACCCAUAAUACCUCAAACAUUCAGAGCAUUCAAAUUAAAGGCAUAAAGAUGAUGGAUAUAGGGCAAAUCUGAUUGGAGAGCUUGAUUGAAAUUGAGUUGCACCCGUGAGGUUUACAAAACAAUCUUUAGGAUUUAUGUGAGGCAGAGGUGAUUCUGUGCAGUUGAAUUCCCUUCAGGGUUUGGAGGCUGCUCUGAGUUCUCUGUCAGGUAGUCUCUCUCUAGGUUUUGUUCCAAGGAAACCUCAGAGUGUUUUGCUUCUCUUCCUUUUUCUCUCUCCUUUGUUUCAAUGAAACUCUAGUAUUUAUAGGCUAAUAUUGGUAGCUUAGUGGGGUUUUGAGAGAGGUCCAAGUUUGAGAUUUUUUCUUUUAUUUAUUUAAAUUUUUUUUUUUUCGUUUUUUCGUUUUUUUUUUUUUGAAAAAAUAUUCCGAUUGCCAUGAUGAAAUGCAAAUGCUAAAUGACCUAAAAAUGAAUGCAUGCAUAAGGUGUAAAGCGUAUGCUUCCAGGAAAAAUGAAGGAUAAAUUUUGGGGUAUUACAGUUGCCCCUAUUCAAUGAACUGGAGACCUGGAAAGAAGAUAGCAGCGGCUUUCGUGCUUUCGAGGUGUCAAGGGAUUGAAUACAAUAAAAGCCCGAAAAUUUGCGCUGAAGUGAAGUGAAGUAACAAUGCCUGUCAGAAUUGGAAAAGAGGUGGUCUUGAAAGAAGAAUCCGUCUGGUACGGUGAGAGUCAGUCUGAAUACUGAAAAAGAAUGUUAACCUGGAUACCAAAAUAAAUGGUAACACAGAAAUAACCAUGGCCUGAAUGCCGCUAAAAGAGGUGGUCUUGAAAGAAGAAUCCGUCUGGUACGGUGAGAGUCAGUCUGAAUACUGAAAAAGAAUGUUAACCUGGAUACCAAAAUAAAUGGUAACACAGAAAUAACCAUGGCCUGAAUGCCGCUCAUCAGUCUGAUUACCGAAAAAAAAUGUUAACCUGGAUACCAAAGUAAAUGGUAACACAGAAAUAACAAUGGCCUGAAUGCCGCUCAUCAGUCUGAAUACUGGAAAUGACUUCGAUCUGAACAUCGGGAGAUAUUAGAUUAUUAAUAUCGGUCUGAACACCGAGAGGCUGGCCUGAAUGCCACAAGUUGCAUCGACCUGAAAGUCGGAAACUUCUUCGAUCUGAACAUCAGAAAAUUGGCCUGAAUGCCACAAGUUGCAUCGACCUGAACGUCGGAAAUUUCUUCGAUCUGAACACCGAGAGGCUGGCCUGAAUGCCACAAGUUGCGUCGACCUGAAUGUCGGAAACUUCUUCGAUCUGAACAUCGGAAAAUUGGCCUGAAUGCCAGAAGUUGCAUCGACCUGAACGUUGGAAACUUCUUCGAUCUGAACAUCGGAAGACUGGCCUGAACGCCCCAAGUUGCAUCGACCUGAACGUCGGAAACUUCUUCGAUCUGAACAUCGGAAAACUGGUCUGAACGCCACAAGUUGCAUCGACCUGAACGUCGGAAACUUCUUCGAUCUGAACAUCAGAAAAAUGGCCUGGACGCCACAAGUUGCAUCGACCUGAACGUCAGAAAGUUCUUCGAUCUGAACAUCGGAAAACUGGCCUGAACGCCACUUCGGUCUGAAUACCGGAAACUUCAUGCCUGUCAGCAUCGGCAGAAAUAGGGAACGAUAAUAGAGGCGGCGCAUGGGCCAAUGACACUUGCUGGGGAUAACGAAGGUAAGUCAUGAACAAUCUUCAAUCUGAGUACUGGAAACAACUUCUGGAUUAUCACUUGGGAUACCGAGAAUGUUUUAUGCUUACAUGCGUAUGUUUGAAUUUUUCAAUGGCGUAAUGCUCCAUGAAAAUGGAAAUGCUACGCGAUUUGGGAGGAUGCAAUGCAAUAUGAUUCUACAUGCAGGGAUGCGAAAUGCUGGGUAGAAUGCCAAGCUGAGGCAAGGGGAUCUGCUGGGGAAAUGAUCACCAUCUUCUGGACCCUGGCAAGGCUGCUAGAGAUGCACAGCGCAAAGAAUUCUGUGGGGAAAUGACCCGCCACACGGUGUUCUAGCAAUGACGAAAUACCGAGAUUCUGACUGGGGAGAGAACGGCACUAAAAACCUGCUGUUGGGGAAAGCGAUAGUGGUUCUGGCAACCACGAUCUGCGAGAGAUGACUCAGCAGGGGAAACAAACACCAAUACGGUACCGAGGUUCUGCUUCAAGGAAAGAAACCAUGGAUCUGGCAUUGGGAUUAUCGAUCUGGCCUCGAACCCUGAGGAGCAGCCGCUUCUGCUGGGAAGAUACAGUCUGGCACUGUCAACUCCGUUGGGGGUAUAUAGUCUGACAUUGUCAACUCUACUGGGGAGUGUAUAAUCUGAAACCACCGCUUGGGGGGAGGUAUAGUGGUGAGAACCUGCUGGGGAUUGAAGAAUCCAAUGCUCUGAUCAGCUCUGCAGGGAUAAGAUACCGAAUUCGUCUGUUGGCGACUUUACUGGGGAAAACAUUCACGAUCAUCUGCAGGGGAUUUUAUGGAAAUGCCCCGAGGGUACCUGUUCUGAAUAGACGAUCCAAAGCACUUAAAAUUAACAGCAAUUUUAAAUUUUUAUUAAGCAUGUACCUGUAAAGCUCUUAUGUGUCAUGAUGCAAUGUUUAUCAAAAAAUUCGGACGUCAUUUUUGCAAACAAAACAGUAAAAUGAAAAUGAAAACAGAGAUAUACUGAAUAACAUGAUUUUAUUGNGCAAAACCAUGUCGAAGUUCCUCUUAUACAGCACAUCGUCUUUGUUCAAGAAGAAAUUGCCUGCCAAUCUUCUCAAAGUCUUUCUAUCAUUGUUGGAUGCCCCUGCAGGGUACUCUUGAUUCUUCAGGAAGCACUUGAUGUCAUGAUACCAGGGCUUGUCAUCAACUACCAGUUCAGCAGCAAACACAUACGCGGCCCUAUCAAGGCGCAUCACGUCGAUCUUGGGAGCAUGGUUCCAACGGAUCACCGUGAUCACGGAGGAUAGAGUAGCAAGAGCAUCUGCCUUCUGGUUCUCAUCACGAGGUAUAUGGUACAGCUUUACUGUUGUGAAGAAAGUCAACAGUCUUCUCGUGUAAUCUCUGUAGGGGACCAGAGUAGGCUGGAGAGUGUUUCAAGCACCAUUCACUUAAUUGAUUACCAGAGUUGAAUCUCCGAAGAUGUCCAAAGUCUUGAUUCUCAAAUCAAUGGCUUGCUCAAUACCCAAGAUACAAGCUUCAUACUCAGCUUCAUUAUUGGUGCACUCAAAAGUCAGACGAGCGGUGAAAGGCAUGUGGGCACCUUUCGGAGUUGUAAUGACAGCACCAAUUCCACUUCCUCUGGCGUUGACGGCCCCAUCAAACAUUAAAGUCCACUUUUCGUCUGGAUCAGGUCCCUCUUCAACAACUGGCUCUUCACAGUCUUUCAUCUUGAGGAACAUGAUGUCUUCAUCUGGAAAAUCAAACUUCAUCGGCUCAUAAUCUUCAACCGGCUGUUGAGCAAGAUAGUCUGACAGAAUACUCCCCUUGAUGGCUUUCUGGGAAGUAUACUGGAUGUCGUACUCUGUCAGUACCAUUUGCCAACGAGCAACUCUUCCGGUGAGAGCUGGCUUCUCAAAUAUAUACUUGACUGGAUCCAUUUUGGAGAUCAGUAAGGUUGUGUGAGACAGCAUGUAUUGUCUCAAUCGCUUCGCAGCCCAUGCAAGUGCACAACAUGUUUUUUCAAGCAUUGAGUAUCUCGACUCGCAAUCUGUGAAUUUCUUACUCAGGUAGUAGAUGGCAUGCUCUUUCCUACCUGUCUCGUCGUGUUGACCGAGAACACAACCCAUGGAAUUGUCUAGUACUGUCAAAUACAUAAUCAGCGGUCUCCCUGGGACCGGAGGCACAAGGAUAGGAGGAUUCUGCAAAUACUCUUUUAUCUUCUCGAACGCCCUUUGACAAUCAUCAUUCCACCUGAUAGCCUGAUCUUUUCUCAACAAUUUGAAUAUUGGCUCACACGUGGCUGUUAGGUGAGAGAUGAACCUUGCAAUGUAGUUCAACCUCCCUAAGAAACCACAGACUUGUUUCUCUGUUCUUGGCUCAGGCAUUUCCUGUAUCGCUUUCACUUUGGCCGGAUCCACCUCAAUCCCUUUUCCGCUAACAACAAAACCCAGUAGUUUUCCAGAUCUCACCCCAAAAGUACACUUGUUCGGAUUAAGCCUCAGCUUGAAUUUCCUCAAACGCUCAAACAGUUUCUGCAAAUUCACCAAAUGUUCUUCUUCUGUCUGAGAUUUGGCAAUCAUAUCAUCAACAUAAACCUCGAUUUCAUGAUGAAUCAUAUCAUGGAACAGAGUCACCAUCGCUCGUUGAUAUGUUGCUCCGACAUUUUUCAGACCAAACGGCAUCACCUUGUAGCAGAAGGUGCCCCAUGGGGUUAUGAAUGUUGUCUUCUCCAUGUCUUCUGGUGCCAUCUUAAUUUGAUUAUAGCCAGAAAAGCCAUCCAUGAAGGAGAAUACCGAGAACUGAGCCGUGUUAUCCACCAAAACGUCAAUGUGAGGUAAGGGGAAAUCAUCUUUAGGACUAGCCCUGUUCAGAUCCCGGUAGUCAACACACAUCCGUACCUUUCCAUCCUUCUUAGGUACUGGAACGAUAUUUGCAACCCAUGGCGGAUAAUUUGUGACUGCUAGAAACCCUGCAUCCAACUGUUUUUGCACUUCUUCCUUUAUCUUGACAGCCAUCUCUGGUCUUGUUCUUCUGAGCUUCUGCUUGACCGGAGGACAACCUUCUUUGAGCGGCAAGCGAUGUACCACGAUGUCUGUGUCAAGCCCUGGCAUGUCCUGAUAAGACCAAGCGAAGAUGUCAACAUACUCUUGCAGCAAUUCAAUCAACCCCUUCUUCACAUUGUCUUCCAAAGCAGCCCCUAUCUUGAUUUCUCUCUUGGCGUCCUCGGUGCCGAGAUUAAUCACUUCAACAGACUCUUGAUGCGGUUGAAUGACCCUUUCCUCUUGUUUUAAUAACCUGGUAAGUUCUUCAGGGAGUUCACAGUCUUCAUCACCCUCUUCUUCAGCUUGAAAGAUUGGAUUUUCAAAGUCGAAGCGAGCCAUAGCAGAACCGUUAUCAAUAGGAUCCGGUGAUGUGCAUCUGCAUGAGUGAUGGUAUGUGCUUAUGAGUGUGAAAAAAAAAUGGAAACUAAACAAAACAUUGCCAUUUUUUUUUGAAAAACUGCAAAAAUAGAAAGACAGGGAACGAAAUAUUUGAAUGCAAAAAGACGUCCUUUAUUUAUGAUAAAAAAUGCAAGUGUCACAUAGAUGAGCCCUACAAUGAGUCAUUACGCCCUGGGCGGAACGUAAGACUUGGAUAUGCAUGAAUAAACAAAGAAAAUUACUCCUCCAGACAAGUGGCUUGGACAAUCUCCUCAGAAGACCAAUUGUUGAGAACUUCACCCGGGAUCCUCGGACGCACCCAGUUAUCGAUGUCGCAAUCACUAUCCCCAUCUUCAUUGUUGACCGCAGAGACUAAUUUGACUUCUCCUUCAACCAUGUUAACGUUGGCUCCACCAUGCUGGGGCAUGGGAUUGUUGACGACAUUAGGAGCUGGUGCAAAGUUAACGGCCUUUGAAUCAAUGAGGUCCUGAACUACGUGCUUAAAAGCUUUGCAGUUCUCAAUAUUGUGGCCAGGUGCCCCAGAGUGGAAGCUACACCUAGCGUUGGCGUCAUAACCCACCGGAAGCCUACCAACGGGAGGAGCCAGAGUGCGCAACUGCACAAGUUGUAGUUGUUGAAGACUAGAAAGCAACUGAGCGUACGACAUUGGAAGAGUGUCGAAACGCCGGUCCAUCGUCCUUGGCCUCGGUUGAUAGGCGGGUCUGUUACCCGGUUGUUGUGGUUGGUACUGAGCUGGUUGACGUUGUGGUUGUUGUUGUUGUAGUGGUGCUGCAGCUGGAAUGGUCACAGCCGCAACAUACGGUUGCUGAUGAUAGUUCUGAAAGUUAUUCCUCCGGUUAUCCCUGUUCUGAUAAGAAGAUAUGGCACUUGCAUCCCCUUCUCUCCUCUUCUGUCCCUGAAUGAACGGCUUCUUCACCCCUGAUGAGGAUCCAUCUCCACUCUGGGUCUUGUAUGUCCUCAGGUAAUUCUCCACCCUCUCUCCGGUAGAGACUACAUCAGCAAAAUUGGAGGCAUUGCAACCCACCAGGCGCUCCAAAUAAGGUCCUGGCAGAGUGUUCAUGAACAUGUUAGCCAUUUCCUUCUCCAACAUAGGAGGUUGAACACGGGAAGCUGUUUCUCUCCAGCGUUGAGCGUAUUCUCUGAAGCACUCAUUGCUUUUAAGAGACAGAUUUUGAAGUUGAGUUCUGUCCGGAGCCAUGUCUGCAUUAUACUGAUACUGCUUCACGAAAGCCUCAGCCAAAUCCCUCCAGCAACGGAUGUGGGCUCUGUCCAGCCUCAUAUACCAUUCCAGGGAUGCCCCAGCUAGGCUGUCCUGGAAAAAGUACAUAAGCAACUUUUCGUCAUCGGAGUAUGCAACCAUUUUACGGAAAUAGGCUUGCACAUGGGUCUUCGGGCAAGAGUUGCCAUUGUAUUUGUCAAAUAUCGGGACCUUGAAUUUCGGUGGCACUCUCACACCUGGGACCAGCCCCAAGUCAGCAACAUCUACUCCCAGAGGAUUCUGUGCUUCCACUGCCUUCAACCUCUCUUCCAAUCUUCAAAACAUGGGGUCCACACCAUGACCCAUACCAAAGUCUUCCUGCAGCAGGGGGAACUGAUCGUCCUGAUCAUCAUGAACGGGUUGUUGACCGGAGAUGACAUGUAGGAUUGAGAUAGGCCCCGGUCCAUUGGGUCCAUUAGCCUCUCCAGCUGGAGGAUCAGUCGCCGUCUCUGGUUGAGCAGGGGGGUUCCUCUGUAUCAUCUGCCUGAGCUCUUGUUGUCCCUGAGCCACCCCUUGAACCACAUCCAUGAAUUGAUUCAUGCGGAUUUUCAUCUCGACGAACUCUUCCUAUAGGCUCUCCAUUACUCUCUGUUGGUUUCUGCGGGUACCGUACCGGUGAAUGCCUGGGUCAGUUAUCCUGCUGAUGGAACACCAAACAAACUGAGAACACUGUGGCGGUACCUGUUAUGCAAGACAUGCUAAUGAAGAUGUAAAUGCAAUGACAUGUUUAUCAAUUCCAAAGGUAUUCUACCCCCUUUAUCCCAGCCUCUCAAUAGAUAAACGAUGUAAAAAAAAAGACUAAGCCGUUGAUGAGAACCAAGAAAAUUCCGACUAGAAUCAAGUAGAAGAUAUAAACCCCACAGAAAUAGAUAAACAUGUGUGAAUGAUUAUGAAUGCAAAAUGAUGUGAUGCAAAAUGAUGUGAAUGCAGUGCAGUGGCAUGGGAAUCAGGAUCGCUGUAUCUGCUUGAACAUCUGUCAGGUUGCACUGUCUGGAGAGAAAUUAAGAGCACACCAAACAAAGGUCAUGGGAUGGAUCAUGUUAUCCUUAAUAUCAACCACCCAUUUUGGUGGAUUAUGGUUUACACCUUAUCAACACCCAAGUUUCAUUGAUAUUAAGGAUACCUGAUCGGAUCAACCAUGAAUCAAGGGUUUGUUGCAAGUCACGAGCAUGGAGUUUAGGUUAAGAACCACCCAAAAGGAGUGUACUAAGGUUUAAACCUGCCAAACAUGUUCUACAAAAGGUUCCCAUAGUCAUAAUCCCAUCUUUCGGAUAUUAUCGGAGGAACGACUACUCGUAUUCCAAAAAUAUUCUCAAGAGAGACUCUUAUGAGUGUAGUAUCGCGUAACAAUCGUAUCAAAUCUUACACUUGAACGACUUUCGCACUACGUCCUACGAAUAGGCCAAGAUGGGUUUGGUAAACUAAGGUCCUUGGCUUCUAAGGUCUAUAUUGGAAAAAGUAAUGUCUAACCACAACUUACUUGUGUGACAUUAUUGAUCUCAACAUGACCUCCACCAAGUGAAUGGGCUUGCAAGUCAACUUGCUAAGGAAUAACUCCACACAAGUCGACAAGACUAUGCCAUUCUCCUAUCCUAAGUGCACUCGAGUUCGGGUAUAGAACUCAUCUCACAAAGAUCACCAAGCAGCCAUAGCCAGCCAACAGAUACAACAAUGAUAUGUACACAAUGCAAUAAGGUAAAGCAGGUAAAUAAAUAAAUGUACAAAAGCAUGAACACCCAAUAAACAAACAAACUACAAAAGCUAGGAGGGACUCGCUUAGGGAAACCGAGUCCCCAGCAGAGUCGCCAGCUGUCGCAACCUGAAAAAUACAGUGCGCGAAAAAACAACCGGCGAAAGAAAAUGACAGAAGAGUCGCCACCGUGCGUUAUUCAUCCCAAAGGAGGGAAAGGAAACGCUCGAAGUAAACCUGAAAAAGGAAAGGACAAGACGGGGUCUCGCAACCAAAUCUUGGGUUCGGGAGUCGGUUAUGCGAAGGGAAGGUAUUAGCACCCCUACGCAUCCGUAGUACUCUACGGGAUCCACUUUUGUAGUUCUUGUCUAAAGGGUGUGGGUUUAUCUUGUGCUGUUUGCCAAAAAAAAAGGGUUAAAUGAAAAUGACUCGCGCGGAUGUCGCAUCCACUGCAUACGUAUCUCAUCUGAAUAUGAGAAUCAGAGUCUUCGUAGCUCGGCUACCUAUGGGUUAAAGAGAAGUGUGCUCGCUAAGACAUCGCGUCUUAUGCCUACGUAUCUCAUCUGGAAUGAGAAUCAGAGCAAGCCGUAGUUCGGCUAACUACGGGGUUAUGGAUUGGGUUUUGGACGAACGACGUUACUACGCAAUCUACCGGAUGCUCGACCUUUGGAGACUUACUCGCCUGUAGUAGAAGGAGUAAACGUGUGUUAUGGAGAAGAAAAAUCAAUGAAGGGUUUGUUUGCAUUGUAGGAACGCGCAUGCAAAAGGGUAAUGAGGAUAAGACCUCAUAGCUCUUAACCCUGGACAAAGGAACCUGCAUAAAGUAAACACAAAAACAUUGCCUCCUAUCGAGGUCUUCCAGCUAGGAAAGCAGUAAAAUGCGGGAAAAAUGUAAAAGGUACCACACGGAUGAAGAUCCGAGGUAACAACAAUUAAAGGAACGAUAAACCCUGAGAUCCCUCCAAGCUAAACACCAUCAAAGAAAGCGAGUCAGUACAGGUAAUCGAAAUGAAACCUCCAGGCGGUAUCCCACAAAUAAAGUGGAAAACCAUGCAAGUUAUCCCUGCAAAAGUCAUGUGAGCCCUCACAAAAAACUCAACAAACAGGUUAGAGACAAAAAAAUAGGGUAAUCAAGGGUUUCCCCCAAAUCAAAAUGUAACCACAUGAAUCAUGCCAUUAAAAUUCACAAAAAAGACAUGCAUCAAAAGGGUAUCAAAUUCACCCAUAAUACCUCAAACAUUCAGAGCAUUCAAAUUAAAGGCAUAAAGAUGAUGGGUAUAGGGCAAACCUGAUUGGAGAGCUUGAUUGAAAUUGAGUUGCACCCGUGAGGUUUACAAAACAAUCUUUAGGAUUUAUGUGAGGCAAAGGUGAUUAUGUGCAGUUGAGUUCCCUUCAGGGUUUGGAGGUUGCUCUGAGUUCUCUGUCAGGUACUCUCUCUCUAGGUUUUGUCCAGGUUUUUGUUCCAAGGAAACCUCAGAGUGUUUUGCUUCUCUUCCUUUUUCUCUCUCCUUUGUUUUAAUGAACUCUAGUAUUUAUAGGCUAAUAUUGGUAGCUUAGUGGGCUUUUGAGAGAGGUCCAAGUUUGAGAUUUUUUCUUUUAUUUAUUUAUUAAAUUUUUUUUAUUUUUUUUUUUGAAAAAAUAUUCCGAUUGCCAUGAUGAAAUGCAAAUGCUAAAUGACCUAAAAAUGAAUGCAUGCAUAAGGUGUAAAGCGUAUGCUUCCAGGAAAAAUGAAGGGUAAAUUUUGGGGUAUUACAACGACACUUUGAAUCGCCACUUAAAACCGACAGUGGGGAUUGGGUCAAUAGGUUCAGACAUGACUUGACAAUGUUGGGGAAUAUCAAAACAUAUGACAGUAGGUUCAAACAUGACCUGAAAAUAUUGGAGAAUCCAGAGAGAGUAUAUAAAUAGGUUCAUACAUGAUCUGGUGACAACUUAAACAUUCUUGACAAAACCUGGAGAUUUCUCACAAGAAAAUCACCCGAUCAAUUUUUUUUGGAAAAUACUGUCACUGAAAGAGUCAAAACGAUAACUUUAUAGGAAGUCAGAGUCAACAGGAUAGAAAAACUCUCUGUAGGUGCCAACCACAAUUGGACUUAUACCAUAAACAUAUGGUACAACUCUCUUCAAACAGAUUAGUGUCAGUUACAACUAGACUUCAAGGCUGCUGGUGACGACCAGACUUAAAGAUACCAUUUACAGAUGGAUUUGACAAAUGCUGGUGACAACCAGACUUUAAAAUGAUACCAGUUACAACUGGAUUUGACGGAUGCUGGUGAAAACCAGACUUUAAAAGGAUACCAGUUACAACUGGAUUUGGAAAUGUGCGCCAGUUACAACUGGACCUAACAGAUAAUGCCAACAACAAUUGGACUUGCAAACAAAUAUGGUGAUAACCAGACUUAUCAUACCAUUUACGCAUGGAUUUUAAGACAGUUCCGGUUACAACUGUGAUUGGGGAUACCAAUUACAAAUGGAUUUAAGAUAAGAUGCUGGUGACAACCAGAUUUUAAAGAGUCACCAGUUACAACUAGAUUUUAACAUUUGAGCGCCAAUUACAACUGGACUUAACAAAUAAUGCCAAUAACAAUUGGACUUGCAAACAAAUGAUGGUUACAACCAGACCUAUAAGUACCAAUUACCAUUGGAUUUUGAAAACAAGAUGCUAGUUACAACUGGACUUGAGAGGUAAUGCCAAUAACAAUUGGACUUACAAACAAUGUUGGUUACAACCAGACUUCAAAAAGGUACCAAUUACAACUGGAUUUGGAAACAGGACGCCGAUUAUAAUUGGUCUUGACAAAAGAUGUUGGUGACAACCAGAUUUAACAAACGACGCCAAUAACAACUGGUGUUAGAGGUCACGGGAUCAAAUCAACAACGAGACCCGAGAUUACGCAAAUGAGCACGAAGUAUACUUCGGGCUAUGCAUGACUUUUAUUUUGCUUAUAUGCAUGAUAUAUGAAUGAACAUGAAAUGCAAAUGCUGACAAUAUGCAGACUGAAAGUUUAGAGAAGGCUUUAUGGAGGUACUGAAUCCUCAACACCAAUAACUCAACCAAAGGAGUGAGUAAAUGUAUCAAAGGAGGAUAUAUCAAGCUGAACAGUUACAACUGGCCCAAUAAUCCUUUCAGAGAAUGAUAAAUUUAUGCUCUCUGGAGAUAUAUGUUGAUCAUCCAAGAGAAGUCUUGCAACUUGAGACUUGUGGAGAAAGACGAAAGGUUUCCUUUUAAUAUUUCCACAUGUCAAAGCAAAAUUGUGUUUCUCAAUAUGUUGAAAAAUUCUUUUUGAGUUCAAAAUUUCACUAUUAACAAAUAAAUGGCAUUUUGUAUAACAAAGAAAAUCUGAGAAAAACAACAAAUGAUAGAAUUUGAUAGGCAAUCUUGUAUUUAUUCAAGAAUGGCAGCACACAAAUGGUGUAGCUCCAUGGAAUGUUACACAUCUGAAAAUGGCAAUAGGGAAAGGUUUACAUCAAAUCACAAUGAUUACUACUAUCCCUAAUAACAAUGACUCCACAAAACCUCGCUUUUGAAGGGAGCAGUUGGAUUGAUCUUCCACCUUUAGCUCUUCUGUGUUGAUCAGUGACAACUGAUGCAGUCUAUGCCUUUUGUCCCUAAUUUUUGCCUGGAUCUCCCUUUCGGGUUUUCAAUCCACCGGGACGCUCCUUUUUACCUAAGUCGCUCUUUCAGGUUUUCAACUUAGCGAGCUACAAUUUUUUUUAAUUAUCCCUAACUUUUGCCUUGACUGCCCUUUUGGAUUUUAAGUCCACCGGGUUUUGUUAGGCAUAGUAUCUUUUGAAUGCAUCAGAGUUCACAGGAUGAAUGAGCUCUUCGCCAUCCAUGGUUGUGAGAAACAAAGCACCUCCAGAGUAUGCUCUCUUUACAACGUAUGGGCCUUCAUAGUUGGGAGUCCACUUCCCACGCAAAUCUUUGUGUACCGACAGGAUCUUCUUGAGCACGAGAUCCCCUUCCUUGAACUCUCGAGGGAGAACCUUCUUGUCAAACGCUUUCUUGAUUCUUUGCUGGUACAAUUAUCCAUGGCACAAAACGGUCAUACGCUUCUCAUCAAUGAGGUUAAGUUGAUCAUAAUUAUUCUGGAUCCAUUCAGCUUCAUCUAGCUUGGCCUCCAUCAAUAUUCUCAUUGAAGGUAUCUCUACUUCGACUGGGAGAACUGCUUCCAUACCAUAGACCAAGGAGAAUGGGGUUGCCCCUGUUGAAGUGCGGACUGAGGUCUGGUAUCUAUUCAAAGCAAAGGGUAGCAUCUCGUGCCAAUCCUUAUAAGUUUUCACCAUCUUUUGCAGGAUCUUCUUGAUAUUUUUGUUGGCGGCUUCAACAACACUAUUCAUCUUGGGACGAUAUGGAGAAGAGUUAUGAUGGUCAAUCUUGAAACUCUCACAUAAUUCUGUCAUUGUCUUGUUUGAAACUCUCACAUAAUACUGGUAUGAACUUCCGACAUUUUGGUUGUGAAUUCAAACAGUCACUAAUGUCUGACGCAAUCUGCUUGAUUGUCUUAAAGAUAUGAAGGGAGUCUUCCCCUUGCAACCUGCCUUGUCCCAGUAUGUAGGGUGUUCAAAGGAAUUCUCCUUGAAAGGAAACCCUUAGGAGUGAUUAUCGUAUGACAUGGUCUGAGUCUGUUUCCUCCAACGUCUGACUCUUGCAAUGGUCUGCCCCUGAUUAGCCUUUGAAAGACCUGUCUUAGACGGACUGAGUAUUGAAGUGAUUUUCCUCCCUGAUCAACCGAUGCUUGGAGAUUUGUCUUACACUGACUACUUCUUAAGUCAUCAUAAUCAAAAGGUGCCAUGCCCCUGAUCCAUAGGAUUAUGAGAUGGUCUUGAUUCAUGUCAGCACCAACGAUCAAGUGCCUCUUGAAUUGCCCCUUGUUGGAAUUUCCUUGAUGCCAAGUAUUGACUUGCAAUUAAAAAUUGUUCAUUCAGGAAAUGGUGAUUUUAAUGCAAUAGUUAUGCAUGUUUUGAAAAACAAUCAUUCACUUGGGAGUGUUAUGGUAGUGUGUGACGAGUGGACCAUGAGUCCAAACGCGGUGUUGAUUUUAGCUAGUGUGUGAGUGAUAUAGUGAGAAUAGAAUAUUAGCAAAUCUCUAGAAGUCAGUUUACUCAACCUUGUUAUAGUAUGCUUUCAGAAUAAACCUUACUUCAAUUAGGUCUUUUGAGGGUUGUAACGUGGCUUGGUUCACGGUUAUUGAAACGAAAGGAUAUAAGGCUCAAAGUUUAUUUUAACCCACCCUUUCUUCAUGAUGAUCUCCAAUCCUACGUUCAGUUAAUUCAACACACACUUCACUUUUACGAGAGUUCAGCAAUGUAAGAUCUAUUGAAAUGACAGUCAUCCUAUUUUGCUCUUCAUGUCUAUUGGUGACCCUUUGAUUUUGGUAUGAUGGUCACGGAUUCUUGUUUUGUUUUGUGAAGGACUUUCAUUGUCUCUUUCGAUUUUUGUUUUGAUCCCUAACUUUUGCAUGGACCGCUUGUUGAAGCUUUAAUCCAUCGGGACUGCCCCAGUUUUUGCCUAAGUCUCUUUUUAGGAUGUUGGACUUAGCGGGCUCUUUCUUUGAUUUUUUUGAAAAAUUGUGACUGCCAAGUCAUUGGUCAUUGAAGAACAACCGACAUAAAUUUUGGAUUUUGUAUGGUUCCUUCGACACUUCAGGAUGUGUAGAAGAAUAUCAUGUGGCUGAUCUUCACAUGGGAUAUUUCACUUUUGUAAUUCGAAUGCGUAGUCAGAUCAACUGAACACUACCCUGCCCCAGAUUAAGCGUAAGGGUUUUGUAGAUCCGAAAGAAACUCCUACUUCUAGGCUCGAAGUGGUUGACUAGGGAUUAACUCCUUAUAUCUCCAGUGUUUGGGGAUUUGAAAUAAUGCAUGUACAUCAUUAGUAGGAUUUUAUCCAAAAGCAUACAAUCAGCAAUUAUGGGUAUUUCGUUUUCGUCAUCCUCCUUCCAAUAUUUACUAACAACAAUGUAAUAAAGAAGGUGAAGUGGAAAAGUAUGUGUUUGUGCUUUGCAAAUGCGAUAUAUGAGUGAAUAUGAAAGAUUGAUUCAAAGCAUGCAUAAUCAUCACAUUAAUAAGACCAAAUAUAAAUAACAAUGUUUAAAGCAUACAAUACCUAGACAAACAAGAACAAAUUACAAGAACGCGAAAUGCUAAAAAUGGAAUAAUGAUUGCCUUCAUUCAAAGCAACGGGACUUCAUCUCUUGAUUCUUUGUUUGGGAGUUGUUCUGCUUUUUCAGGUCAGUGAGAAGCUUUAUCUUCGAGCUUCACUCUGCUCCGCAUGCGCCGACAUGGGGUUUGUUGCAACAUUUGGCCUAACUGGCGUGAAAGUAACUACCUUACUGUCAAUCAGGUCCUGGACCUUGUGCUUGAAGGCCUUGCAAUUUUAUACUGUGUGCUCUAAGGCACCCAUAUGAUACUCGCAGUGAGCAUUGGAGCGGUAGCCUGGUGGAUAGGGCGGGGUUGCAGGUGUUAGCUCCUUCAAAACAAUUGAUCCAUCCUUUAGUAGGUAGGGAAGGAUUUUGCUGUAUGGUACUGCCAAUGGAUCAAAAUGUCUUUCUGGCCUCCUUGCCCUCUGCUGAUUAGGUUGACGUUGUUGUGGAGCACGUUGUUGUUAAUUCUGAUGUGGCUGCUGGUAAGCUGGCCGUUGAUACAGCUGCUGAUAUGGUUGUUGAUAUGGUUGUUGAUAGGGUGGCUGAUAUGGUGUUGGGAUGACAGCGCCAACCUGAUGGUAAGGUACAGGAACAUAAGGAUGUGCCCUAUAUCCCCCUCCCGUUAUGGCAUUGGUCUGACCUUCUGGCUUCUUUGGGAGAUUGGGAUAGAGUUUCUUCAUCCCACCGGAGACAUUGGCGGCGCAAGGUAGCUUUCCUUUCCUGAUCUGGCUUUCAAUUCGUUCUCCCACAGAGACAACCUCAGCAAAAGUUGGAAAACUGGAUCCUACCAUUUUCUCCAUGUACUGGGUGUGCAGAGUUCCCAUAAACAUAUCGAUUAAUUCCUUAUCAAGGAGAAGAGGUUGGACACGAGCUGCAAUCUCUCUCCACCGUUGUGCGUAUUCCUUGAAUGACUCAUUGUUGCGUUGAGUCAUGUCUUGCAGCUGGGUGCGAUUGGGUGAUAUAUCGGUGUUGUAUUGAUAAUGCCUAAGGAAGGCUUCAACGAGGUCUCUCCAUGACUGAACCUGUCCUCUCUCUAACUGCAUAUACCACUCCAAAGAUGCCCCACUGAGGCUAUCUUGGAAGUAAUGAAUCAGGAGUUGAUCAUUGCUGAUGUGGGCAGCCAUCUUGCGACAGUAAGCUCUGAGAUGAGUUCUAGGGCAGCUGAUCCCUUUGUAUUUAUCAAAGUCCGGGACUUUGAAUUUCUGCGGAAUCAUCAAUCCUGGCACCAGGCACAUAUCGACAGCGUCCAAACCGGGAGUAUUGUGAACCUCCAAGGACUUAAAUUUCUCUUUCAAAGCAUGGAGUCUCUCAAUAGCUGGGUCUAGGAGACCUCCGACAAUAGGUUUGGCGGGUUGUGGCAUGAAGAAAGCAUCAUACUGAUCUUCAUCACCCAUCAUGGAUCCCUGUCGAGCAGAUGCAGCAGAAUGUUCAUGAGGGUUCACAUUGUCCACUGGAAUAGGAAUAGGGAUCGGUCCUCCUCUUGGAUGGGCAGGGUUACCAUCAAGGUUAGUUACUCCAGGGAUGCUAAGCGAUGGCGAUCCAAACUGAGCAGUAACUCUUCUGGCUUCGGCGUUAGUCUCAGCAUCCUUCUCCUUCUGGGAUAAGAGUAACAUAGUCUCGAGCAAACGAUCCAUCUUCGUCUGCAUGGAGUCAAUGUAUGUUCUCAUCGAAACCUGGUUUGCUUCAAGCUGUUCGAGUGUCAUCUUGUAGUUGCGGUGUGUCCCGUACCGGUGUCGAGUAGUCAGCGUUACUGGACAAAGGGUAGAAUAUGGUGUAAGUUUUUGUUUCUGGACAAUGGUAUGCAAUGCAUGUUGAUGACAUGCAAAUGCAUGAAAUUUUGCCAUGUUUUUCGCAAAGGAAUACAAAUACUCAAAAUCAAUCACACGUCGUGUACAUUAGGAUAAAAGGAUGAAGCCCGGGUUUCUUGAUUACUAAACAUUCCCAAAGGUAGGUUCUAAAGUUAUGUUUUCAAGGAAGGAACUUAGACUCACGGAUCAUGUUCAAAACUUCCUCGCAAUAAUGGGUUGGCCACAUCGUGAUGGGAGUUUCGCACUGAUCUAAUCUAAGUGGGAUUCUCGUAUGUUCGAACAGGGUGUAGACCCUUCAGUUCAAUACUACAUAAUCAUUAAUCAUGAAAACGAAACCUGGGUUUAAGGCGAGGUUCCUAGAGUCACAGAUCGUAUUUAAAAUUUCCCCACAAUAAUGGGCUAUCCAUAUUGUGACGGAGAUUCCAAACAGAUCUACUGUAAGUGGAGUCUUCGUAUUGUCCCAAUGAGGUGUACACCCCUUGGUUCAAUACUACACAACUCCGGGUUCUAAGUUCUUCUCGAAGCUUGGGUAUGAAGCUUAUGUCACAGCAAACAUCAAGUCCCAUAUCAAAGUCUCAACACACAUUACAUACAAGCAACAUAAUAAGAUACAGAGAAGCAAUACGGAAGAACGAAAUAUUAUUUUAACAUUCAUUGCAAUCUAGACUAAAUUAGGCUAGACUCUCUCUUGCUUGGAGCGGGUCCCCAGCAGAGUCGCCAUCUGUCGCACCUCAAAAAAUAAUGCGAUCCCUCGCGAUGGACACAGAAAAAUUUAGUUCGAACAGAGUCACCAUCGAACUUUAUUCAUUCAAAUGAAGGAAUAGGAAAAUAUUGAUAAAACCUUUCAAAAAUAGAAUAAUGGUCGUCGCAACCAUAUUCGGGUUCGGGAGUCGAUUACACAAGGGGAAGGUAUUAGCACCCCUCACGUCCGUUGUACUCAACGGAAACCUUUUAGUCUGAUUUGCUAUUUGAAUGUUAGUUGACUUUUAUUCGCUUUCUUUGAGUAAUUUAAAAUUGAUAAUAGAGACGGGUGAAGACCUCAGAAGGAAAAAGGGGAGGUUUUUUAUUAGUGUGCUCACGAAGAUACAGCAAUCUCCUGCCUACGUAUCCUUAUGGUGCAAUAAGGAAAUCAGAGCAUUCGUAGUUCGGGGUUUACGAUUGGUUGGUGUUUUUUAAUAAACGACUGUGUAGAUCACAUUCUAAAGGCUAAACGUUGGCUUGUCUACUCUCGGAGAAGGCUUAACCACUAGUCUGUUAUGCGCAUUGGAAAGGAUUAACAGUGUUCUUUUCGAAAAGAUUUUUGGUCACGCGGGGGUGACAAGUUGAGUUAAUAUGUUUGAUGUUUUUGUUUGGUUGAUUGUGAUUGCACGGGGCGAGAAGUUAGGUUUGAUAUGUUUAAGAUAUUUUUGAAGAACCACGAAAGAUUGAGCAAUGCGGUGCACACCAAUCGUUUAAUUCUUUCGGGGAAUAAUAAGGCGGACGCCUUCUACUCCUUUUUUCGUUUGAAUUAUUUUUGAAAGUUUGUUUGCGGAUGUCGAAUAUGCACGGUAACGAGGCGUGCGCCUCCCACCUGUUUAUUCAAGGAAUAAUAAGGCGUGCGUCAUUCAUUCCUUUAUCCAAGUUUAUUUAAAGUAUUUUAAUCAGAAGUCGAAAGAAAAUCGAGCAAUAGGGCAAGCGCCAAUCGAUCAAUUAUUCAAGAGAUGGUGAGGUGAAUGCCUCCCAUCCUUUAUCAUCCGGUAUUUAAUUUAUAAAAAGAAAUGUUCUCAGAUAUUGUAUUAAUUUGGGAAACUAAUUUGAAUUUUGAAUUGGUAGGUUUUGAUCGAAAGUCGAUGACUUGAGCAAUGUGGCGUGCGCCACUCGUUCAAAUAAUCAAAGGAUGGUGAGGUGAACGCCUCCCAUUCGUUCAAUUGAAGUUUAAGUUUAAAGUUUAUUUUGUGAAAUUGUGUUUGAUCUAAGAGGUGAUUUGAAUUUAUUCGAUUGCGUUUUAAUUUGACGACGAGAAUUCGAUCAAUAUUGCGUACGCCAAUUAUUUGAAUAAUCAAAAGAUAGUAAGGCGAACGCCUCCCAUCCUUUUAUUAUCAGAAAUUUAGAAUUUAGAAUGUUUUAGAAAUUAUAUUAAUUUGGAAGAAAUGAUUUGGAUAUUAUGGUUGAAGCUUUAAUCAGAUGACAAGAAUUCAAGUAAUAUGGCGUGCGCCAAUCAUUCAAAUACUUGAGAAAUAGUGAAGCGAACGCUUCAUAUAUCUUUUUCAUCCCAUGUUUACGCUAAAAGAGGAAAUUCUUUAAAAGUUAAAUUGUUUAGAAAAUUAUUUGAAUUUGCGGAAUGGCGAGUGAAAUUAUUUACACGUGAGGUUGAUGGCGAUGCUAAAGUAAUCGACUUACAAAGGGUUUGUUUUGAAAGUGGGCUUGAUGUUAACUCAAGAAUUAUGCAAUUUUUGUUUUAGAAAUUGGUUUGGAUUGAUAAUGGAAUUGAAUUGGCUUGAAAGGAUUAUGAAUUGAUGAUGAGAUAAAUCGGUCCAUUUUUUUUACUAACAAAGUUGUUUGAUCAAAAUUUAGUUAAAUUGUCUAACUAAGGUAAUCACAAUUAAUUAUCAAAAUUAUUUGAUUUAAAAAUUAGUAUAAUCAAAUAAUUAAGCUAAUUAAAGUUAAUUAAUAAAAUCAUCCUAAUUUAAUCGAAACUUUAAUUAAUUGAUUUAUAAAAAAGAGAAAUAAACUAUAAUAUAAAAAUGUGAAAUGAUCGAAUUGAGUCAGUGUGCUCAAACCGGUUUGUGCGAAACAACAACAUGCCCAAUGUCAUUCGCAAGAUCCAAACGCGGUGAAAAUAUUCUAUUGAUAUAUUGGGUUUUUGGUGGCAUAACGACAUAUAUUGUCGAGUCCAUUGAUUAUAAAUUCUAUCAAGCAACACAAACAGAAACAUCAAUCGCAAAUAUCCUUACAAAAUUAAUACAACAUAUGGAAAUUUAUUAUUAGUAAAGCUCGGAUACACUAAGCUAGUAAAAGAACGGGCCCAUCUCUUCACCAUUCAAAUGGCCCAAAAUCUGAAUUUUAAACUCAACUCUCAAAAAAACAAUUAACCAAUAAUGCUAAAUAAAUUAAAACAACUAAACAGGGUCUCUUUUCUCCAAUUCUUCAUUUACUGGCACAAUAUCACAAGUGUUGCAAGCAUCAUAUGGUCAAUGCCUCACCAUUCGUUAUCAACACGAACCAAUAUUUCAUAACCUGUAACCAUCACUACAAUGUGGAAUAUCAAAAGCAACUCAUAAUACAACUCAUAAUAAGCUCACGCCCAACAAAUUUGGCAAACACACCCAGUCGAAAUGAAUAUCAAACAAUCAACUCAAAGUUUUCAACAUGACAACUCCAAUCUCAAUUCACCAAAAUAGCUUAAACAGAAAACAAAUCUUGAAUUUAUUCUAUACAGCACACGAACUUAAACAUUACCGAUUUUCCAAGGAUUGAUGUGGUUGCUUCCGUGCUUUAUCGCUCACGUCCUCCCGGAAAAAUUGAGACUUUCUCCCUUGUUCGCACCCAAGCAGAAAUGUCCAUGGAUUGAGCUCAAAGCUCUGUUGCACAUUGAAGUCACCAUCGGACCAUCAACAACCAAACCUAGGAAGUAUAUAAUUUUAAAACGCUUUUAAUCAUCUAGAAAAUAGCAAGGGAUGCGGUAUUGUCGUGGUUGUGAAGGUUGCUUGUGUGAUUUGGAUCGUGGCGCAUUUCGAUGGAUGACAGCGGUAUGGAGGUCACCGUUUUGACACGGACGAAGAUGGUGGUUGAAGAGGGUGAACGGAAAACGGAGGGAGUGGUCUAUGAGGUUUAGAGGAAGAGUAUUGAGAGAGGAUUUCUUGGGUUGUUGGUGGUGAGGUGCGAUUUGCCGGCGGUGAAAUGUUUUGAGCGGCGGUGGAUUAAGGUUGUGGCGGAGGCUUGGGAGAACGGGCGAUGGAGGUUAUUUUGUUGGAGGAGAGGAAACGUCGAAGAAGAGGAAGAGUUUUCUUGUUUUUAUUUCUUUUCUUUUCUUUCCAUCUUCCAUCCAGAGAGAGAGGGAGUGAGGAAUUAAUGGUGUGUGGGCAGUGAGUCCCAAGAUGAAACGUUCUUUCCUUUUUUAUCUGAGAGAGACAAACUAACGUGGCCCAUGAAUGCCCCCCCCCCCCCCCCAAUUUCUUUUUCGUCUUUUCUUUAUAUUUUCUUUUUUCGCUUUUUUAUUCCCUCAAGACCGUUGAGAGAGUGAAUGAUUCCCAUGAGUUGUCAUGUCCUUCUCUCUCUUAGUCCCAAAAAAUCCAUUAGCUGUCAUGUAUCCAAAAUAGGAGAAUCCCAUGCGCCACAUGUCACGCAACCAUUGGGUCAUUCAUGAUUUUUGUUUUAUUCAUAACCAUCUUGCAGGAGAGAGACACGUGAGGAGGAAGCAAUGAAAGAAGGGGAAGAAAAUAUUUUAUUAUUUUUUCUGAUUUAUUUAUUAACAUUAUUUAUUAAAUCUAAUUUUUGAUUGGAUAAUAGAAAUGAGUGGGGAUUGCUCACAUUGGCCAUUGAUUAAUCUUGAUCUAGCGAUCGUGGUUAAUUCAAAGAAACACACCAAGAAGCACACAUUUUUAAAAUAAAUUUAAAUACCUACAAUGCCCUUUUAGAUGAUUUAAUCGAUUUAAAACAAUUUAAAUCAAAUAAAAAUUACAAUUUCUAAAAUGAAUUUGGUAAAAAUAAAAUGAUGACAUGGAUAUUCCUAUUUAAAUUUUAUUAACACUUUAGAGAAAUAAUAAAAAUAAAACGACUGGAAAUGAAUAAAAGUCGGGCGAAAAUUUGCUCGAAAAAUUAAAUCGGACGCACUAAAAUGAUCAGCACAAAAUAUACUUAUUGAAAAAAUAUAGCGUUUCUUUAAAUUCUGAAAUAAAUUUUCAUCGAUUAAACGACUCAGGCGGGUCAAAAUGCAGCCGAACAGUCGCUGAAAAUUAUAACGAGCACACCAGGUUAAACUACGUGAACAACAUUUUAAUAAUACUGACGUCUACAAUUUUGAUUUCGAAACUUUUUAUCCUCUGAUUUUGCACGUACUUGAGGAAUAAUUUAACCGGUUUGUCUGUAUUUUCAAUAAUUUAUCCCAACUGAUAUUUUAGGUAUUAUUCAGGAUGAAAUGCAUGUCAUGUUGUGCAUAUGAUGCAAUUUGAAAAUGAAAUCAAAUUUAUGAAAAUUCUAAAAAUGCCUGGACAAAAUUGGGGUACGACAGAUGGAUGCAAUGUUUUUUGGUACAGGUUCAAAGGUCCGAGGUAUGGAUAAAUCUGAUUGCUUUCCCAAAACAGGGUUCUCACCGGUUAUGAUCUAGGCUUUGUUAUAAAGGACCCCCAGAGUCACUGAUUCGCAAGAAUGUUUGACACUUACGGAAAAUAAUUUCUGAUCGUCAACUCCAUCUAGAGAAUCUAUUCUGGGUGAGGUUCUCGUACCGAUUCUUACGAAGUAUUCACCUCGGGAGUCCGUACUAUGCAACCAUCGACUUUGAUUCUAGACAGGGUACUCAAAGUCAUGGAUUCAAAAGAAUGUUUGACGCUUACGAAAAAUACCUUCCGAUCAUCAAUUCCAUCUAGAGAAUCUAUUCUGAGUGAGGUUCUCGUACCGAUUCUUACGAAGUAUUCACUUCGGGAAUCCAUACUACGUAACCAUCAUUCCUAGUUGGCCAAAGGUUCAAUGUUCUAAAAGGUUCUUAGAGUCACGGACCCCUUUGAAAUAUUGAAGCUUACGAAGUAUUCACCUCGGGCAACAAUAUUUGCAAAAGGAUCUACUCUAAGUGAGGUUCUCAUACCGACUCUUACGAAGUAUUCACCUCGGGAGUCUGUACUACUCAACCAUCUUCCUAUCUUAUGUUUUUUUUCACUCUAGACUCGGGUGUAGAGUCUUUCCCACAUGGUUUGCAAUCAGAAUACCCAAAUACCAACAAUCACAAUGGAACCAAUAUACAACAUAUAUAUCAAUAUAACAAUAAAGAUAAUAAAAGCAAUAAAGAAAAGCCACAAAAUUAAACAAACAAAUGCACACAAGCGUCCUAACUAGGCUUGACUCACUUAGGGAACGGUAAUCCCCAACAGAGUCGCCAUCUGUCAUACCUCGAAGAAUAAUGAACACGACCUAGCGAAGCGCAAUCGCAGGCUCGCAAUGAUGGACUGAACAGAUUUGCCACCGAACUUUAUUUAUUCCUAAAAGGAAAGGGGAAAUAUCGAUAAAACCCAAGAAAGAACGACAAUGAUUAUGGUCGUCGCAACCAAAUCAGGGUUCGGGAGUCGAUUACGCAAGAGAAAGGUAUUAGAACCCCUCACGUCCGUUGUACUCAACGAGAACCAUUAGGUUAGUUGUGCGUGUUAGUGUUAGUUUAAAAUGUUAGGCUUCUCGAGUUAUUAGGUGGGAAAGAAAGAAUAGAAAAGAGAAGAAAGUUUUUGGAUUUUCAACGAAGGAGACUAAACCUAAGUUUUUUAUUAAUGGGCCUGACAAGAUUUACGAAUCCUGCUCCUACGUAUCUCCAGGUGCAAUAGAGAACUCAAGGCUUACGUAGUUCUUGGUAGAAAAUGUUUGUUUGUUGGUCGAUUUUAGCAAAAGCUACUUUAUGUUAAUCGACGAAAACAUUGUUAGACUACCUAAAACAGGUGGAGAAACAUUUCCUUGCAUUGUUUUGAAACAAAGUACCUUUUGUUUGAGAAAGGGUUUGAAGGGUCAAUCGCACGACAGCGAGAAAAGAUUUUGAUUGGUUUGAUGUGUUUUGAGUAAUGGCGAGAACUUGGAUGGGCGAGAUAUCCAUCUCGAAUCCUGGUCUCAGGAGUGCGUGAUAUCCACCAUGUUCCAUUUCCAUCUUAUUUGAAAAAGUAUUUAAUAAGAAUUAAGUGUUUUUGAAUUUGAUUGAGAAAUGGUUUGAAGAAACCGCAUUGACAAUUUUGGAUGAUGGCGAGAGCUAAAAUAAGUGAGGCAUCCACCUCGAAUCUUAAUCUCAAGAGUGCAUGGUAUCCACCACGUUCCAUUUCCAUCUUUAUUGAAAAGUGUUAAAUAAGAAUUAAGUAUUUUUUUGAGUUUUUAUUGUAAAAAUGGCUUGACGUUGGAUCAAGCAUUUGAUGAGCGGUUGAGAAAGAACUCUGAAUGAAGGUUUGAGAGGAAUAAAAUAGAUAGAUUUGGAUGAUGGCGAGAACUAAAAUAAGCGAGGCAUCCACCUCGAAUCUUAAUCUCAGGAGUGCAUGGUAUCCACCACGUUCCAUUUCCAUCUUUAUUGAAAAGGUCUUAAAUAUCGAUUAAGUUUUUUUGAGUUUUUAUUGUAUAAAUGGCUUGAUGUUGGAUCAAGCAUUUGAUGAGCGGUUGAGAAAGAACUUUAAAUGAAAUGAUUUGAAAGAAAAGGAAUAGGUAGAAAUGGAUGAAUAGAAAUGGAUGGAUUUAUUUAUUGGGAAAAUACUCGAUGUUGGAUCGAGUUUUUAUUUUUUGAUCUUUUGGAAACGGUUGAUUUUAUUCUUGUGUUAGUAGCUAGCUAAACAGUCAAGCAAAUAAAGGAAUAAAACAGUAAAACUAUUAAACAUCAUGGGAGUGGGGGUACAUUUUUAUCGAAUGGGGAUUCAAAGUAAUGAAAUAAUUAAAUCGGGCCCAACCAAAAAGCAAUGCAGUGUAUGAGUGUGGGUGUAAGAGAACCGUCUCAUUGUAAGAAAACCCAAGAGUAAGUUGUGUGAGGUUGACGGCGAUGCUUAAAGGCAAUCGACUUACAAGGGUGUGGAGAUGGGGAAAUUACAACUAAGUACUGUGCUCAAAACCGGUUUAUGUAUCAUGUCAACAUUGAAUGAUCAUGUGCGACCAACCGAAACGCGGCGAAAUUCUAUUGUUAUCUCGAUGAAAUAAUCAUGGAUAAACAACAUAAGAGCGGUUGAAUCCAUAAAUUAAAAUCGAUGCUUUGUCAAUUAAAAUAAAUAAAAUGUGUAAACAUUAAAAACAAUGAGUAUCGGAGAAAUUAUAAUAAAACAUGAACAUGGGAGGAUUAAAAAGAAUAACGUAAAAAAGAAAUUAAAAUGUUGCAAAACCAAAUAUGCCACACAUGGGUAUCGAACCCAGGACUAAGAGGGAGAUUAACUAUCUCCAUCUCCACCCGGCCAUGAGUUACCAAUUGUCAAACCAGGACCAACAAAAACCUAAAUACUAAGUUGAAACUUCGAAAGAGAAAAAAACAAACAAAAAGGCCAACUAAUGGGCCGUUGGAGUAAGUUGGACCAAAGCCCACGAUAAUGGCCAUAUCACGAAAAUAGAACAGGUCAAGAGUCCAACGGUCACCCUAGCCGCAUGGCUGUUGGGUGACGGAAACCGAAGAUCCUUCUCACUAUAAUGCCAAAUGUCGGCAUUAAUGAGUGGUGGUUGUAAUAGAGAGCCACGCAAGUCCCAACGGUAAAGCCAACGGUCAAAAAAAUCAUUUCAAAAAUGGAAAUAAUUAAAAUGCAAAGGGAAAUGUUUAAAGAGGCAUUAGUGCAUUAAUGACCUAGUGUCAGCUUCCAAGGCAAGUUUCUUCUCCCAAAAAUAUUCUUAUUGUUUUAAACACCAAUUAAAGGGACGUUACUGUGGUUUAUUGAAACAAAAAUGUCCAAACCGAGAAAAAAACUUCUCCUCUCCCAAGCCAUGGCGGACGGUCAAGGAGAAAACCAAACACGUGACGAAAAACGCCACAACCUCAAGCAACACAGUAGGGAGAAAGACAAUGAAGAACAAAACAAAGAGAAAGACGAAAAGAUAUCAAACCAAAGCAACCUAAGUUCUCGUUCGCACCUAGAUCGUGUAUCCGAAGCGAUAAUGCAAUGAGAAAUUUACCUGAUCAACGGCGAUUGGAAAAGUGAUGUUGAAUCCUUCCUUCAAAUGCUCUUUCUCCCGUUGAUUCAACUCCGGUGCGCUCACUCGUCUGCUUUGCCUUCGGAAUAAGCUUUAGUCCAAACGGCGGCGAGAUGAAGCUCUAAGUUUCUCUCCAAAGAACGCCGCCUCCAGGUUCUUUAGACUCUCCUUCGUUUGAAUUUAUUUAGGGUUUUUUUUCUUAUCUCUGUUAACAUAUCCUUUUUCUUUAUGUAGUCCCGUUCUGAUUGUGAGAGGCCUCCCAAAAUUCUCUCUGUGGUCCCUCUCUUCUGUCCUUUUCACCGUUGGGGACGGCAUUACCUUUGGGAGUGUUGGUGAGUGUUCGUACGGACACUCUGGGACCUUUUGUCCUCAUCCAAACUUGUGACUCCUCCUCUACUCCUUAUUUUACCCUUUUACUGCUUGGUAAGAAAUUAACCACUGCUUAUGAAUUUACUCGACACACUUGAACAAAAAUGGGAUAUGUGUUUUCUUGAAUUGAUGAAAUGUGAUCAUGUUAAUUUGAUUUGUUGUUGUUGAUACUUGCAGCUUAAUGUUUCAGAUGAAGAUAUUAGUCUAUACUUUUCCAAGAUGUUGCAAUGCUACACAAGGUUAUCAUUGAUGGAGUAGGAAUCUUUAAUCUUUGCCUUGGAACAAAUUUUAUUUCAAGUGAAUUUCUUCAUUCCUCUCUUUAUUUUUUGUUGGAGAAUCUCAGUUCUUCAAGUUACCAAAAGUCAUGAGAACAAAAGUCAUGAGAUUCCACCUGAUUCUUAUCAAAUGAUAAUAGGCUCCAUGUCCUGCUUGACCAAGUGAAAUUAAUUACCCUAUACCAAGACAAAUGGCAAGGCCCAAAGGUUUAUGGAAUAGCAGGUGGUGAUAGAUCUAAACAAAAACAAAAUGGUGGAUAGAUUCAUGAUCAGAUGAAAUGGUCAUGCGGAGAAAUGUAAAUGAAUGAUUGAUUGGAAAAAAUUUCAGGACCAAAAUCAGGAUAUGAUAAUAGGGACUCAAAUAUUUCUCAUUUACAUCACAGAAAAAGCAAAAUAUAAAUAUCAUAUGAGGGCGAGAAAAUAUUUAAUUUAAAUAUAUUACAUAGAAAAACAUAUUUUGUCAGAGGUGGAGAAUUGUGUACAAUCACUACACGAAUCUGUAGAUGACAGUGUCGGCUCCGGACCACACAAAUAAAGCAUUUAUUGAAAUUUAUGCUCUGUUAUCGGAAAUUUCAAAUAUACUCAAAAAAUUUGAUAUUCCCGAAAUUUGAAAAUUUUCAGUACUUGUUGUUUGUCCACGGAAAUUUUGAGAAUUUUCGAUAUUGUAUACCGUAUUUUUUAAAAUUUCCAGAAUUUUCCAAAUUUCCGGUAUAUGAAUGCGAAAAACUGAGUACUGGAAAUUUCAAAUUAAUUACCGGAAAUUUUGUUUUAGUAAGUUUGAAAAAGUAAAAAUUAUGGAAGAAAAGUAAAAUUUGAAGUGUAAAUAUUAACAAGGAUAUUUUAGAAAUUUUAAAAAAAAAAUAGGGGGUGUUAGGUUUAAAUGGGGUUGAUAAGAAGAAAUCUCCCAAUAUUUAAGGAUCCUUUAGAAAUAUUUCUUUAGGCCUCAAUAGAUUAAGAAGUUGACGUUUCAUUGAUUGAUUGACCAUGCACAAUUUAAAAGAAAAAAAAAUCACCUUUGUUUUUUAGAGGAAAAAGGAAGCAAUUAAGUAGAAGAAGCAAAUCUAUAUUUCCACGAUCAAUUAGUAUGUGUUAAGAGUCUUGUAUCAGAUAAUAUAUAAUCCGAACAUAUUUUUAUAAGUGAGGAUAAAUCUGACCUUACAAAAUAGUUUUGUAGAGUUGAAUUAGAUUCAAUCACAUUUUAUUUUUUGAACCGUAAGAAAUAAGAUCUAUAUUUUCUUUUCUAUUUGUUUACGUCCAUACAAAAAAUGUGCAGUAAUUGUGAAAGAUGUCAUGCACAUGCAGUCACCAUAUAUUAUUUACAUAAAAAGAACUACUCAUUCUUUCGGCCUCAAAUUUUACCUAGGAGUUAUGUAUGCAAAUAUGAAAUAUUCAUGGGCUAUUUCCGUCCAUUCUUUCUCUGGAAAUUACUCCCUAUGUUUAUAGAAUUUGAUUUUUUUUAGUAAACUCGCAUUUUAGAUGUAAAAGUAUGGCAUCUUAUCAAACAAUUGGUUGAUGAAAAUUUCACAUUUUAAAUAAUGGAACUAUGGCAUAUUAUUAAUAAGAAAUAUAUUUGAAAAAAUAGCAAUAAAUGAUAUAUUUGAAAAAAUAACAAUAAAUGUAUUAUAUCUAUAAAUUUACAAGGUUCUUAUAUUUACAUACAAACAAAUGCAGUAAUGUUUUCAAACAUUAUGCAGUAAAUGUUUUCAAACAUUAUGUAGUAAGUAAUUAACACUUUAAUUUGAAGGAUUAACCAAUUUGGUAACUGAGACAGUGUCUGCGGUUAAAGUAGCUAAUUGAAAGUUUAUUCUUCAUAAAUCUGUAAUGCAGAAUAUGUAAGAAAGAAACAUGAAGUACAAGAAGUAAAGCCAUGGUCCCCCGCCACCGAUAUCAGCUAUAAGAAUUGCAAGUUUAUUUUUCGUAAAUUUGUAAUGCAGAAUAUGUAAGGAAUAAAAUAAGCGUUUAACUCAACCCGAUGUUACAUGAUCAGAGUAAGGUACCACUAGUAAAAGCGACAAAAUAAAGAAGUAAUCCAAGAGCUACCUUCCACUUACUUCAACAAUAUUACUAUUGAGUAUCUGCACGAUGCCCAUGUAAAGGCAACAUUCAAACAGAAGGGGUGAGAAUUCAUUUCAAUAAUAACAAUAUAGAAUGAAGAAUAAAGUACAACAUCUACACAAUCAUGAACAAUAAUAUAUCACAUUCUUACAUCCAAAUCAUAAUCAACAUCAUACACGACAACAUCUCAAUUAUCAUCAACAUCAUACAAAACCACAUCUCAAUUAUCAUUAACAUCAUAUGCAACAACAUCUCAUCUUACAUCCAAAUCAUAAUCAACAUCAUACACGACAACAUCUCAAUUAUCAUCAACAUCAUACAAAACCACAUCUCAAUUAUCAUUAACAUCAUAUGCAACAACAUCUCAUCCAACAACACAUCAACAACAACCAAUAUAAAUGCAACACUUAUGCAAUGUACUCAACACCGAUUCGACAUGCAUGUAGUACCAAAUAUGAACACUCAGGUUCAUCUCACUCCAUGAUCCCCACCAUAGUAUCGAUUCCCUCUUGGAACCGGAGCACACCAAAAUCACUACCAUCACCAUAGGUAACGCUUCACUAAUCCCCCAUAAUAGGAAUUAGCUACUCGCACCCAAUCCAUCACAAUGGGAUCGAGGCUCACCAGAACUCGUUACCAUCAACAUAGGUAACACUUCACUAAUCUCCCAUAAUAAGAAUUAGCUACUCGCAUCCGAUCCAUCACCAUAGAAUCGAGGUUCACCAAAGUCAGACCGAUGUCCGUACACCAAGAUGCAUGACUCUCAAAUAACAUGCAUUAACAUAACCAAGUUCACUUAAAGGAUCCCCACACAUAUCUCAUCAUUUAUGUAUCAUAUCAUUCAUCAUGCAACAACCAAUUCAUGUUUCCACAUGAAUAGUAUCAAUAAACAGCAGCAACUCGUCAACAUAACAACAUAAUCAUCACACCACAAUAUUACAACAAUGCAAUGAUUCAUCAACCAAACAUAUAAACCAAUACAUUUAUUAACAUACUAGGCAUGUGAAGAUUAUUAAAAUAUAUCAACAAUCACCACCAUGUUAUAGGUAUGAUCGUUAGCUUUCUAACGCUUCAAACGACAUCAAAAUCGAACUUACAGAAUAAAAGUUAUGACCAAAAUCGUCAGGAUAUGUCAACAAUUCAUUAAUCAAACGUAUGAACAAAAACUUCACCAACAUAGUAGGCAUAGGAAUAAUACUUAAACAAUUCACUUAUCACCGUCACUUUAUAUCUCUGGGAGUUAGCUUUCUAAUACUUCAAACCCCAACGCAAAAUGAUUCACGAGUUGAAAGUUAUGAUCCAAAUCGUGCACAAAGGCGUUACUAAAAGUUAUUGUUUUCUAAAAUUUCCAACACAAUUUUCAUCUUCUUCAACCAUAAAAACGUCAAUGGAAUAAUCACCCAAAUUAUUUAUCCCUGAAACAAAGUUAUAGCCCUUUAUUUCAGAUAUUCAACGCUUCAAACGGUACUCGAUUUGGACUUACUAAUCAAAAGUUAUGGCCAAAACGAUUUCGACCGAAAAACAUAAAAAAAGGCUCUCACGCUGAGCGCGGUCGUGACAGACAAAAUGCAUAAUUUUCAGUAUUUUUCAUCGUUAGAGGCCUUCCGGACCUCCGAUUUCGAUUCCGUAAAAAGCCAAAUGCUUAGAAAAUUACAACCCACGCAAUACUCUAAUUAUUUAAAGUUAAUUUACAGUUUUAACACAAUUAAAUCAUUUAAUCACAGUUUUAAGAUUAUGCCUAAAACCUUCGAAAUUGCAACAAUGGCGGAUAUAUGUUCAAUCAUAAAAGUAGAAAAAUACAUGCACAUAAGGGACACGAAAUUCAUCAUAUAAUCAUCAUAUAACAACCAUCAUAGCAUCCAAAUUCAAAAUUAUGAAUCAAAACACUCAAUCCUAAAGAGGUUAAGGGUUCCUUCAUUCUACCAUUCUACCAUACCCUUUACUAUUGGAACAAGUUCUCACCCUUACCUGAAUUCCUUGCAAAAAUUCUGAAUUGAAACCUUCACUCUCUUUCCUUGAUCACAUUUUCUAUUGCUUCUUUUCUCAUUUUCCUCAAAUGUCACGUACCGUGAAAAUCUCCUUAAACCUAGGUUCCUCUUAACUUUUUAUUUUUAGGGUAAACUUUUCUAAAUCACCAAUUUGGCCCAAACUUAAUUAUCUCAUAUUCCUUCCUCCCACUAACUUUCUCAAUUUCUCAUAUUUGACUCAAUUAUUCUAUAUUCACUAAUUAAUAUAAUAAAAAUAAAUAAAACAUUAUUUUUAACUAUCAAAAUAAUUCUAAAUUAUUCUACUUACUUUUAUCAUCCAUCUAUACCCCUAACUCAAGGAUAUAUACUCCGCCAACACGCAGCCAUAAAAUAAAUCAUCAAAAUCCAUAAUUCAAACAAUUAAAAUAUAAUAAAAUAUCUAAUAAAAAACGGAGUAUUAAUACUUCAUGAAGAGGGUUUUGUUGGGAAUCUCUUAACAAGUAGUCAAGGCUAGUCAGACACAUUCGAUCGGGUGUUCCUGCGUCAAAUGCAUAAUUCGCUACGACACUGGGUAACCCAGUUUAUAUUCAAAAGUGGUGUUUAGCCAAUGUUGUAGCAACCUCAGAGGGCCCGACAGGUUCAAAGCCUUAGAAGUGGAAUGAAGUAGUUUCAGCUUCAAGGAGGCGAGUCCCAAGGAAUGAUAAAGGGACGCCAACAUAAGUUUACCCAAUGAAACUUGUCAACCCUCAUGUAGUUAAAUCGCUAGAGGAAUGAAACUAUUGGCUAUCUGCAGAGAGUCGGGACAAACACGUAGUAAGAAAGCCACAGAGUGAGAAAGGCAGUAUGCUCCUCGUUAGAAACUUCGUUAGAGUCUUUGACAUGAUGAUCAACAAUAUAAAAUUUGAGACUUUGAUGUUUGAAAGAACAUUUGUUUUCAUUCGAAUGAGUUGGGUCAAAGGUUUCGCCCAAAGGUGAAAGAUCAGUGAUGACUGCCACGUCGAAAAGAAUGGUCAUCAGCAUCCCACUGAAAAGGUGAAAGGUGUUAGUCGAACCUUCCCAAAAAUAGAGCGAAGAAAGCAACAUGCAAGAAUUGACCCUAUGGGCAUGCCUUGAGAUUUGGAUGGCGUCGAAGAUGCCAACUGUAUUCCAUUGGGCUUGACGUUUGUUUUGCAUCAUGUCGAACCAUGUUAGGUAUUCUUUGUUGUUAAAAGUAGGCAUCAACCGUAAAACUCUAGCUUAUGGGUCCAUAAACUUGAGAUCGAUGAUGCCAACCUUCUCGAAAGCAGCAAGAACAACAGUGGUGAAGCAAGGAAAAAAAUUGAACCUUUUUGGGUUGUGUUCUUUCGUUUGGAGUGGCCCAUGGAAGGUGAAACGUUUCUCAGCCACCAUGAAGGGAAUGAGUAUUUUUCGUUGCCAAGUUUCCACCUUGGAUGGAUCAUUUGAAGGUGGUUGAGGAACGAUGAUUAAACCUUCUUUUUUAGCGAGGUUGAAAACGAUGGGAUUGUUACCAGUAUCGUGUGUAACUGUAUCCACAAUGUUAGCAGAAGAAGCCAUUGCAAUGUAAGAAAGAAGGGGAAUGAGGAAAGUAUUUGUUAUGAGAGUUGUAGAAAAAUGCGCAAACGGAGAAGAAGGAAGGAAAACAAAAAAAUAUGGAAGAAUGGUAUUUAUAAGCAAAUACAAUGACAACCAAGAGUCAAUCGAUAUUAAUGACAAUUGUUCCGAUUCAGCGGUAGUAGGAAAGUUAGUAAGGGUGGUUGAAAACCCACGACCUAGGAAGUAGCUGCAAAUGAUGGCAUUUCCCCUUGGAAAUCGUGCUUAGAAAGGUGUCAUCAUUGCGCAUGACAUCAUCAAAGAUUACGCACAAUCGAAGUUUGAUGGAAGACAAAACGCCAAGUUUCUCAGUCAAAAUGUUCUCAGUCGAAACUGGCCUUUUAGGGGGGAAAUUUGUUAACCAGUAAAUUUCGACUAAAGCAAAAGAAUGAGCAAAAGCGAGAGUUUCGACAGGCAAGAUGGGACAAAGGACAUAAGCCAUGUCAAAAGGAUGUCGACGGGGAAUGAGGCAGUCGAAGCCAAACAAGCAAAAACGAUAUAAUCGGUUGAGCAGAAUGUGGGGGGAAGUUGCAAAAGACGUGGGGGCUGCAGGUUUAGACGUGUGUGUCACACGGUGAACUGACUUUAGUGUGUUUUGCUUUUGAUCGCAAUGUCGCGGAUAGCAAGAGUCGCCACCGACUUUUCUUUUAUCCAAUAAGGAAAGGUGAAAAAGAACAGGAAAGACCUUAAUUAGAUUUUGGGUUCGGGAGGUACAUUAUACAAAGGGAAGGUGUUAGCACCCUUUGUAUCCAUGGUUAUCCAUGGGCUCUUAAUUGCUNNNNNNNNNNNNNNNNNNNNNNNNNNNNNNNNNNNNNNNNNNNNNNNNNNNNNNNNNNNNNNNNNNNNNNNNNNNNNNNNNNNNNNNNNNNNNNNNNNNNNNNNNNNNNNNNNNNNNNNNNNNNNNNNNNNNNNNNNNNNNNNNNNNNNNNNNNNNNNNNNNNNNNNNNNNNNNNNNNNNNNNNNNNNNNNNNNNNNNNNNNNNNNNNNNNNNNNNNNNNNNNNNNNNNNNNNNNNNNNNNNNNNNNNNNNNNNNNNNNNNNNNNNNNNNNNNNNNNNNNNNNNNNNNNNNNNNNNNNNNNNNNNNNNNNNNNNNNNNNNNNNNNNNNNNNNNNNNNNNNNNNNNNNNNNNNNNNNNNNNNNNNNNNNNNNNNNNNNNNNNNNNNNNNNNNNNNNNNNNNNNNNNNNNNNNNNNNNNNNNNNNNNNNNNNNNNNNNNNNNNNNNNNNNNNNNNNNNNNNNNNNNNNNNNNNNNNNNNNNNNNNNNNNNNNNNNNNNNNNNNNNNNNNNNNNNNNNNNNNNNNNNNNNNNNNNNNNNNNNNNNNNNNNNNNNNNNNNNNNNNNNNNNNNNNNNNNNNNNNNNNNNNNNNNNNNNNNNNNNNNNNNNNNNNNNNNNNNNNNNNNNNNNNNNNNNNNNNNNNNNNNNNNNNNNNNNNNNNNNNNNNNNNNNNNNNNNNNNNNNNNNNNNNNNNNNNNNNNNNNNNNNNNNNNNNNNNNNNNNNNNNNNNNNNNNNNNNNNNNNNNNNNNNNNNNNNNNNNNNNNNNNNNNNNNNNNNNNNNNNNNNNNNNNNNNNNNNNNNNNNNNNNNNNNNNNNNNNNNNNNNNNNNNNNNNNNNNNNNNNNNNNNNNNNNNNNNNNNNNNNNNNNNNNNNNNNNNNNNNNNNNNNNNNNNNNNNNNNNNNNNNNNNNNNNNNNNNNNNNNNNNNNNNNNNNNNNNNNNNNNNNNNNNNNNNNNNNNNNNNNNNNNNNNNNNNNNNNNNNNNNNNNNNNNNNNNNNNNNNNNNNNNNNNNNNNNNNNNNNNNNNNNNNNNNNNNNNNNNNNNNNNNNNNNNNNNNNNNNNNNNNNNNNNNNNNNNNNNNNNNNNNNNNNNNNNNNNNNNNNNNNNNNNNNNNNNNNNNNNNNNNNNNNNNNNNNNNNNNNNNNNNNNNNNNNNNNNNNNNNNNNNNNNNNNNNNNNNNNNNNNNNNNNNNNNNNNNNNNNNNNNNNNNNNNNNNNNNNNNNNNNNNNNNNNNNNNNNNNNNNNNNNNNNNNNNNNNNNNNNNNNNNNNNNNNNNNNNNNNNNNNNNNNNNNNNNNNNNNNNNNNNNNNNNNNNNNNNNNNNNNNNNNNNNNNNNNNNNNNNNNNNNNNNNNNNNNNNNNNNNNNNNNNNNNNNNNNNNNNNNNNNNNNNNNNNNNNNNNNNNNNNNNNNNNNNNNNNNNNNNNNNNNNNNNNNNNNNNNNNNNNNNNNNNNNNNNNNNNNNNNNNNNNNNNNNNNNNNNNNNNNNNNNNNNNNNNNNNNNNNNNNNNNNNNNNNNNNNNNNNNNNNNNNNNNNNNNNAAAACAGCCACUGUCCCGUUCGCCCCUGCUUCGCCUAGCGAAGGCUUAGCGAGGGCUCGCUCCAGGCUCGCUUAGCGAUGUGCUAGCGAGCGGCGACGGAUUUUGAGUUUGACAGCAGCAUGAUCUCCGGAACCCUGACCUUCAUGGCAUUUAAUUAUAGGAAUAGCAUGGACAAACAUUCAGGAUAUUCAGGCAUACUUAAAUUCAUACAUGAAAUCAUGUUACUUAUCCGAAAAUUUAAUCAUGAUGCCUUAUAUAUGUAAAGAUUAUCGAUUAAAAGCAUAAAACAUUGGUGAUACGCAAACCUGUUUGUAACUAAGCUUGGUAUCGAAUGGAGUUGGGCGGCGGUAGCUUCGGUGCGGAUGAGCGGCCUUCAGGGUUUCUAUGCCAGGGUUUCCGUCUGUCUUCCUCCGUUUUUUUUCUUUCUGACUGAAGCUUGGCUAUUUAUAAUGCUCUUGUUGUGACCUAAUGGGUUCAGAAUGAAGCCCGAAAAUUUUGUUAUUCGCAAGCUUCACUAGGCGAGCUGUAUAGCGAAGGGUUCGCUAGGCGAAGGAAUUGCUUGCCUAGCGAGCAAGCUAGUUUAGGCCCUUUUCUGGAGCGGGUCUGUUGUGAGCUGGGCUUUUGUCCCUUUAAGGUUAGUGCCUUGCAGAAUAAGUCGGAGUACUUCGAGAAAUGUUUUGCAAGAUUAAUGGGCAAAUUUUGAGGUAUGACAGUGUGGUUGUAGGUUUAGACGUGUGGCACAUUGUAGAUGAACAACAAUGUAGCACUUAUUUCUCAUUACUAUUUAAGUAGAUUUGAUUUCUAGUUUUAAAUGUCACAUUUGUAACAUUAUAGAGGGGAAAUACUCAAAGUAUCAAUCGUUUAGAGAAAAGAGUUCAUUCCUACAAAAAUGUAUUCUUGCAUCCACAUUUAUCUUCAAGCAAUUUAAAUUACCAAAUUUUUCUAUCUGCUUUUCCAUUUACGGUUUAUCUUGUCUUUCGUUCAUCUAUUUUAAUUGCACCUUUUGUAAGCAUUUUAUGUCUACCGUUUUCUUAAUCCAAACAUUUAAACAAAACAUCCCCCAAACUUAACACUUAGUUAGAUUUUGUAGUCGAUCCUGCAAGUAAACCUCAAUAGGAGGGUAGAGAUUGUUCGCGCGAAAACCCGUGCGAACAGUAACACUGGUGAAGUUUCCUGAAUCUUUGUCUUUCAAGGCAGAAAUAAUGUACCGUGGAGGCAAUGUUGUACUUCGUCAUGUCAUUCACAAACUGUCUCUAAUGAACUUUUAGAAGAUCCAAUAUGUCAUGGCCAUAUAAAUCCUCACAUAGUUUAUGAUUGUGAAACUCACACCUAACGAUCACCUUCCAACCAAUAACACUCAACGCAGAUCUCAGCCUAAAAUGGCAUUUCACUUUCAUACUAAAAGUGUCCUUUGAGGAUUUACUGCUUUCAAAUGUAUUCUUCCUUUUAUAAUUACCUCUUCUCUCACAAUCUAAAAUCAAUUUAUCUUUCCAACCCUACUGGCCAUUUACAGUAGCAGAACGAACAGUCACAUCUAUAAUGCCAUGUUGUUUGCCAAUAUUUUGUGCCCAGACUAAUACUUCAGAUUGGGACUCAAAUAUCUGUCAUUUACAUCACAUAAAAAGUAAACUACCAAUAUCACAUAAGGGCGAGAAAAUAUUUAAUUUAAACUUAUUACAUAGCAAAAUAUAUUUUGUAUGUGGUGAAGAAUUGCAUACAAUCGCUACACGAAUCUGUAGAUGACCAUGCCGACUCCGGACCACACAAAUAAAGCAUUUUUUGAAAUUUUGGCUCUGUUACCAUAAAUUUCAAAUAUACUCAAAAUUUCCAAUAUAUCGAAAAUUUGAAAAUUUUCGGUACUUGUUGUUUGUCCACGGAAAUUUUGAGAAUUUUCGGUAUUGUAUAUUGGAAUUUAUUUUUUUUCCGAAAAUUUCCAAAAUUCUGGUAUAUGAAUACGAAAAACGGAGUAUCGGAAAUUUCAUUUUUGUAAGUUUGAAAAAAUAAAAAUUAUGGAAUAAAAGUAAAAUUUGAAGUGUAAAUAUUAGCAAGGAUAUUUUAAAAAUAUUGAAAAAUAAGGGGGUAUCAGAUUUUAUUGGGGAUCGUAAGAAGAAUUCUCCCGAUAUUUAAGGAUCCUUUAGAAUUAUUUUUUUAGGUCUCAAUAGAUUAAGAAGUUGGCGUCUCAUUGAUUGACCAUGGACAAUUUGAAAGAAAAAAAAGAUCACCUUUGUUUUUUAGAGGAAAAAGGAAGCAAUUAAGUAGAGAAAACAAAAAGAAUAAAUGGAAGAAGUUGAGGAAAUCUAUAUUUACACGAUCAAUUAGUAUGUGUUAAGAGUCAUGUAUCAUGAUCAAUUAGUAUGUGUUAAAGUCUUGUAUCAGAUAAUAUAUAAUCCAAAUAUAUUUUUCUAAAUGAGGACAAAUCUAACCUUACAAAUAAGUUUUUUAGAGUUAAAUUAGAUUCAAUCACAUUUUAUUUUUUAUUUUUUGAACAGUAAGAAAUAAGAUCUAUAUUUUCUUCUCUAUUUGUUUACGUCCAUACAAAAAAUGUGCAAUGAUUGUGAAAGAUGUCAUGCAUAUGCAGUCACCAUAUAUUAUUUACAUAAAAAGAACUACUUAUUCUUUCGGCCUCAAAUUUUACCUAGGAAUUAUGUAUGCAAAUAUGAAAUAUUCAUGGACUUUUUUCGUCCAUUCUUUCUCUGGAAAUUACUCCCUAUGUUUAUAGAAUUUGAUUUCUUUUGAGUAAAUUAGCACUUUAAAUGUAAAAGUAUGGCAUCUUAUCAAACAACCGGUUGAUGAAAAUUUCACAUUUUCAGGUAGUAAUAUGAAAUUGAUAAUGGAAAGAUGAUAUAGUAUUAAUAAUAAAUAUAUUUGAAAAGAUAACAAUAAAUGUAUUAUAUCUAUAAAUUUACAAGGUUCUUAUAUUUACAUACAAACAAAUGCAGUAAUGUUUCAAACAAUAUGCAGUAAGUAAUUAACACUUUAAUUUGAAGGAUUAAUCAAUUUGGUAACUGAAGUAGCUAAUUGAAAGUUUAUUCUUUAUAAAUCUUUGUAAUGCAGAAUAUGUAAGAAAGAAACAUGGAGUAUAAGAAGUAAAGCCAUGGUCCCCUGCCACCGAUUUCAGCUAUAAGAAUUGCAAGUAUGCUCUUUGUCUGGUAAUGGAGAUGAUGAAGCCAUUAGCCACCUCCUCUAUCAGACAUAGGUGUAAAGCAUUAUGCUUCCAUAGCCAUGCAAGCUGCAGAAUGUCCAAUUCUCAACAUCCCACUUUCAAUGACGUGUCCAACCUUCACCACCCUCUCUUCUCUAUAAAUUACCACUUCUCAUUAAGGUUCUCCGCAUCACAACCAACAUUCUCUUAGUAUCUCUCUUCAUGGCUAAGCUUCUUGCACUUUCUCUUUCAUUCUGUUUUCUACUUUUGGGUGGCUGUUUUGCUUUGACAGAACAGCCACAGCAAAAUGAGUGCCAGCUAGAACGCCUCGAUGCCCUCGAGCCUGAUAACCGUAUAGAAUCGGAAGGUGGGCUCAUUGAGACUUGGAAUCCCAACAACAAGCAAUUCCGAUGUGCUGGUGUGGCCCUCUCUCGUGCUACCCUUCAACGCAACGCCCUUCGCAGACCUUACUACUCCAAUGCUCCCCAAGAAAUUUUCAUCCAACAAGGUUACUUAUUUUGAUCUUAUACCAACUUCUUUACGUACAUUACAUGCAUAUUAGCAUACUAAUUAGUGUUCUACUAUACCAAUUACAGGUAAUGGAUAUUUUGGCAUGGUAUUCCCCGGUUGUCCUGAGACCUUUGAAGAGCCACAAGAAUCUGAACAAGGAGAGGGACGCAGGUACAGAGACAGACAUCAAAAGGUUAACCGAUUCAGAGAGGGUGAUAUCAUUGCAGUUCCUACUGGUAUUGUAUUUUGGAUGUACAACGACCAAGACACUCCAGUUAUUGCCGUCUCUCUUACUGACAUUAGAAGCUCCAAUAACCAGCUUGAUCAGAUGCCUAGGGUGAGCACUGAGCAUAAUUAAACUUCCCAUAUAAGAUAAUAUGUUGUCUAAAACAGUAACAUAGAUUCUAUCUAUCUAUGUUUGACAGAGAUUCUAUCUUGCUGGGAACCACGAGCAAGAGUUUCUACGAUACCAGCAUCAACAAGGAGGAAAGCAAGAACAAGAAAAUGAAGGCAACAACAUUUUCAGUGGCUUCAAGAGGGAUUUCUUGGAAGAUGCUUUCAACGUGAACAGGCAUAUAGUAGACAGACUUCAAGGCAGGAAUGAAGACGAAGAGAAGGGAGCCAUUGUCAAAGUGAAAGGUGGACUCAGCAUCAUAAGCCCACCCGAGAAGCAAGCGCGCCACCAGAGAGGCAGCAGACAAGAGGAAGAUGAAGAUGAAGAGAAGCAGCCGCGCCACCAGAGAGGCAGCAGACAAGAGGAAGAGGAAGAUGAAGAUGAAGAGAGGCAGCCGCGUCAUCAAAGGAGAAGAGGAGAGGAGGAAGAAGAAGACAAGAAAGAGCGCCGCGGCAGCCAAAAAGGCAAAAGCAGAAGGCAAGGAGACAAUGGGCUUGANAGUUUUGUGGCACUAGUCAAUGCACGUCCGGCUUCUAGCUCUCCAUCAACACGGUGUUGCCAUUGCAGUUCACUACUUGUAGCCUUGCACGUCCCUUCAAUGCGUAUAUUAUACUGUUUGCAUUCAGGUUGUAGUGAGGCACAAACAUAGCAUUCUGUAUGAAGAUUUAAUGAGUUAGCUAUUAUUCUCCAACACAUAGUUCGACAUGAAAUUGAUUCAUGGAAAAACAAAUUAAAUGAUGAAAAAACAUACUUUUGGAGAGAUCAUGCUCAGCACUUAGUUUGAGCCACCUGAGAACUGGGAGGUCCAGGCUGGUAACAGUUUGAUAUCUACCAGCUUCAGGGUUGUAGAUGUCUGGUGAAUGAAGACGGGCCAAUGUUCAAUCGAAGUUUAGCAGUGCAAACUGUUUCCUCAAGCCCAUUGUCUCCUGCCUUCUGCUUUUGCCUUUUUGGCUGCCGCCGCCCCUCUUCUGUCUUCUUCUUCCUCCUCUCCUCUUCUCCUUUGAUGACGCGGCUGCCUCUCUUCAUCUUCAUCUUCCUCUUCCUCUUGUCUGCUGCCUCUCUGGUGCGCGGCUGCUUCUCUUCAUCUUCAUCUUCUCUGUCUGCUGCCUCUCUGGUGGCGCGCCUUGCUUCUCGGUGGGCUUAUGAAUGCUGAGUCCACUUUCACUUUGACAAUGCUCCCUUUCUCUCGUCUUCAUUCCUGCCUUGAAGUCUUUCUCUAUAUGCCUGUUCACAGUGAAACAUCUUCCAAAUCCCUCUUGAAGCCACUGAAAAUGUUGUUGCCUUCAUUUUCUUGUUCUUGCUUUCCUCCAUGCUGUGGCUGCAAAGUCACUAAGCGACAGGUUCUCAUAUGUAGCAUUCAAGACCAAUGAUAGAGCUGGUAUUGCAAGACUUGCAGGGACAUCAUCAGUUAUAAAUAAUCUGCCGUUGGAUGUUGUUGCAGCUACAUUCAACCUGCAGAGGAAUGAGGCAAGGCAGCUCAAGUCCAACAAUCCCUUCAAAUUUCUAGUUCCAGCUCGUGAGUCUGAGAACAGAGCUUCGGCUUAGAUUUGGCACCAAAUCAAUGAAAGUAAUGAAUAAGAAAACUAAGGCUUAGAUGCCUUUGUUACUUGUGUAAAAUAACUCGAGUCAUGUACCUUUUAGCGGAAACAGAAUAAAUAAAAGGUAAAAUUUCAGUGCUCUAUGCUUUUCUACUCCAAGUUAUAACCAGAUGAUAUAUAUAACAAUCACAAUAAAUAAAUGUGAGUAAAAAAAUAUUGAAGAAAAAUGAUGUAUUGAAAUUAUAACUAGCCGGAUUGGAUUUAAGGAGUUACAAUGAAAUUUUUUGAGAUAGCUUGGAGGAUGUUUGAUUCUAGUAGAUUUUUCCACACUGUUAUGGGUAUUUUAAAUAUAAAUAAUGUGGGUAAUAAUAGGGAUGCAUAUUAGGGUUGGAGUCAUAAAUGUAACUGGGGAUCCAUGAAGGAAUCAUAAAAAAAGAACAGCAUCAUCAUCAGUGGCAUAGUGAGUGACAUUGGAAGCAAAUGAAGUGACAUUAUCAUUGUGAUACUUAUAAGGAAAAAUAUCCGCUUAAAACACCAUGUCUAGAAAUGAAUGUGCUAUCAAGAUACAUGUCAUAAAGAUCAUAAACCUCAGGUUUACAUCAGACAAAAAUUCACUUCCUAACUCUAGGGUCAAGCUUAUCCCUUCUUAGCAUCAAGGUGUUGGCAAAGGAUAAGCAACAAACACUUUUAGAUCAAUAAAAGUAGGUGAAGAUUGAAACAAAAUCUCAUAGGUAGUUAUGUUGUUUAUCACAUGAGAAAAGGCAAUUUAUUAAUGCCGUGAGUGACAUGGCAUAAAGCAAAGGACCAAAACCGUUUUGAAAGUCUUGAGGGAAAAAGCAAGGAUCUAAUAACAUUCAAUAGGUGUCUAUGUUUUCUCUCAACAACAGAAUUUAUUGUGAAGUUUCUACACAAUUCUGGUGUAAAAUGGUGAAGGAGAUAUAAAAGGAAGACAUAUUAAGUUACACUCCAUUAUCACUUUGUAGAAACAAAUUUAACAAAAACUAGAAAUGCAAGAUUUAGUGCCAAACUUAUUUUUCAUAAAGAUUGCUCAAGUAAAUUUAGAAAAGUUGUCAACAAUAGUAAAGGAAAAUUGAUAACUUGUAAGGAAAUGUUGCUAAUAGACCCCAAAUGUCUAUGCGUAUGAGAUCAACACAUUUUAAAGAUGUCAGUAGGAGAAGAUAAUUUUGUUGGUUAGAAAAAUGACAAUGAUCACGAAUGAUGCAGUAAUGAGACAUUGUGAGGUGUAAUGCAGAAUACUUACAUAGCCAUGCAAGAUGAAGAAUGUCUAAUGUACAGCAACCCAUGCAUACUCUCUGAUCUGACGCGUCCCUCCUACACUCUACUCUCCUCCCCUAUAAAUAUCAAUGCCAAAUUAAGGUUCUCCGCAUCCCAAACAUAUAUUCUAUCCAACUAUGGCUACUAAGCUUCUUGCACUCUCUCUUUCCCUUUGUUUUCUACUUUUUAGUAGCUGCUUUGCUCUCAGAGAGCAGUCUUAACGAAAUGAGUGUCAGCUGGAACGCCUCAAUGCCCUCGGACCUGAUAAUUGUAUAGAGUCGGAAGGUGGACUCGUUGAGACUUGGAAUCCAAACAACAGGCAAUUCCGAUGUGUGGGUGUGACCCUCUCUCGUGCUACGCUUCAACCCAAUGCCUUUCGCAGACCUUACUAUUCCAAUGCUCCCCAAGAAAUUUACAUCCAACAAGGUUCGUUACUUUGAUAUUCUUUCAAUGUCUUUACUUACAUUACUUUCCAUACAUAUUAGUGUUUUUUACUACAUCAAUUACAGGUAAUGGAUAUUUUGGCAUUGUAUUCCCUGGUUGUCCUGAGACCUUUGAGGAGCUACAAGAAUCUGAACAAAGAGAGGGACGCAGGUAUAGAGACAGCCACCAAAAAGUUAACCGAUUCAGAGAGGGUGAUAUCAUUGCAGUUCCUAGUGGUGUUGUAUUUUGGAUGUACAAUGACCAAGACACUCCAGUUAUUGCCAUUUCUCUUACUGAAACGGGUAGCUCCAUAACCAGCUUGAUCAGAUGCCUAGGGUGAGAACUAAGCAUAAUUAAACUUCCUGUAUAAUAUAUUAGAUAAUAAUAAGCUAAAUAAUGUCCAAAUCAGUAACAUAGAUCGGUAAUUGUUUGAUUUUGACUGAAUUAUUUGAAGAAGCAUAUAGUAGACAAACUCCAAGGCAGGAACAAAGAUGAGGAGAAGGGAGCCAUUGUCAAAGUUAAAGGUGGUCUCAGCAUCAUAAGCCCACCUGAGAGACAACCACAUCACCAGAAAGGCAGCAGACAAGAUGAAGAUGAAGAGAGGCAGCCGUGUCAUCAAAGGAGAAGAGGAGAGGAGGAAGAAGAAGACGAGAAAGAGCGCCACUGCAGCCAAAAAGGCAAAAGCAGAUGGCAUGGAGACAAUGGGCUUGAGGAAACCAUUUGCACGGCCAAACUUCGGCAGAACAUUGGUUCAUCUUCAUCACCUAACAUCUACAACCCUGAAGCUGGUAGAAUCAAAACUGUUACCAGCCUUGACCUCCCAGUUUUCAGAUGGCUCAAACUAAGUGCUGAGCAUGGAUCUCUCCACAAAGUACCAUCAUUUCUCUUUCUUUCUUUUUUCUCCUUUAUUACUUUUAAUUUAUUUUCCAUGACUUAAUUCUAUGUCAAACAAUUUUCAUACAGAAUGCUAUGUUCGUGCCUCACUACAACCUCAACGCAAACUGCGUAAUAUACACAUUGAAAGGACGUGCAAGGCUACAAAUUGUGAACUGCAAUGGCAACACUGUGUUUGAUGGAGAAAGCUGCAAUCGCCAGGCUUGCAGGGACAUCCUCCACGCUAAAUGCUAUGCCAGUGGAUGUAAUAGCCGCUACAUUCAACUUGCAGAGGAGUGAGGCUAGGCAAGUGAAGUCCAACAAUCCUUUCAAAUUUCUAGUUCCCCCUCGUGAGUCAGAAAACAAAGCUUCUGCUUAGAAACAAACACUGCUUCGAAGCCUUUUUGUUUGAGAGACAUGUAUCCCACCCCAACUGGUAAUAAUAAAGAUACUUAUGAAUAAAAAAAGGUUUGGUUUCCUUUUGAAACUAUGUAUAAGUACUAUCUGAGUCACGAACCUUUUCGAAAGUGAAUAAAAGUAAAAGUGAAAUUGAGCAUACAAGUUUAUUUUGAUCAUGUGUCCUUGCCAUAACCAAGUUUAUCAUCCGUUGGAGUUUCUUUUCAUUUGAUUUCUUUCAUUCCUUAUUUGCAAAACAAAACGUAUAAAAUUGAAAAAGAUGAAGUAUCACAUGCACCAAGAAGAAAACAUUUACCAUAAACACAUGUGAUUUACCAUAAACACAUGUGAUUUAUCAUUGUUGCCCACAACAACACCAUGUAUAUAGGAAAAUAUGGGUUUUUUUCUCACAGAAGGUCGUGCUCAAUAGUAUCAAUUUCAGUUACAUUACUUUGCUAACAUUUAUCAAAUCAUACAAUCCUAAAAUCUUCUCUUAAUCCCAAUUUUAUAUCAGCAUAAACGUAAUCACACACCACUCACCUAAACCCUAAUUCCUAAUUCCUAAAUCUCAAUCCAAGUUUUCCUUAUGCAUUUCUCCUAAUCCUAAUAACAGAGAAGAAAGAAAAUAAAAGUAAGAGAGAGACUGACAUGUGAGUUUUCCAUUGAAGCAAAGUUGGAGCUGUACAAUGGAUGGCAGUAACAAGUUGGUGAGCUCUGGAUACGAAAACCUUGUUGUUUAUAUUUCAUUGCCACCGCUGCGAUCAUCGCGAAGCGGCUGCAUACACUUCCAGGGAAGGGUUCUCUGUGCAUAGAGAAGUUGCAAUAAUCGCCGGUAGGUGAGGUGAAGUGAGAGAGAGGAAGAAAAGAAGCGCUGACAUAAAUGGAAAUGAAGGUCUGACGAGGUGAAAAAGUAUCGAAAAUGUGAAGUACACGUUCCUAAUCGUUAGUAUAUUGAGAAUAUUGGAGGGAAAGUAACCAGCAAGGGGAGGAAUUUUCGAAAGAAAAUAAAUUAGUUUUAAACUAAAUUUAAAUAUUAUUUUAAUAUUUAACUAACAGCAUAUGUCUAGCUUUUCUCUCUCUAUGGGUAUAUUCGGAUUGAUGGAUUAAUUAAUCAAAAAUAUGUAAUUUAAAGAAAAAUUAAUUAUUUUUAAAAUGUUAUUUUUGUUAUGAGAUUAAUAAAAAAUAAAAGAGUAGAGACAGAUGAAAGAAAGAAAAGAAAAAAAAAGUUAAUAAUAUUAUUCUCAGUUUGAGUGAGUCAUUCAAAUAUAAUAUAAGCAAUAUUUAUAGGACAUGUAUAAUAAAUAGAAAAUCAAUAUAAAUUUUUUUAAUUGAUGGACAUCCAUAAUCAUUCAUUUUAUAGCACUUUCAUUGAUGUCCAUAAAGAAUAUACCUUCUUAAAAUCUUAUUAGAAAAAAUUCAGUAGAAAAAAAUUUAAUGAAGGAAAAAGUGUAGAACAUUUUUUAUGAGUGAACUACCUCAUUACUAAUCAAUACAAAUUAUUACAAAUAAGAAAGGAAAUUAUAUGAAGAGAAUCAUUCAUUAUUCAUAACAUACCCCUUGGAUGUUUAAUCAGGAUAUGCCUUGUUAAAACCUUACUAAACAAAAUUCAGUUGAAAAAAAAAUCUAGUGAAGAAAAAAGAGUACAAUAUAUUUUUUAAAAAAAUUUAUAUCUCUCCCUCAGCUGAACGAUCAUUUCUUCAACGAUAAAGACCAAUCUUUUACACCAGUUAGUUAAAAGUUCCACUAGGGAGUGACUUUGUAAAAAGGUCUGUAAGAUUAUCAGAUGAACAAUUUGUUGGAGCUUAUAUCACCACUUUUUUGAAGAUCAUAAGUGAAAAAGAACUUUUGAGAAAUGUAUUUUGUCCGAUCUUAUUUAAUGUAACCAUAUUUCAAUUGAUCAAUGCAUGCAGUAUUAUCUUCAUGUAUGAUUGUUGUAUUUCUUUUUCGAGAAGUCAAACCACGAGUUUUUUUGUGUGUGUUGAAUUUGGGAUCUCAGUUAAAAGUAUUCUCGACUUGCCUUAUGUAGUGCUAAAAAUUUCUUCAUAAUUAAAUGAAGUUGCUGUUAUAAUUUGUUUCGCAUGUGUCCAUGAAAUAGUUGUAUCACCAUAAGUAAAUAAACAAUUUGUGCGAUCUACCAUUAUAAGGAUUUGACAAGUAAUUUAUUUCUGUAUAACCUAUUAAUUAUAAUUUGGGUAAUUUGGAAUAAAACAAACUCAUGUCCAUUUAUCCUUAAGAUAAUCAAGUAUAUGUUUGACUCCCUUCAAAUGUCUUCGUAUAGGUGAAAAACUAUAUCUUGAUAGUAGAGUUAUAGAAAUUAACAUAUCACGGUGUGUAUAAUUAAUAAGAUAGAUUAGUGCUUCAGUUACACUACGAUAUGGUACUUCAAAACCAAUUAGUUUUUCAUCAUCUUCUCGAGGUCUACAAGAAUCGUCAGCACACCCCAUGAUCUAACAUCAUAGAGAUAGACAACAUACGAGAUUUAUCCAUAUAGAAACACAUCUAAAUAAAACACAUACCAACAAUACAAACAAUAAGAAGUGAAUUUGACCAAAAACAUAAGACCAAACAAACAAUAUGCAAAAUAAUCAUUGCAGUAGCUUAGAAAUAGAAAUCCAUGGCCUCCUUGUAACAAAUUAGUUAACGGUGUUCAACUUCAAAGUUGAUUCUAGUUUAGAAAGGACUCUUAAGGCAAAAUCCACCUCAACGGGAAAUGAUACAUAUUGAUAUUAAUCAAACCGUUAAAUCUUCCAAUUUCAAUAAUAAUAUACUCAAAAAUAAAUUACACUUCAAACCAAAUUCAUAUUCAGUAGAAAGCGAUCGUAAAAUUAUAAAUUUACCCAAAAAAUUAAAAACCUAUAUUGAAAUCAUUGAGAAAUAAUUACACACCGAAAAUCCAAGAUUAUAAAAUAUCUGAUAAUAUUGAACAACCAAUGGUUCCAGAAUAGAUGAUCAAUUGAAAAUCUAAAAUAUUUAAGAAUUUGAAAAACUAAGUAGUGAGAAAAAUUCAAAUACACAUGGACCUAAGGCCACAAUGACAUGCAUCAACAUAGGAGAGUGAGGUUCGUUGACGAAAUUCUGAAAACAAAAUUGAGGAGAAGGGAAAGAAAUGAUUCAGAAUCACGGUAUGGAUUCAAGAUUUGAAUCGACCGUAAGGAAUAUAGAUAUAAUAUUUUUGUUUCUGAAUGUUUAGAAAAUCAAAAGAAGGAAGAAAAAUAAGAGACAAGAAAGUAGGAGUGAAAGUGAGAAGUAGGGAGACACUUUGGGAGAUAGGACAUGAAAUGCAUAUAAACUGUGUUGAAUUGUAAUUUCUUGUGUUGAAGCAGGUUGCUCGACAAAACAAGGAAGUGUCGAACCACCUAGUGUAUUGAGUUGUGUUAGUGUCGAAGUGUCGAAGCAUGUUGCUUCACACAUGAUCUCGACUUAGGCCUAUUUUAGUAGUGUUAGCUAUUUUGGGCUUUUAUAGUUUUGGGCUUUGACUUGAGGUCCAAGUUAACCUAAAUCUAUAAAUAGAGGGAGUAACCCUUAUUUUUAUAAUGAAGUGAAUAAAGCAUUCAUAACAUUGUAUUCACAGUAUUUUACAGUUGCAAAGUGAAUAAGAAGUUUUCCACAGUUUGUGGGCAGAGAGAAACUUUGCAUAAUUAUAUUACUCUUCUCCUUCAUCGUUCUUUCUUUCUUUCUUUCUCCAUUAUUAUUUCUUUUCAUUGUUAUUGUGUGGGUGAUAAUAAUCUUGUUCAUUAAGAUUGAUUGAAAUUAUCCAUAAUUUUUGGGGGAUUUUCCAACAUCUGGUAUCAAGAGCUACGGUUAAACGAUUUGUGGGAAGAAAAUCACCAUGGCAACGAAUCAUCCAAAUGGACAUUUUCCAGCAAAUCUUCUGAUUCUUAAGAACAACACUUAUGAGAAUUGGUGCAAGUAGAUAAAGGUUGUGUUCUGUUAUCAAGAUCUUUGUGAUCUUGUGAAGGAAGGAGUAGCAACGCUUGCAGAAGACGCGACAAAUCAAGAAAAGGUUGCACAUAAAGAAUUGAAGAAGAAAGAUUAUAAAGCUAUCUUUAUAAUCCAUCAAUGUGUUGAUGCAAAUAAUUUUGAAAAGGUUAGUAAUGUAGAGUCAGCGAAAGAAGCAUGGGAAAUUCUGGGGAAAUCGUUUGGAAACGCGAAGAAGGUGAAAGAUGUGAGGUUACAAACUCACAAAAGAACGUAUGAAUUGCUUCAGAUGAAAGAUAAUGAAAGCAUAAUUGAUUUCUUCACCAAGGUUACGAAACUGGUGAAUCAAAUCAAGGUAUGUGGAGAAGUGUUGACAUCAAGAUCUGUUGUUGGAAACAUCUUGAGGUCGUUGGCUCCAAAGUUCGAACACGUGGUGGUAGCCAUAGAAGAGUCGAAGGAUUUGUCAAAACUGACAAAGGAAAAGCUUCAAGGGACGCUUGAAUCUCAUGAACAAAGAAUGGCUGAAAGAGUUGCAGGAAAGUCGAAAAGUGAUAUGGCUUUGCAGGCUCAAUCUACAAAAGAAAGAAAAGGCAAAGGAAGCUAGAAUGGAAACAAAGGAAGAUGAGGCUACAACAAUUCGACUGGUCGAAAUUAGCGAGAAGGAAACUGGUUGAAUCAAAGAAACCCCUAGAACCAAGGAAACCAAAGAGGCAGUGUUGCAAGUAGAGGAAUAGGUGGUGGUCAAAAGCCAGACAAGAGUCACAUUCAGUGUUACAAUUGUCAGAAGUAUGGUAAUUAUUCUAGUGAUUGUCCAGAAAAGCAAAAGAAUCAAGAAACUUAUGCAAAUUUGGCAAAACAUGAAGAAGAAGAGACAUUGUUGAUGGUUACAACAAGAGAUGAAGAGAGAUUCAAACCAGUGGUACUUGGACUUAGGAUGCUCAUCACACAUGUCUGGAAGGAAAGAUUGGUUUGUCAACAUAAAACCCUCAAUGAAGAACUUGGUGAAAUUUGCAAAUGACAACACUCUGGCAGCUGAAGGUGUUGGUGAUGUUCUGAUUAUGAGAAAAGAUGGCAAGAGGUCAGUAAUUUCAAAUGUGUUGUACAUACCAGGCAUGAAGAGUAAUUUGCUCAGCAUAUGGCAGUUAGUCAAAAAGAACUACAAGGUGUCGAUCAAAGACAAGAUAAUGAGAGUUCUUGACUCAAAUGGAAGGUUGAUCUUAAAGGCUUCAAUGUCUCAUAAUAGAACCUUCAAGAUUGAACUAAAUAUGAUGGAGCAUGAGUGCCUUGCAACAACAACUAGCAGAGAUAAAUGGAUGUGGCAUUAUAGACUUGGCCAUCUCAACUUUAAAGACAUCAGAGAUUUUAAAGAGAAGAAAUAUGGUUUCAGGAUUACCAAAAAUCGACAUUCCAAACGAAAUGUGUGAAGAAUGCGUGCAAGCGAAACAGCAUAAGAACAACUUCAGUAAGGAUGUAGGAAGCAGGUCGAAGGCAACUCUUGAAGUCAUAUACUCUGAUGUAUGUGGUCCUCUCCAGGUGGAUUAAGUCGAAAAUUAUGGUCUUACCUGAUCAAGAAGAAAAGUAAAGUGAUCGAGGUAUUUUCCAAGUUUAAAUCUAUGGUCGAAAGACAGAGCGAUCAAAAGAUCAAGAUUUUGAGGACUGAUGGUGGUGGAGAAUAUGUGUCAAAAGAUUUCAAUUCAUUAUGUGUGAAAGAAGGGAUUGUGCAUGAGGUGGUGCCACCCUACACUCUACAGCAGAAUGGAGUCGCAGAAAGGAAGAAUAAAACCAUUAUGAAUAUGGUUAGAAGUAUGUUGAAAGGCAAGCAUCUACCCAAAGAAUUAUGGGGAGAAGUUAUGUCGACUGUGACAUAUAUCCUAAACAGAUGUCCGACGAAGAAGCUAGAAGGAAUCACGCCAGAAGAAUGUUUGUCUGGUGUAAAGCCUAGAUUGAGUCAUCUGAGGGUGUUUAGAUCUAUAGCACAUAAACAUGUAUCAGAUCAGUUGAGAAGAAAACCUGAUGACAAGUCUGUAGCACCUCAAAUUUGCACCUAUCAUUGUACAUACAUCUCAUAUUAGGUCAUAGCAUAUCAUGAUACAUUGCAUAACAUUUGCAUUGUCCCCAGUUGCCUCAAGAGCAAGCAAGUCAAGAUUUAACUGUAGCACCUCAAAUUUGCACCUAUCAUUGUACAUACAUCUCAUAUUAGGUCAUAGCAUAUCAUGAUACAUUGCAUAACAUUUGCAUUGUCCCCAGUUGCCUCAAGAGCAAGCAAGUCAAGAUUUAGGUCAAACUGACCAGGAGAUCAGUCUACCAAUCAAGCAAAGGUAUUUCUCAAGGAAUCAAAGUCCUAGGGUUUGCCCUACAAGUUCACAUGUCUUGGAGGACCAUUUGAAGUGUUCAAGUCAAGGGUUGAAGGCUCAGAUGUCAUCAGUCAAUGCACAGGCAGGCAGAAAACCCUAGAUAAUCAACAGUCAAAUCAAAACAAUGGAUGGUGGCCAUUCUUGUGGAAUUUGGGCACCAUGGUCAAUAAGCAAGAGUUCAUAUGUCUUGGGACAUCAUUUGAAGUCAAAAUCUCCAGGAAUUAGGGUUUGGAAUUCAUCAGAAGUGCACAGUCAAGUCCAAAACCCUAGAAAGUCAAAGUUGGUCAACUGUAGUUGAUUCUAUGGUUUUGAUGGAUGGAAAUGGUUUGAAGGAGCUUAUUCAUGUCCUAAUGGGUCUUAUAUAUCAUGGCAAUCAAUAUCAUUGAAGAAUUUGAAGCAAAUCAGAAGAUUUCCCAAAAUAGAAAGUGGACCUGUAAUUUCAACUGCCAAAAAUGGAAACUUCUUGAUCCUCAACUUGCAUCAUGAUACAAGCUUCAAAUGAAUUUUUGCCCAACAUGGAAGUUGAAGAUCUUGUUCUCCCAUUUUCAAAAAAGUCCAAGUAAGCUCUUAAAUCCCAUGUGUGGUUGUCAAGAUAUGAUCAAAUCAUUUUCACAAAAUCUUGAACUUCAAAGAGCCAUAUCUCCAUCUCAAACCAUAAGGCCAAAUUUGGUGGGGUUUUUUCCUACAAACCACAUUUUUCAUCCUCUUUCCAAAAAUAUAAAUUUCAUGACCUAAAACCUUGCCAAUCAAAAUGGCAUUUUUUGACCUUUUUCAUUAAAAAACCAAGUUUGACUCAAGUUUGACUUUUUGAUUUAUGGACUUUUUGAACAAUUGACCAAUUGAGAUUGCUUUUAUAUCAUAUUUGUGACAUGUUCCAAUCAUCAUUUCAUGUUCAUGCCAUCUCCAUAUCACUAUUUUGGCCAAAAUGCAAAAUUGACAAAGGUGUGCAAUUGGUUUCAAAGAGUAAGAACCAAGUGAGCAAUUCCCAAGCAGACUAGAAACAGCAUGUGUGAUGAGCAAUUGCAGCCUAUUUUCAAGGCCCAUUCGACCACAAGCUUACACCUUCCAUAUGCAAUGUUCAUAUUUGGUAUUUUAGCAAGAGGAGUCACACAAGUAAAACAAUGCUAGCAACUCUUAAACAAACAACAAACAGCCCAUUUACCAGCCUAACCUCCAUUCCCACUUAUGUGCAACAUUGCAAAGUUGGCAUUAGUGAUUUUUGAGCUAAACAAGUUUACCAUAAGUCUUGUUAAACAGACCCUUAUAAGCACUUUUCUGUCACAUUUCAACCCUAGCCACCACUUGGAAACUACAGAAAAUACACAUUCUCUCAUCUCUUGCAAAUUGGCAAUUGGAAAAAAUUCUGGCCAAUCCUUCAAAGAACCACGAGCUGUUUUGUUUGUUCCAUCAAUUGAACAACAUUUUGGGCCUAUAUGAAUCACUAUUUCACAUCUGGAAGGAUUCAUUUCCCUGCUGCUACUUCAACCCCUUCCAAUGGCAAAGUUCGAGUCAGUUGGUUUCCAGCUAGUUUGAGCAAAGGACCUUCGAGAAUCCAUCAGCAUUGACCUUAAUUUACCUCUGUUUGCAUUUGAAUCCACCAAUACACCACUGCACAUCGGUUUUUCUCCAAACAAGUGAGUUUUUCGAUUAACUUAUUUUGACGAAUAAUGAUAUGCUUUAAGUAGGCUUUGCUUCACUGAUUCUAAAGAGCUAUAGUUUGCUUGAAUUGAUGAAAUAUUGCAUGAGAUAUUUGAAAUUGAAGUUUUGUGUACAAGUGAAGUCUUGCUCGAUUUGCCAUGUUUGAUUUGAUUCUGGGAAGUUUGAUGUUGUAUUCUUGUUAUUUGAUGCUUAAUGAUGCUGUGACCAUGUUUAACUUGAACUUCUGGGUGACUUGAUUUUGUUCAUGUUGGAAUGAUAAUGAUGGAUACCCUGUUUGUCCAUGCUGCUGUUUAAAUCCAUGCCCAGAAUUUUCCUGUGGUCGAUGCUCGUUUUGUUGUGAUUGUUGUUGCAUGAUGUUGAUAUUUCAUGGCCCUGGUUAUUGCUUAGUUGCUAUGCUCGUGUGCUGUUGUUUUUAAUGUUGAGCUGGGAUAAUGAAUGUUGUUGAUGCCAAACCCUAGUUCCCUGCACGAGUUUUCCAGAAAAUUGGAUGGUGAUUGGUUGUUUUUGCCUUUGCUACUGUUUCAUUAAAAACGGGCCAAUCAGAACAUUUCCUGGCCGCCCCUGAAACUGUGUCGUUUUGAGUAAGUGGCUUCAGUAUUACAUCUUGGCCACGCCGUUGACCUAUGGUUGACCAUCUUGCCUUGCUACUUGUUCAUAUUUCACCCAAUUUCAUCCAAAAUUCCACAAUUAUUUUCUCCUUCAUUUUUCACCAAAAAAUUAUGAAAUUUUUUACACAUGAUCACAAAUGAGUCUAGAAUUUUAUUGUGAUUUUUAAUUAAUUUUCCACGGUCUGGAUUUUAAAUGAUAAAUAUUUUCUUGACAUGUAUGCCAAAAUGACAUCUCUUGCCAUUUCAAUUGUGAAAUAAUGGUGUUGCAUCCAAUGAGCUUGAAAUUUUUUGUGGUGAAACUAGAUACAUUGACCUUCAUUUCCAUAUAAAGUUUGUGCAUUUAUCAUUUGUGGAUUGGAAAUUAUGAAUUUUUGAAGUUGUGUAUUGCAUUGGGUGUUGUACCAUGAUCAUGCAUUUUCCCUAAUUUUGUUCACAUGCUUCCUCUUAUCCAAUUGACCCCAAAUUUUGCAUGAACCAUCUAUCACAUGUCUAGUUUGUGUAUGAAUUUUUUGAAUUAACUUGGCUGUUUUUCCAUUUGAUUUGAGAAUUUCUUCCAUACUUGUCAUUUGUUGACUUUUGUAUGCCUUGCCAAAUCUUUGUGAAAUUCUCAAUCUUAUUGUAUGUCCAUGAAUUUCAUAUAUGAUAAUAGAUCAUCUUGAGCUUUGCAUUGGUGUUAAUCUCAUUCAUUUCUCUUCUGUUUUCAAUUUGAUAUGAAUUUUUGAAGUUGACCUAUGCUUGUUGACUUUCACCAUGCUUACUUGAAUUUGGUUUGACUUCAUGAUUUUACUUGAACUGCCUUCCUCACUCAUCCACAAUGCCAUGAAAUUUUACAUGGUAUAUCCAUGUAGAUGUUAGGAUUUGAGUGUGAUUUAUUUCAUAAUUUUUGAGAUUGUUUGAGUUGACUUUUGAAUGAAGCCUUUGCUGUUGACUUUUGUAUGCUUCUCUUGCCAUGCUUUGCAUCCUUUUGCAUAAGAAAUGACCAUGAUGCAUGAUAUAAAUGUGGAACCAAUUGAGAAUGUUUCUUAAAUGAUUGAAUUUGAAUUGGGUUGACUUUUCCUUGCUGCCUUACCUUUUUCUUUCAUCUUUGACCCUAGGCUAGUCCUAGUGGUCUUCUGAGCUUAUGUUGAGUUCAUCUGUUUCAGGUUGAGCACCAAUGCCUUGAGGAUCACUCUAAUAUGAUUGAGUUUGAUUGUUUAUCACAUGCUGACCCUUGUUUUGUAGGUGACUCAUAUGCUUGAGUCUUUGUGCCUUGCACAAUUGGUCCCUCUGUGGUUAACUUUUGUUUAUCCAUUUGCCUUUGGUUUUGACUGUUGAACUGUUUGCUAAUAAGUUUGACUUUUGCAGGUACUUUAGUUGCCUAAGUUCUUUGAACUUGCUUGCUUUGCUAUUUAGCAUUUGCUUUGAGGUAUAAUUACUUCUUCUUCAUGUAGUCUGGAGACCCGGUCUGUUAUUUGACCGGGCAAACUGUCUGAAGUCCUCCUUAAGAGGCAAUGCCUGUGUAUGUUUACUUUGUCCCUGUACAGAGUCAAAGACCUCCUAAGUGAAGAGGCAAUUGGUGGAAGGUAGGGAUAUGCAGUCUAUCCCCCACUAUUCAGUGUGUCUUCUGUCUUGCUCACACUACUGUGUUGAUGCACUUCAGAUAAAAACCCAAGAUCUUGUGCAAUUGCACAGUUGAGUCAGUUUUAAAUGUGUAGAAGGGUUCCCACUUUCUGAACCCACACAUUCUUGUCAAAUGCUCUCCCAGGCCAGGGAUAGAAGCAAUGAGGCACACCCCUCAUCUCCUUUCAUCUGCUUCACCUUAGCCUCUCAAUGGCAAGGUUAAGAGCACACUUACCCUAUUCCAGUUGGCCCUAGUGCCUAACCNNNNNNNNNNNNNNNNNNNNNNNNNNNNNNNNNNNNNNNNNNNNNNNNNNNNNNNNNNNNAAAAGAGAGAUCUUUUCUUCAUGUAGUCUGGAGACACGCGGUCUGUUAUUUGACCGGGCAAACUGUCUGAAGUCCUCCUUAAGAGGCAAUGCCUGUGUAUGUUUACUUUGUCCCUGUACAGAGUCAAAGACCUCCUAAGUGAAGAGGCAAUUGGUGGAAGGUAGGGAUAUGCAGUCUAUCCCCAACUAUUCAGUGUGUCUUCUGUCUUGGCUCACACUACUGUGUUGAUGCACUUUCAGAUAAAACCCAAGAUCUUGUGCAAUUGCACAGUUGAGUCAGUUUUAAAUGUGUAGAAGGGUUCCCACUUUCUGACCCACACAUUCUUGUCAAAUGCUCUCCCAGGCCAAGGGAUAGAAGCAAUGAGGCACACCCCUCAUCUCCUUUCAUCUGCUUCACCUUAGCCUCUCAAUGGCAAGGUUAAGAGCAACACUUACCCCAUUCCAGUUGGCCUAGUGCCUAACCUUUGAUGUUUGAGCCUUGUUGGUGUGUUUAUCUUAUGCUGUAUGUGUUUGUGAUUGUUUUGUUUGCCCUCUUUAGGCUUUAGCUUGACUUGCCCUUGUGCAAGGUAGGUGGUGCUUGACUUGCUUCCUGUGCAAGUCAAGUCUGUGUGGCUUACUUCCUGUGUGAGCCAUGCUUAGGGUUGUUUGGCCGAACUACGGCAACUCUGAUUCUCCACGUUCAGGUGAGAUACGUAGGCACGAGACGCGAUGUCUUGCCGAGUUUGACUAACCACUAACACUGAUUUCUUUCUCUCACACCCUGUUGUGAUUUGAGAUAUCCCUUUCUCUUGCCCUACGUUGCAAUCGAGACCCCUUGCUUCCUGUGCAAGCCUUGUCUAGGAUAGGUUGGCCCGCGUGCCAUUUAGCUAGAACCCUUAACUUAGGGUUUGACUUUUGCAUGACAACAUCUAGCGCGAGUCGUAGUCUCCUAGAGUUGUGUCUCCCUCUGUUAUCUGGUUAGGCUAGAUCCUUGUCCCUGCGUAGGGGACUACAUCGCCCUGAUCUCACACCAGAUGAGUAUGUAGGUAGAGAUUGAGCUGAUUCUCUCCGGGCGCCCUUUUUCUUUUUGUGUGUGUCGUCUGACCUUUGCUAGGCUCGAGUCCCUGACUGCCCUUAGCAAUUUGCUGUCUGUCUGUUUGUUUGUGUUUGACAGUUGUAGGCUGAGUCCCAGACUCCCUAUCUAUCUGUUGCGUUGUUUAGGUUCGGAUGCUGAUGUAAGUCAACGAUUGGCAUUCAGGCUCCACGUUUGCCUGUGCUUUGUUUGUUUGUGUGCGUGUCAGCCGAGCUACGAAUGCUUCUGAUUCUUCUCUCGUCCGAGAGAUACGUAUGCAUAGAUGCGAUAAUCCUAGCGAGCAUGUGUCGUUCUUCCUAGUCCGAAACUACUUCGACUCUGAUGUCUAUCGUCUGAUAGACUAAGUAGGCCCCAGGAUGCGAUAUCCUGCCGAGUCAGUUUCAGUCAGUCUCUCGCUUUCUUUCAGCACAGUGUAUGUGUGUAUUUGAGCCAGUGUUUAGCAACCAUUUUCCUUUCUAGUGUGCGUGGAUCCCGUAGAGUAUACGGAUGCGUAGGGUGCCUAACCCUUCCCUUCGCAUACACGACUCACCGAACCCAUUCCUCUUUGGUCGCGAGACCAUGUUCUUUCCUAGGUUUACUUCGAGCGUUUCCUUUCCCUCUUUUGGGAUAAAUAACGCACGGUGGCGGCUCUGUUGUUUCUUUCUUUUCCCGCCGGUUUUUCGCGCGAUGCGACAAAGUCGAGUCAGAUGAUCCUGAUAGGAUAUCAUUCGACUGGAGGAUAUAAGUUGUUUGACCCAGUGAAUAAGAAAGUGGUGAUCAACAGGGACGUGAUCAUAGAUGAGCUUAAGGAGUGGGAUUGGACUGAGAAUUUUAAGAAAGAUUCAGUGAGAAUCUUUUGUGAUGAAUCAGCUAGUGAAGUCAAAAGAGAAGUUCGACAUGAAGAAGUCGGAGGUGAAGCAAGCACAAGCAUACCUCAAAGAAUAAGACACAUGCCCUACAAGGUUGCAAGACUGUGUGAUUACAUAAGAUGAUAUGGUCAAUGAAGAAGGUAAGUUGAUACAUUAUGCUUUCUACGCAUAUGUUGAACCUGUCAAUGCAGCUGGGGCAUUAAAAGAUUCGAAGUGGAUGAAAGCAAUGGACGAAGAGUUGAAGUCAAUCGAAGUCAACAACACCUGGUCACUUGUCGAAUUGCCCUAAGACAAGAAGGCAAUCGAUGUGAAGUGGGUAUACAAGGUGAAGUUGAAUCCCAGAGGAGAAGUGACUCGACACAAGGCGAGACUUGUGGCAAAAGGAUUUCUUCAAAAAGAAGGAAUCGACUUUGAUGAAGUUUUUGCACCUGUUACUAGGAUCGAAACAAUCAGGUUGGUUGUUGGUCUAGCAAAAAUGAACAAAUGGCAGACGUGCCAUAUGGAUGUGAAAUGUGCAUUCCUUAAUGGCCCCUAAGAAGAAGAAGUUUAUAUUGCACAACCAAUUGGGUUUGUGAAACAUGGCGAGAAAGAAAAGUGUAAAGGCUGCAUAAAGCCCUGCACGGACUUAAACAAGCUCCAAGAGUUUGGAACAAGAAGAUAGAUGGAUUUCUAAGGGAGAAGGAAUUUGUGAAGUGCAAAUCUGAACAUGGAGUAUAUGUAAGAAGAAGCAAGAGUGAAUUUCUUAUACUAUGCCUCUGAUGACCUGUUGAUAACAGGUAGCUGCAAGAAGGAGAUCGAAGACUUCAAAUGUGAUCUCAACAAGGAAUUUGAAAUGUCAUAUAUGGGUGACAUUUCAUAUUUCCUUGGCAUGUAAUUCUACAAGAGUGGUAGAGGUUUGAUGAUGCAUCAAAAAAGGUAUGCAGGCGAAAUACUCAAGAGAUUUGAGAUGCAAGAUUGCAACCCGACUUCGACUCCAGCUGAGCCCAGAUUACAACUAUCGAAAGAUUCAGAUGAAGAUGAUGUUGACCCAACCCAAUACAGAAGACUUAUUGGGUCACUUUGAUACCUUUAUCGCACAAGGUCUGACUUAGCAUACAGUGUAGGUAUGGUGAGUAGGUUCAUGCAGAAGCCAAAGAUAUCACAUCUAGCAGCGGCGAAAAGGAUAUUAAGGUAUCUGAAAGGAACUCUCGACUAUUACAUUUUGUUUCAUGUAGCCGAUGAAGGAAAAGAAUGCAAAUUAGUGGGAUACACCAAUUCAAGUUGGUGUAGUGAUGUUGAGGAUCGAAAAUCCACAGCGGGCUAUGUGUUUAUGCUAGGUGGUACAUCAGUUGCUUGGAGUUCGAGAAAUAAGCCAGUAAUGGCAUUAUCAUCGUGCGAAGCAGAAUACACAACUGCUUCUUUUUGUGCAUGUCGAGUAACAUGGAUGAUGAAUCUGGUCGAAGAGAUAACAACAAAGAGUCAUGGAGCAAUUACCAUGAAGAUCGACAGCAUGUCAGCUAUCAAUCUGGCGAAAAAUCCGAUAGCACAUGGUCGAAGAAAGCACAUCAAAAUAAGGUUACAUUAUCUUCGAGAGCAGGUAGAAAAUGAGAAGAUGAAUGUGGAACACUGCAGAACUGAGAAUCAGAUUGCAGACAUCAUGACGAAUGGAGUGCAGGUCGAAGUGUUCAGAAGACUAAGAGCUAUGAUGAAUGUAAAUAGCUUAGACAUAAUGAAUUAGGUGGUGUGUUGAGUUGUAAUUCCUUAUGUCGAAGUAGGUUACUCGACAGAACAAGGAAGUGUCAGACCACUUAGUUUGUUGAGUUGUGUUAGUGUCGAAGUGUCGAAGCAUGUUGUUUUAUACAGGAUUUCGACUUAGAUCUAUUUUAGUAGUGUUAGCUAUUUUGGGCUUUUAUAGUUUUGGGUUUUGCCUUGAGGUCCAAGUUAACCUAAAUCUAUAAAUAGAGAGAGUAACCCUUAUUUUCGUAAUGAAGUGAAUAGAGCAUUCAUAACAUUGUAUUCACAGUAUUUUGCAAUUGCAAAAUGAAUAAGAAGUUUUCCACAAUUUAUGAGCAGAGAGAAACUCUAUAGAAUUAUAUUACUCUUCUCCUUCAUCGUUCUUUCUUUGCAGAAUUAUAUUACUCUUCUCCUUCAUCGUUCUUUUUUGAAAAAACCAAAAUUUAAUUGAAUGGAAGAAUCAAUUAUGAUUAUUGUUUUCUUAUAUUGAUAGCAGCUGUAAUAAUAAUGACUUCAAAAAUCUAGGUAUUUAAAAAGGAUAUUUCAAUUCACUUAAUAGACAGAAUAUGGGGGUUUUUUUACCGAGAUAACCCAGUUUUUCGAAAAAAUUCCCAAAAUAACCCAGUUUUCAGCAAAAUUCCCAAUCUACCCCACUUUUAGGAGGUGUCUCCAAUUUAAUUGGCGACUCCUCUUAAAAAUUACAAGGAGGCGCCAAUUGGAUUGGCUAGGGAAGGUGCCCUAGCCAAUCCAAUUGGCGCCUAUGUGUAGGUUUUAAGAGGAGUCGCCAAUUCAAUUGGCGACACCCUUAAAAAAGGCUCAAAUGGAAAAACCUUCAACAUGAAAGUUGUAGAUCUUUUCAAGACAAUGAAUUUGGACAUAAAUUUUGCAUCAUUUGGAUUUUUUAUGAGAAAGUUAUGGGCAGUUGAAGUUGGACUUCUGAUUUUUUCAACUGUUAUCUGACCUAUAAUNNNNNNNNNNNNNNNNNNNNNNNNNNNNNNNNNNNNNNNNNNNNNNNNNNNNNNNNNNNNNNNNNNNNNNNNNNNNNNNNNNNNNNNNNNNNNNNNNNNNNNNNNNNNNNNNNNNNNNNNNNNNNNNNNNNNNNNNNNNNNNNNNNNNNNNNNNNNNNNNNNNNNNNNNNNNNNNNNNNNNNNNNNNNNNNNNNNNNNNNNNNNNNNNNNNNNNNNNNNNNNNNNNNNNNNNNNNNNNNNNNNNNNNNNNNNNNNNNNNNNNNNNNNNNNNNNNNNNNNNNNNNNNNNNNNNNNNNNNNNNNNNNNNNNNNNNNNNNNNNNNNNNNNNNNNNNNNNNNNNNNNNNNNNNNNNNNNNNNNNNNNNNNNNNNNNNNNNNNNNNNNNNNNNNNNNNNNNNNNNNNNNNNNNNNNNNNNNNNNNNNNNNNNNNNNNNNNNNNNNNNNNNNNNNNNNNNNNNNNNNNNNNNNNNNNNNNNNNNNNNNNNNNNNNNNNNNNNNNNNNNNNNNNNNNNNNNNNNNNNNNNNNNNNNNNNNNNNNNNNNNNNNNNNNNNNNNNNNNNNNNNNNNNNNNNNNNNNNNNNNNNNNNNNNNNNNNNNNNNNNNNNNNNNNNNNNNNNNNNNNNNNNNNNNNNNNNNNNNNNNNNNNNNNNNNNNNNNNNNNNNNNNNNNNNNNNNNNNNNNNNNNNNNNNNNNNNNNNNNNNNNNNNNNNNNNNNNNNNNNNNNNNNNNNNNNNNNNNNNNNNNNNNNNNNNNNNNNNNNNNNNNNNNNNNNNNNNNNNNNNNNNNNNNNNNNNNNNNNNNNNNNNNNNNNNNNNNNNNNNNNNNNNNNNNNNNNNNNNNNNNNNNNNNNNNNNNNNNNNNNNNNNNNNNNNNNNNNNNNNNNNNNNNNNNNNNNNNNNNNNNNNNNNNNNNNNNNNNNNNNNNNNNNNNNNNNNNNNNNNNNNNNNNNNNNNNNNNNNNNNNNNNNNNNNNNNNNNNNNNNNNNNNNNNNNNNNNNNNNNNNNNNNNNNNNNNNNNNNNNNNNNNNNNNNNNNNNNNNNNNNNNNNNNNNNNNNNNNNNNNNNNNNNNNNNNNNNNNNNNNNNNNNNNNNNNNNNNNNNNNNNNNNNNNNNNNNNNNNNNNNNNNNNNNNNNNNNNNNNNNNNNNNNNNNNNNNNNNNNNNNNNNNNNNNNNNNNNNNNNNNNNNNNNNNNNNNNNNNNNNNNNNNNNNNNNNNNNNNNNNNNNNNNNNNNNNNNNNNNNNNNNNNNNNNNNNNNNNNNNNNNNNNNNNNNNNNNNNNNNNNNNNNNNNNNNNNNNNNNNNNNNNNNNNNNNNNNNNNNNNNNNNNNNNNNNNNNNNNNNNNNNNNNNNNNNNNNNNNNNNNNNNNNNNNNNNNNNNNNNNNNNNNNNNNNNNNNNNNNNNNNNNNNNNNNNNNNNNNNNNNNNNNNNNNNNNNNNNNNNNNNNNNNNNNNNNNNNNNNNNNNNNNNNNNNNNNNNNNNNNNNNNNNNNNNNNNNNNNNNNNNNNNNNNNNNNNNNNNNNNNNNNNNNNNNNNNNNNNNNNNNNNNNNNNNNNNNNNNNNNNNNNNNNNNNNNNNNNNNNNNNNNNNNNNNNNNNNNNNNNNNNNNNNNNNNNNNNNNNNNNNNNNNNNNNNNNNNNNNNNNNNNNNNNNNNNNNNNNNNNNNNNNNNNNNNNNNNNNNNNNNNNNNNNNNNNNNNNNNNNNNNNNNNNNNNNNNNNNNNNNNNNNNNNNNNNNNNNNNNNNNNNNNNNNNNNNNNNNNNNNNNNNNNNNNNNNNNNNNNNNNNNNNNNNNNNNNNNNNNNNNNNNNNNNNNNNNNNNNNNNNNNNNNNNNNNNNNNNNNNNNNNNNNNNNNNNNNNNNNNNNNNNNNNNNNNNNNNNNNNNNNNNNNNNNNNNNNNNNNNNNNNNNNNNNNNNNNNNNNNNNNNNNNNNNNNNNNNNNNNNNNNNNNNNNNNNNNNNNNNNNNNNNNNNNNNNNNNNNNNNNNNNNNNNNNNNNNNNNNNNNNNNNNNNNNNNNNNNNNNNNNNNNNNNNNNNNNNNNNNNNNNNNNNNNNNNNNNNNNNNNNNNNNNNNNNNNNNNNNNNNNNNNNNNNNNNNNNNNNNNNNNNNNNNNNNNNNNNNNNNNNNNNNNNNNNNNNNNNNNNNNNNNNNNNNNNNNNNNNNNNNNNNNNNNNNNNNNNNNNNNNNNNNNNNNNNNNNNNNNNNNNNNNNNNNNNNNNNNNNNNNNNNNNNNNNNNNNNNNNNNNNNNNACAUUAUAGGUCAGAUAACAGUUGAAAAACUCAGAAGUCCAACUUCAACUGCCCAUAACUUUCUCAUAAAAAAUCCAAAUGAUGCAAAAUUUAUGUCCAAAUUCAUUGUCUUGAAAAGAUCUACAACUUUCAUGUUGGAGGUUUUUCCAUUUGAGCCUUUUUUAAGAGUGUCGCCAAUUGAAUUGGCGACUCCUCUUAAAAAUUACACAUAGGCGCCAAUUGGAUUGGCUAGGGCACCUGCCCUAGCCAAUCCAAUUGGCGCCUCCUUGCAAUUUUUAAGAGGAGUCGCCAAUUCAAUUGGAGACACCUCCUAAAAAUGGAGUAGAUUGGGAAUUUUGCUGAAAACUGGGUUAUUUUGAGAAUUUUUUCGAAAAAUUGGGUUAUCUCGGUAAAAAAACCGAAUAUAGGAGUAGUUAAAGUUUUUUAUUGCAUGUUCAUUCAUACUCAUUUAUGUUUAAAUAUGUCUUAUAAUAUUUAAGAAGAUAAUCAUUUUUAAUGUUAUAUUGUUGGUUUCUACUUUCUUCCCAAUCCCCACUUUAUGAUUAUUAUAAAAUAGAUUAGUUUGUUAAAUUAUUUUUUAAAAAGUUAAUUAAAAUAAUAUUAAUAAUUAUUUUAUAGUUGUUUUUAAAAAUUUUAAACUUAAUAUACUAAUACUACGCAUAAUAAGCUAAUACCUCCAACAUAUAUGUUAAUAAUUAAUUAAUCACUAUUUAUUAAUCUAGAAAUCAUAUAAUAUUUAUUUUAUUAUUUCCUUUAACAUAUAUAUAUAUAUAUAUAUAUAUNUAUGAUAAAAUAAAAUAUUAUAUAAUAUAUAAAUUAAUCAUAUAUCUUAUAAAAAAUAUCAUAUAUCAAUAUUUUAAAAUAAAAUUUAUUUAAAUUUUUAAUUUAAUUUUAAAUAAAUUAUUAUAAAGAAGUGACUUCGAGUGCUAAAAAAAUGAGAAUUAAAACUCCCUCCGGUAACUAUUAUAAAAAAAACUUAAAUAUUGAUUAUUAUCAUAAACAAAAUAAUUAAUUUUUAAUCUUUAGUUCAAAAAUAUAAAAACUUUAAUUUAAUUAAAAAAUAUUUAAUAUAGAUAAUUUAUUCAUCAAUUAUAACUAAAAAUAUUAUAAUAAAUUUUACUUUGUUUUGUUUGUACAUAAAAUCAAAAAAAUUAAUUAUAUUUAACGAAUUUUUUUAAUUGAUACGAAAAUAAUUACUUUUGAUUAUAAUUACAUUUUAAGUAUUGUAUUUUAAUUGUGUAAGUUUACUUUAUAGCAGUACUAACUGCCUAUUGCAAUCCAAAGCAGUGAAUUCUGUUGCAGCGGCACCAGAAAAAUUUGCACCGCUGAGUCAAUAACUAAAGCAUGAUGAGGUGUAAGAAUGAAGUGUUCGAUAAGCAUGCAUGUCGAAGAAUGUCCACGUUUCAUGAACUCACAUUCAUCGUGUCCACCGUUCAACCUUCUCUCCAUUUCUAUAAACCCCCACGUAUCAAAGCAAUCUCCAUUCUCCUCGUAACAAACUCACUUCACCUAACAUGGCAAACCCAAAUUCCUACUGUUUCUCUCUUCUAUCCGUCUUGCUCCUCUUCACGUCUGCAUGCUCAGCGCGCCAACUGCCACGUCAGCCAAGCGAGCUCUACGAGUGCCAGCUCGAUACCAUCCAUGCACGGGAACCCGACAACCGUUAUGACUCCGAAGCUGGUUUCACCGAAACCUGGGAUUCUACCCGCCCUGACCUACGUUGUGCUGGUGUUUCUGUUCUCAAACGCACCAUCAAUCCUAAUGGCCUGAAUUUACCAUCUUACGUUGCAUAUCCUGAGCUCCAUUUCGUAGAACAAGGUCAAGUUCUAGUUACUUCAUUAAUUUCUCUUUUGAUGUAUUUCUAAUAUAUGCAUCCUUCAUGCACAGGAAUGGGAGUGCUGGGAAUGGCGAUUCCUGGUUGUGCUGAGACAUAUGAAGAGCCACAAUGGGAAAGAAGAGGAAGGCCACAACUACAACAGGACCGUCACCAAAAGGUUCGUUACGUGAAACAGGGUGACCUUAUCGCUAUCCCCCCUGGAGUUCCUUACUGGACUUACAAUUACGGUAAUACCCCGCUCGUUAUCGUCAGUCUCCUCGAUACUUCAAACAAACUAAACCAACUCGAUCAAGUCCCGAGAGUAAGUAAAUUAUUCACUCACGUCACACAUUAAUAUAAUAUAAGUACGAUUUUGUUGAUAAAUUUGUUCGUGUGGUGGUGACUGCAGAGAUUUUAUCUUGGUGGGAAUCCAGAAGUAGAGCACUCUGUAAAACAGAGUGGAAGAAAGCAUGGUGAUGAAGACACUAACAACAUGUUCAGUGGCUUUGAUUCGCGUUUCUUAGGUGAAGUUUUGAAAGUGAAAGAAAGUAUAAUUAGGAAGCUUCAAUCUCCGGAAGAUGGACAAGGGAAGCACCAAAUUAUACACGUGAAAGGAGGUCUUAGCCUUAUAAGACCACCUUUGGAACCAGAAAUAAGAUCAGAAGAAGAGAAAACACGCCGAAAGCGUGAAGAAAAAGUAGUAGAGGAAGAAGAAGAAGAAGUUGUUGAAGAUGAGCCUGGUAAACGAGAACAUCGUGAAUGGCGAAAAGAGACAAGAAAACAAAAAGAAGGUGAAAGUGAAGGAGAAGGAGAAGAAGCUGAAGUGGUAAAAGAGAAAGAAACAAAAACAAAAGAGCAUCGUCGUCACCACGGUGAAAGAGAAAGUAGUAGACAUGGUGAGAGAAGACAAGAGGAAGAAGAAGAAGAUGUGAAGGAAGAGAAACAAACACGAACAACAACUAAAGAACGCGAGGGACAGAAAGGUAAUUUCCUGGAGGAAACCGUUUGUACAUUAAAGCUUCACGAGGACCUCGCUGGUUCUUCACAGGCCGACGUAUUUAACCCAAGAGCCGGUCGCAUAACAUCAGUCAACAGUUUGACUCUUCCGGUUCUCAAGUUGCUUCACCUCAGUGCCCAAUGGGUUAAACUCUACAAGGAUGGUAUAUUUAUGCCGCACUGGAACAUGAACGCGAACAGCGUGAUGUACGUAACGAGAGGGAGAGGAAGGGUUCAAGUGGUGAAUAGCGAGGGAAAAUCGGUGUUCAAUGGAGAGGUGAGAAGGGGGAAAUUGUUGGUGGUGCCACAGAAUUUUGCGGUGGCUGAACAAGCAGGGAAUGAGGGGUUGGAGUAUGUAGUUUUUAAGACGAAUGAUAGAGCUGAGAUGAAUACACUGGUAGGACGUGAUUCUGCGAUUAGUGCUACCCCUGCGGAAGUUCUUGGUCAUGUUUUUGGUCUUAGUCCACAGGAAGUGAAUGAGCUUAAGAAUAAUCGGAAUGAGGGCGUUUUGGCUACUCCUGAUUCUCGAAUCCAGGAUGAUUUCAUUGAAAUGGUGUAAUGUAAUCUUAUGUUGUAAGUUGUUACUCCUAUAUUAUGUAAAAUAAAGGAAGAACUUUGAAGUAACAUGUAAAAUAAAGGAAGAACUUUGUGUAACAGAAGAUAACACGAAUAAAUUUUGGAGUUUUUGAUGUCAGUAACUCUAUUUUUGGGCAAAUAUUAAUGUAUUAAAAAAUUCACAUUCCUUCACUCCAUUGAAAAUAGACGUCAGUGCGUGCGUCUAAUUAUCAGUGUUGUUAAAUUAUUUGUAUUUUAAAUUUAAAUUUUAAUUACGAAAUAAUAAGGAUAUUAUUAUAUUAUUAUAGGAAAGAGUUUUUUAUAUUAAAUAAAAAAGAAUAGGUUAAUAUUUAUUUUGGGAAAUAAUAAUAUAACUAAUUUUUUAAUAUUUUAAAAAAUAAAUAAAGGGUUGCUUUAGUGUAUUUAGUUUGGAUAUCUCUCGUUCACAUGGAGACAUGGAAGCAUGAGGUAUGCGUUCUCAUGAAGACAUGCUUGAAGACAUGGAGACAUGGAAGCAUGAGGUAUGAAAAACGAUGUUGUAUCGGUUAUGUUAUGACGAUAAUGGGUGAAGAAUGGGUUGCAAAACAGAUGUAAUUUUAUGGUUGUUCUUCUACUAUAAUGAUUUUUUGUGCAGUUGAUAUUGAAUUUGUCCCAUCUAACCAAUUCAUGUUCAUUUUAGAUUCGUUUUCUACUCAACCGAAUACCAAAAAUAUGAAUAUAUUUUUACAAAAUUUAAGCAAUCCUAUAUCCCAAGUUGUAGUUAAACUUUCAAUUUUAGAAUUUCAAUAUUCUUUUUACUCAAUAAAUAAGUAGAUUACAUCUUAAAUAGAAUCAUACUUAUAAGAAUCUGUAUAUAUGUUUUUAGAUGUUGAGAAUAGAUGAUGAGGAUAGAAUGUGAUUAUGCAUACUGGUAAUUGAUGGAAAACUUUCAUUAAGUUGUACAGAUUAUUGAUUAUAUACACUGAUUGUAAAUAUUAUAAUUUUUAAUUAUAUAAAUGUUGGAUAUAUAUUAGAAUUUAUAAUUUGGUAUUCAUAUUAUGUUUAUGUCAUUUAGAAUUUUUGAAUUUCAGUAACGAAACUGCAAUGAAGAUCAUUUGGGAUAUGGUGUCUGAGAUUGGUGAAUGUUCAGUUAAGAGAAAAAAGUGUGCGAAGAAAUGUCGUACUGGUAACAUCUCUGCUAUGAAAACUGCGAAUAUCGCUCAAAUUACCAAUGUUGCUGCUGUUGUAAAUGAACCCACAAACAAUGGAAAAAUUGUUAUUCAAUAUAUUAAGGAAGAAGUUGUUGAUACUGCAUAUGCUAAUAGAUCUAUGAAGGAGAACGAAAUGCAUGCUGAAAAGUGUGUUGCAAAGGAAAAAUAUGUUGGCAACAAGAAAUCUGUUGGAAAAUUUGUGGAUAAGAAAGGUAAAUUUGUUAAUGUUUUUGGGUAGUUCUGAAACUUUAGGUUAGUAGUUUUUGAGAAAUUAGUGUACUAUGGUUUUGUUAUAUGACUUUAAGUUUGUUUUGGAUUUACACUGUUCUAUUUUUUCGUUUAUAUUUAGUAUCCUUCCGUACGAAUGAAAAACAAUCACAUUGAAAAAAAGUAGAUUUCAUUGCAAAUCGCAUGUCUGAAAUACUUAAUUAGUAGUAAAUGUCAAAUGAAUAAAAAUGUUAAUCAUUGUUGUUGCAAUUGACAAAUGAAAUACGAAAUUGAUAAAUAGAUAAUUGUUAAUGUUUGAAUGUGCAGAUGUUAACAAAUUUAUGAAGGAGAAGGAAACACAUGUUGAAAAGUGUGUUGCAAAUAAAAAACAUGUUGGCAAGAAGAAAUCUAUUGGAAAAUCUGUGGAUAAGAAAGAUAAAUAAAAAUUUGUAGAGAAUACACGGGUCUCAAAUUAAUUUACUGAAUAAUUGGUCAUGGGGGCUAAACAAUAUUCUUGGAAGAGCCACAUAGAAAAUGCAAAAACCUACGCAACUAAUGUUAUGGUAAGAACAUAUUUGAAUUUGAUCUAUUGUGUUAUAUUUCGAAAGGGCUUAUAACUUGGAGUGUUGUGCAAUUGAUAUUUAUGCAGCAUUUUUCAAGAACAAUAGCAAAAACGUGUCUUAGAACAAAUAUAUCUGAGAUCAAAGUCGUUGAUGUAGAAGAAACCAAAAUAUUCAAAUGUCGGGUUCACACUACAAAAAGGAAGAACGAACCAAGCGCCUAUGAAAAGUACAUGUCUUUAGGAUAGUAUGAAUUUGCAAAGAGCAAAAACUUAUGUGAUGGCGAUACCUUGGUCUGGAGUAUGUUGCGUUUUUCUCCCUCUGUGUAUGUAAAAUUGUAGAGCAGUUGAUGGGCAACUGUAAUAUCGGAUUUGGAGUCUAUGGUGAUUAUGACAUGGAGUUCUAACAUGUCGUGGAUGGUCUGUUUUUGAGUUUAUGUAUAUAAACUUUGAUGUAAUUUUGGAAUGUCUGAACCAAAUUAUAAUUAGUACCUUAAUCAUAUUGGUAUUUAUGUAUUUUGAUAGAAAACUUGGUAAUUUUAAUGUAGAAGUUGCAUUAUGUGUUUUAUUUCAUGUAAAUGUGUAUUUUACAUGUUACAUUUAUAAUUUUGAUGAUUUGAAGUUGAACAGACAAAAAAUUAAAAUGAGUUAGUUUUGCAAACAGACAAUACAUAUGAUAUCACCUAUAAAUAUAUCAAUACAUAUUGCAUAUGAUGUCUGUUAAAGAACAGUUUUUAAGGGGUAUUGUAUUGCUCAAACUCAUUAAUUAGGUGUGCAGGCUGAAAUCCAUGUCUAAGCCCAUUUACACUUUGAUAUAUAAUGUAAGGAUUAGAGUAUUCAUAUCAUCGUUUUUCUAUCAUUUGAAUUAUAGAAAGGAAGAUAUGUUUGACAACAUCUCUGAAAUGUAUGCUUCUGGCAGGUAUGUAUGACUUUCAUAUCAUCAAUCUUCUAUGAUUGGAACUAAGAUUGAUUUUUCUGAAAAUUCCUCUAUUAGGAAUAUCUUAUAAUUAAACAUAGUUGAAAUUUAAUUUAAUUUGUAAUUAUAGUAAAUCGAAUUAUUAAUGUUAUUACACCUACAAUAAUGAAGACAUGAGGGCACAUGUAUUCAAGUUUAAAAAAAUAUUUUGAAGAAGACCAAGAUACAAAAAAAGAAAGCUCUAAUAAAGGAGGGUUGUAUUAAUGAGGACGAAAAAAGACACGAUGUUAGCAAUGAUUGCAAGUGGGAUAUACUGUGAUAGAAGCAAAUAAGUUUAGGAAAUAUAUGCUGGUUAUUGUCUUGGCACUCAAAUUGCUUGACUGUAUUUUUAUCGUAUUUAACGAUUUUAUGUAAAUGUGUUUUCUUCAUUUUUGCAGCAUAUCCCAAUGAACAUAUCAAAGCAAUGCUUUGGUGAAAAGCAGGAUGCGAUAAAGAUAAUCGACAUAGAAGAUUGGAAAGGUUAUAACUGUGUUAUUCAUAUAGCUCGACGAGAUUCAUAUGAGAAGAAUGUUGCACAUGGAUGGUACGAAUUUUCCAAGGAGAAGAAGCUUGGAGUCGGGAAUAUGUUAUAUUUUAGCAUGAGUCUUAUGGAAGAUUAUAUGUUUGUUGAUGUAAUAAGGGGUUAAUCUAUGCUAUUUGAUUUGAAAGAUUUGAAUGCAAGUAAUUGUUCUGAGAGGAUUUUAACUUCAAAGUUAUUAUAAGUACAAACUGUUAUUGUAUUGAUCAGUAUAAGCAACUCAAUGUUGUUGAUGCAACAAUAUUAUGCAACGUGAUAUGGUUUAGUUGUUGAUGUUUGACUAUUUGUAGUGUGUACAUGAAUUAUUACAGACUGUAUGCAUGACUUAUCAAUGAUACUGCUAGAAAACAAUCUUGAUCAUUACAUCCAGUUGAUAAAAAAUAGAACUGAUAUGAUAUAUAACUACACAAUAUAUUUAUUGUUAAGACUAAAAGAAUCAUUCAUUCCUUUUAAAAUAAAACUUCAGUAAAUCCUAAUUCGGUUACCAUUAAUCUAACAUAUUAACCAUGUCAUUUUUCAGUUGAUCUAAUUGUAAACAUUGUAACAAAAUUCGAAAUCCAAGCAAAGUCCAAAAUGUUAAUCAAAUCAUUAUUAAUGACUAUGACUAGUUUAAUGCACACAUUAAUUGCAACAAAGAUUGAAAUAAAUAAGACAUUGUAGACAAGAUAAUCUUACUUGUUGCCUCUGCUUCUUCUUAUGAUAACUCAUUAUGGGUCAAAUAUCGAACGAUAUGUAUCAUUCAACCCUGGUAUUACUCAAUGUCAUAACUUCCUCAACCUUUGUGCUUGGUGGUUCUGUGGUGUCUUGAACUACCAUAUCCUCCACACAUACCUACAUGUGUCGCCCUAUUGGUAAAAUGAAUACCAUGCCCAUUUGUCUUUGGUAUGUAGCAGCCGCUUUUUUAAAUCCGAAAGGUAUCACUUAUAAUAACAAUUAUUCAUGUUCUCCAUGAAUGUCAUUUCGGUAGUGUUGUAUCUCGAAAAAUAUGAUCCCUCGCGAUGGCCACAGAAAAAAUGAUUCGAACAGAGUCUCCAUUGAACUUUAUUUAUUUCAAUGAAGGAAUAGGAAAAUAUCGAUAAAACCUCUUAAAAAUAGAAUAAUGGUCGUCGCAACCAUAUUCGGGUUCGGGAGUCGAUUACAUAAGGAGAAGGUAUUAGCACCCCUCACGUCUGUUGUACUCAACGAGAACCUUUUAGUUAAAACUUGUGAUUUGAAUGUUAGCUAAAUGUUAUUGGCUUUCUUCGAGUGAAUAAAAUAUUGAAAAUAGAAACGAAAGGAAACCUCAAAAGGGGAAAAAUGAGGUUUUUUUAUUAGUAUGCUCGCCAAGAUCUCGCAAUCUCGUGGCUACGUAUCCUUAUAGUGCAAUAAGGAAGUCAGAGCCUUCGUAGUUCGGGGUAGCCAAGAGUGCUGGUUGGUUGAUUUUAAUGGACGAAUGUUUAGGUAGCAUUCUAAUGGUUAAACAUUAACUUGUUUGCUCGCGGAUGGGAGACUUAACGUUUGUUUAUUUUGCGGUAGAAGGGAUCUUGUUUGAUUGUGUUCUAGCAGUUUAAAAAUUUAGUUGUAGGCUCGCGCAUGAGAGGCUUAGCGUUUUUUAUACACACGUUAGAAAGGACUAAAUAAUGUCUAUUUGUGAAAAGGUUUUCAAUCACACGGGGGCGAGAAAAGAAGUUUGAUUGGUUAAAGUUUGUUAGGGUUGAUUUGAACACUUGCCUAGAUCACAUUUUAACGGUAAAACAUGGCUUGCUUACUUGCGGCGGAGGCUUAAGAGAAAGUUUGUAUGCAUUAGAAAGGAUUAGACAAGUGUACUCUUGUGAAAAAAGUUUCAAUAGCACAGGGCGAGAGGUUAUAGGUUUGAUAUGUUGUAUGAUUUUUCAGAGGAAUGACGAAUGCUUGGUAAGAAUGAAACGUGGGUCUGGAGCCAAUUGAUCGAGAUAUUGCUGGAAUGCUAGACUCCAACAAUAUCUUUUUCAUUCAAUAUAUUUAAGAAAUUGUUUGAUGGACGAUGAACAUUCAAAAGAUUGCUCAAAGGUUCCACCAGAAUGCUAGACUCAAAUGGUCCUUAUUUUGUCCAAGUUUUUAAGUUAAGUAUUUUAGAAACGAAAAGAGUGAAUGAAGAGCUAACCUAAGACGUGUGCCUCGAUAGAAAUCAUUCAAGGAUUCAAGGAAUGCAAGACUCCAAGGAUCCAUUUCUUUCGUAUUUGAUUAAGAAAAUAGGUUUGCACUAAACUUAAUCGGAAGAAAAUAUUUGAAUCGGGACAAAAGUGAUUUAAUCGGAUUUAGAAAAACAUUUUUGGCGUUGGACCAAUUUUUUUAGAAUAGAGUCAUAAUUAUUUAUUUUAUUAUUUAAUCAACAUUAUCAUAUAUUUAUUUAUUUAAUUUUGUAAUAAACAAAUAAAUAAACAAUAAUUAAUCAAAUAAUAAAAUAAAUGAUGAAAGCAAUUUAGAAAUUAUGACUUUAUAUUUAUUUAUUCAAUCUUAAUAAACAUUUACUUAGCUAAUUAAUAAUAAUCAAAAUAAUAAAUAAUUAAAAGAAAUUAAAUAAAUAAGUAAUCAUAAAAAAGUAAAUAAUAAAAGAAAUAAUAAGCUAAUUAAUAAUAAUCAAAAUAAUAAAUAAUUAAAAGAAAUUAAAUAAAUAAGUAAUCAUAAAAAAGUAAAUAAUAAAAGAAAUAAUGGAAGGAAUAUUUUUUAGAGUUAUCUAGUAUAGGUUCAUCAAUUAACCAUUAAUCAAAGUUAAUAUCAUGAUUAAGAUACAAACAAAUAAUUACAAAAAAUCAACUCCAAUGGCCUAAAAUAGUGAGCCAGAACGGGGCAAAAAAGGGGUGUUAAAUUCAAUCCAUCCCAAACGUCCACAAUCAAGUUAGAAAACGCAAGCAUACAAGAAUGUACAUAGUAAUGAGCUUAAUUUUAUAAAGAAUAAUCAAACCAAAUAAUCAAGUUCCACCAAACCUAGUUAAACCAAUAACUUAUAAGAAAUGAAAUAAAAACAUAAACAACAAGGAGGCAUCGCCUCUCCUAAAGAUAAAGACUGAAAGUGGAUCUCUUUUAAUCUUGACUUUUUCAAACUUUUUUAAAAAAUACAAGUCUUUGAAAGACAAAAUUCCUUCUCAUCAUUCUCACAUAUGGUAAUAAAAAUACAAGUCUUUGAAAGACAAAAUUCCUUCUCAUCAUUCUCACAUAUGGUAAUACAACACACUUUUAAAUUAACAUAAACACAUGGUAAUAAAAAAACAAAAUUCCUUCUCAUCAUUCUCACAUCUCCCGUCCUCAUGUUUACUGCAAUGCAAGUGAUAAUAAUAUAAAAAAAUGAGAGUCGAAGUGCACUGGAGAUUCACAUCCUUCAUGAAACAAACAUAAAUUCAAUGGCAAAAAAUCAAAUCCUUUAAAAAACCCUAAACAAAUAACACAAAUAUGUCAUGAAUUCAAAAGGUUAUCACGGAGAAUCUGAAAAAUUUACGUAGAAGCGCUGCAACGUAUGAUACAUCAUCGGAAAAGUGGCUGGCGUGCAGUUGCGAAGUGUUAUGUUAUUGCCUAGUGUUAUUGAAGUUUUGUCCGUGAUUAACGUUGGAUACGGAGGUAGAGAUCGUGUUGAUGAUGAUAAUGUUAAUGUCCGCUGUAAAUCAGUGCGACAAAAUCAGUUGCUUGGGUGGUGUUUAUGUGUGGAGUUGUCUUGCACGGUUUGGUUCAUGGAGGUGGAAAGGGUUAUUUGUGCGAUAAGUCAGCGAUGAUUUGUAGAUUCGGUGGUUAUGAUGUUGUUUCGCGAUUGUUACUUGUGGUUUUGGUGGCUGUGAGCAUGUUAUUACAUGGUCAUGGAGGGAAGAUCAUGGGUGGAUGAGGAGUUUGACGGGUAUUUAGAGUUUCGAUGAAGUUGAUGCAAAUCAGAGGGGGUAUGUUCGAUGGUGGUUUGUGUGAAAGGAGGGUAUGAAGGAGAUGCGAUUUUGUGGAUAGUUAUGGACGGUAGAUAGGAGAAUCUAGUUGCAGGGACCAAUUAGUACUACUUUUUAUAUAAUUUUAUUGGUCCCUUUUACCAAUUUUUGAUGUAACUACACACUUUUAUUCUCACAAUUUUGUAUAAAUGCAAUUAGGUUUAAUUUAUGUUGUUUUGAGUGGUUAUUUCACAUAUUUGUUAGUUUUGUAGAAUUUUUGGGCAAGAGAGCUUCGGAAUGCACGAUCAUAAUUUGGAAGAAGUGUUGAAUGUACUUUGGAGGCCUAAUUUUGAAGAUUAACACUUGGAAGAAUAAUUGGAUGAAGCUUGCAAAGCAAGGAAGCUAAAGUAGCUUCAGUUUGCGCCACGAUCUCCCUUCGCGUCGUGAACCUUGCGAAUCCAGCAAGCUGUUUUGGCCAAGUGUGCUGUUUUCAAUGCCAGAUGUGUUUGCCAAAUCUGUAUCUGCUUUAGGGGGCUUUUCAGUUUUAGAUGAAAAGGAGCAUUUUAGGAAAGGUCAACCCUUUUUAGAAAACAGAAUGGAAAAUGUUGAUUCAUUGAAUUCAUAGUUUGAUAUUUUGUAAGGGAAAAACAUAUUUCUUACCAUUGCCUUUUGCUUUCCAAAAUGAUGAUGAGGAGCUAAACCCCAUUUUGUCAAGAUUGGAGGUAGUAGCUAUUCUUAUUUGUUUAUGUAUUUCAUUUGACUCUUAUAUAUGAUAAAAGAUUGUUGAUGUAUUGAAUGAUAUUUUUGCCCUAAGUUGAAUAUUAGAUUUGAGUAGUUGUUGAAAGAGAUUAUUUAAGUCUUGACAUAAAAUAUAUUUUCAAGUAGUGAAUAAGUUGUAGAAAUAGAUUUAUUCACUACUCUUCUUUUGUAUCAACCAUUAAAGAUUGCUAUAUUGAUAGUUAGGUGGAGAAAUCGUCUAAAGAUUAAUAUAGUGAUUAUCACAAUAUCAUUUAGACAUAAAUGAUAUUGAGAGGAUACUUGAACAUCAUCAAUAAUCUUAAAUCUAUAUAGUUGUCAUAAGGAAUCAUAAGCAAUUUGAAUAGUGAACUCCAAUCUUGCCAAGCCUUUUACAUUUGAUUAAAACUAUUUUAUUGUUUUAGUGACAUUUUACUCAAAAGAUAACUUUUCAAACAAAACAACUUGGUUACUUUCUAAACUUAUAACAAUUUGGAUUAUAGAACGGCGGUAAUAACAACCAAUCUCUGUGGAUACGAUAUUAAAAUAUUUGCCGAAAAUAUACUUUUCAACAAAUUGGCGCCGUUGCCGGGGAUUGGUGUUCGAUAUUACAAGCAUUGCAAUAAUUCAUUGUUUUAAGUUUUGUACUUACUAUCACUCUUGUGUUUCACUUGGUUUGUUAGUUUUGUAGAUUCUAGUGCAUGCGAGGAAAAGCUACCGAGGAGCAAUUUCAAUUCGAUCCCGAAAUUGAAAGAACACUUCGAAAGCUCAAUAGCAAAACACGAAGAAGAAGGAAACUAGCCGAAGAGAGGAACCGGAGAGAAGAAGCAUCUACUUCCGCACUUGUUCAAAUCGAAGAAGUGGUUGUAGAGGCUUGUGACGGAAACAUGGCGGAUGACAAUCGUACCGAAAUGUCCGCUAAUAGUCCAAGAAGAAAUGCUCAAUUUGCCCGUGGAGGAAGAAAUACGGAGAUGAAGACCGGAAUCCUCCAACUUCUCUAUGCAAAUCCAUUCACCGGAAUGGAUCAUGAAGAUCCGUAUACCCAUCUCAUCAAAUUCUAUGAGAUUGCGGGUUCUACGGGAAUAGACGAAGCGGGUGAAGAAACAUUAUUCAAGAGGAUGUUCCCACACUCCUUAGUGGGAAAGGCAAAAGAGUGGUACCUUGAUCAAGCAUCAAGAGUGAUGACGGAUUGGAAUUUGUUAGAAGAAAAGUUCUUAGAAAGAUAUUUCCCUCAAUCCCGAUUCAUGGAAGCCAAAACGGCUAUUGCGGUAUUCACUCAAGGAAGCAACGAGUCUCUAAAUGAGGCUUGGGAAAGAUUCAAGUCAAUGUUGAGAAAAUGCAAGGGUCAUGGUUUUGAUGAGCUCACUCAAAUCCAUAUUUUUCUAAAUGGGCUCCAAUCAACUCACAAGACACUUUUGGAUGCUACCGCGGGUGGCUCUCUUAUGUCAAAGAAUGCGGAAGAAGCUAAAGUCAUUAUUGACCGGAUGGCACUCAAUGAUCGUCAAAGUCAACAUGACCGUAGUCCUUCACAACGUAAACCGGGAGUUCUUGAGUUAAAUACCAAUGAUGCCAUUCUUGCUCAAAACAAGCUACUCUCUCAACAAGUGGAGUUGCUUACUCAACAAAUGGCCAAGCUUCCACAGCAAAUGAAGGAAAUUCAAGGGUCUCAAGUUCGACAUCAAGUAGCAUGUUGCGAAUUAUGUCAAGGAGAUCAUCCUACUGGUUUUUGUCCUCCACUAGAAGAAGUGAGUUAUGUGAACAAUCAAAAUCAAGGCUAUCAAAGGAACAAUCAAGGUUAUCAACCAUCAAGGUUCAACAACCAAAAUUUUCAGCAGCAAAGUCCUUAUCAACACCCAAAUUCUCAAGGACAACAAUCGCAAGGAGGAAAUUCAAAGCUAGAAGACACUCUCCAACAAUUCAUGCAAGCCUCCAUGGCAAAUCAGAAGAGCAACGAGGCAGCAAUCAAGAAUUUGGAAAAUCAAAUAGGUCAACUUGCGAAACAACUGUCGGAACAAACUGCAGGAUCUUCUUUCUCCGCUAACACUCAAACUAAUCCAAAGGAGCAUUGUAAAGCAAUUUUUACUAGAAGCGGUAGAGAGUUGACAAGUAAAAAAGGUGAGGAAAUUACAGUUGAGAAUGAUAUGGAUGCUGUGCUGGAAAAUGAGGAUGUGGCUUGUGGGAAGGAGAAAGUGGCAGAAACUGCUCAGUUCGCGCCGCGAUCUUCCUUCGCGCCGCGAAAACAGCAGAAUCAGCAAUUGAUGGAAGAACAGCAGUGUGAAGCGGAAAUGAGGAAGGAAAUUAAACCAAGAGAAAAGAAAACAAGAGACAAAGGAGUGAAUGUCAUUCCAGUUCAACAUCUACCCUAUCCGCACGCACCAUCAAAGAAGGAUAAUGCUAGACACUAUGCACGGUUUAUGGACAUAUUCAAACAACUUCAAAUCAAUAUUCCAUUUGCCGAUGCAUUAGAGCAAAUGCCACGGUAUGCAAAGUUCAUGAAGGAUAUUCUCACAAAGAAAAGAAGACAUGUGGAAGACGAGACAAUCUUGCUCGAUGCACGUUGUAGUGCCAUCAUUCAAAAGACUCUCCCAAGGAAGGAAUCCGAUCCGGGCCGAGUCGUUUUACCGGUAACCAUUGGAGACACCUACAUUGGUAAUGGCUUGAUUGACUUGGGAUCUAGCAUCAAUUUAAUCCCCCUAUCCAUUGUUAAAAGAUUGGGAAAUGUUGAGAUCAAAUCUACAAGGAUGACUUUACAACUAGCUGAUAAGUCUACCACUUCACCAUAUGAAGUUGCUCAAGACAUGUUAGUGAAGGUGGACAAAUUCUUGUUUCCGGUAGAUUUUGUGAUAGUAGACAUGGAUGAGGAUCGUGAUGUUCCUCUAAUUCUUGGAAGACCAUUCAUGAAAACAGUCCGAAUGAUGAUUGACAUUGAUGAUGGACUAAUGAAAGUAAGGGUGCAAGAUGAAGAUGUAGCCUUCAAUCUUUUUGAAGCCAAAAAGCAUCCUAAUGAUAAGCAUGAUUCUUUCCAAAUCGAUGCCACCAAGGAUGAACUAGUGGAGAUCGCAAACCAGGUUCAUGUUUCUAAUCCAUCAGAGAGAUCUCUUAUCGGAGUCUACAAAGUUUCGACCGAAAAUGAAGGAAAAGAGAUGGAAACAAUGUUGCAUGAAUUAGAGUCUUGUGGAGAACUUGUUUAUCAUGAAGAGACAAACAAAGGCUUGGAUAUGACAAAGAAAGUGGAAGAGCCAAAACUAGAGCCACAUUUGAAGUAUGUGUUCCUUGGUGAUGACUGUACUAAACCGGUGAUCAUUAGCAAUACCUUGUCCAUAAAAGAGGAGAAUCAAUUGAUACGAGUGCUGAAAAAGAAGGAAGUUGUCGAACUAUUGGAGGCCGGGAUGAUUUGUCCUAUCUCCGAUAGUGAAUGGGUGAGUCUGGUGCAAGUAGUUCCGAAAAAAGGUGGUAUCGGAUUUUAUCGAAGGUUCAUCAAGAACCUCUUGAAGACAACAAAGCCCUUGAGUAAGUUGCUCAACAAAGCCGGAUCGUGAAGAGAAUCAUUGAACCGUCGAGCUCAAAACGACGUUAAACAAAGCGCUUGUUGGGAGGCAACCCAACGUUGUAAGUCUGCAUUUUAAAUUUUCUCAAUUCUGUUGUUAUGAUAUUCUGUUGUGUUAAUUUUUGUGAAACUUGAGUUCUGUCCACUGCUAAUUAAUUUUUUCAGAAAUUCCUUCAGUUCGCCCCGCGAUCAUAUUUUGCCCCGCAAACUGAAUGGAAAGCUUCAGUUCGCGCCGCAAACAAAGUUCGCCCAUCGAACUGAGCGUGGCAGAACCACUUGAGUUCUGUUUAGGUUAGUUUCAAGUCAUCCUUAUUUUUACAAACUUCAACUUUUCUUGAACACUCCCACUGCCCCACUUCCAAAACCCAAAUUUUUUCCUCUUCAUCUCCCAAAUCUCAAUUUGUUAACAAAGAAUCAAGUCAACUUCAAAAAGGUAUGUUUGUUCUCUUCAUUUCCUCUCCAUUCCUUUUGGGUUCUUACUUAGGUAUGAAUAGGGUUUUGUAAAGAUUGGAAUGUGACACUUGAAAUAACCUUGCAUGUCUAAAGUGGAUUCAGAUUAGGAUUAGGAUAGGGAUUGUGAUUAUGACUGUGGUGGUGCAAACCUUAGGAACCCUAGAAGGCUCCUGAGUGAUGACGGAUUGGAAUUUGCUAGAAGAAAAGUUCUUAGAAAGAUAUUUCCCUCAAUCCCGAUUCAUGGAAGCCAAAACGGCUAUUGCGGUAUUCACUCAAGGAAGCAACGAGUCUCUAAAUGAGGGUUGGGAAAGAUUCAAGUCAAUGUUGAGAAAAUGCAAGGGCCAUGGUUUUGAUGAGCUCACUCAAAUCCAUAUUUUUCUAAAUGGGCUCCAAUCAACUCACAUAACACUUUUGGAUUCUACCGCGGGUGGCUCUCUUAUUUCAAAGAAUGCGGAAGAAGCAAAAGUCAUUAUUGACCGGAUGACACUCAAUGAUCGUCAAAGUCAACUUGACCGUAGUCCUUCACAACGGAAACCGGGAGUUCUUGAGUUAAAUACCAAUGAUGCCAUUCUUGCUCAAAACAAACUACUUUCUCAACAAGUGGAGUUGCUUACUCAACAAAUGGCCAAGCUUCCACAACAAAUGAAGGAAAUUCAAGGGUCUCAAGUUCGACAUCAAGUAGCAUGUUGCGAAUUAUGUCAAGGAGAUCAUUAAACCGGUUUUUGUCCUCCAUUAGAAGAAGUGAGUUAUGUGAACAAUCAAAAUCAAGGCUAUCAAAGGCAGCCUCCACCCAACAACAACUCAUAUCAAAGGAACAAUCAAGGUUAUCAACCAUCAAGGUUCAACAACCAAAAUUUUCAGCAACAAAGUCCUUAUCAACACCCAAAUUCUCAAGAAUAACAAUCGCAAGGAGGAAAUUUAAAGCUAGAAGACACUUUCCAACAAUUCAUGCAAGCCUCCAUGGCAAAUUAGAAGAGCAAUGAGGCAACAAUCAAGAAUUUGGAAAACCAAGUAGGUCAACUUGCGAAACAAUUGUCGGAACAAACUGCGGGAUCCUCUUUUUCCGCUAACACUCAAACUAAUCCAAAGGAGCAUUGUAAAGCAAUUUUUACUAGNNNNNNNNNNNNNNNNNNNNNNNNNNNNNNNNNNNNNNNNNNNNNNNNNNNNNNNNNNNNNNNNNNNNNNNNNNNNNNNNNNNNNNNNNNNNNNNNNNNNGGGGCCUUAAUGCUUGCAACUAUGGAUGGUGAAAACUUCACUUCCCCUGUGAACUCAGACGCGGUUAAAAAAUACUUCGCAUAAAAUAGACCCGCUGGACAGUAAAAAAGAGUAGUCCAGGCAAAAAUGGGCGUCCCGGCGAACCAAGAAAAUGAAAGGGUUCGGGAAAAAAUUAGGGACAAAAAAUAAAAAAAGAUUGUACACCCGGUAAGUUGAAAACCUGAAAAGGCAACUUAGGCAAAAAUGUGUAUCCCGGUGGAUCGAAAAUCCGAAAAGGGCGAUCCAGUCAAAAGUUAGGGAUUAAGCGAAUGACUGCGUUCUGAGUAGUUCUGAAUCUCAUCUCGUGCCAAUGACUGGAAAUUUUUGAAGGAUAGGAAACAGUCCAAUCACUCCUUCAGAAAGCUGAUCAUCUGGAGGAUCUUGAAGACGGGCAAGUCAUAGCAGAAUUGGAACCCAAUAGAAAUCCAUUUCACAUUGCCAUUAGAUUAAUUUCUGUUUUUUAUUUAUUGUGCGAUUACCUCUUUCCAGGGAUUGCUUCUUAAUGUAAAUGCCUAUUCAGAGGCCAUUCAAUCAAUAAAAUCAUGUUAUUCAGUAUAUCUCUGUUUUCAUUUUCAUUUACGUUUUUUCGAAAAUGCGUCCGACAUUUUUGAUAAACAUUGGCAUCAUGACACAUAAUGGCUUUACAGGUACAUGCUUAAUAACAUUUAAGAUUGCGUAAAUUUUAAGUGUUUGGAGGUCUAUUCAGAACAGAUACCUCGGGCAUUUCCUUAAUUCCCUGCAAAUGAUCGUGAAUAUUUCCCCAGUGAAUUCACAACAGACAAAUUCGUGUCUAUCCCAUCCAAGCUGAUCGAGCGUUGACUACUUCAAUCCCAAGCAUUCUCACCGCCGUACUUCCCAAGCCGGUUGUUCAGGACAUACACUCCCCAGUAGAUUCGAUAGUACCGACAUACAUAUCCGCCACGGGUUGACAGUGCGACGUUUUUCCAGCCAGAAGUGGCUGUCCUUAGAGUUCGAUUCCAGUCGAUAAUCCAUGCAGACAGUUCUUCUUGAAGUAAACUCGACUUAUCAGUGUUGCUCCCCCUGCUGAGUCAUAUCUCCCAAAUCGGGUGCCGAACCAUUGUAGCUGUUCUAACAGCAGGUUCAUCAUUCCCGAUCGAGUCUCGGUAUGCCAGAACCGCAGCGCUAGUCAUUCCCCACGAGUUCAUUGUGGUGUUAUCUCCAAGCAGCCUGGCCAAGCCCAAAGGAUGUAAUCAUUCCCAGCAGAUCCCUGCCUCGGCUUGGCUUACCCAGCAUUUCGAUUCCCUGAUGUAAUCAUAUUGAUUGAUCCUUCCAUCGCGUAGAUUUCCAUGUUUCAUGGGAAUUACGCCAUUUGAAAAUUCAAACAUACGCUGUAAGCAUAAAACUUCUCGGUAUCGCCAAGUGAAUAUAAGCUAGAAGUUUUUCCAGUACUCAGAUGAAGAUUGUCAUGAGCUUACUUUGUUAUCCUAGCAAUGCAUUGGCCAUGCCCGGCCUCUAUUAUCAAUUCCCUAUUUCUGCAAUGCUGACAGGCUAUAAAGUUUUGCCGAUGUUCAAUCGGGAAGAAGUUUCGACGUUCAGGUCGACUGCAAAUGUAUUCUUCAGGCCAGUUUUCCGGUACCAGACCGAGGGCAUUCAGGCCAAUUCCGAUAUCUAGAUCGUAGAAGUUUCACGUUCAGAUGUCAAGCAACUGGUGCAUUCAUGCCAGUUUCCGUAUCCAGACCGACAGUGGCAUUCAGGCAGUUUUUCCGUUCCAGACCGAAUGCAUUCAGGCUAGCUGUUCCGAGUUCAGAUCGAAGAGAGUUCGAGUCAGGCGAUGCAGCUUGUGGCAUUCAGGCAAUUUCAUAUCUCAGAUCGACAGUGCCAUUCAGCCAGUCUUUCGAUGUUAGAUCGGAAGAGUUCGGACGUAGCGUCGAUGCGACUUGUGGAUUACAGCCAAUUUCGUAUGUUCAGAAUCAAAUCCUUCCAGUAUUCAGACUGCUAGCGGCAUUCAGGCAUGGUAUAUUUCUGUGUUACCAUUUAUUUUGGUAUCCAGUUUAACAUUCUUUUUCUAUAUCAGACUGACUCUCACGUACAGCACGGAUUCUUCUUUCAAGACCACUCUUUGCCCGAUUCUGAGACAUUGUUACUUCACUUCACUUCGUGCAAUUUUUGGGCUUUUAUUGUAUUGCAAUCCCUUAGAUACUCGAAAGCACGAAAGCAGCUGCCAUCUUCUCCUUUCCGGGGUCUCCACAGUUGAUGAAUAGGGCACUGUAAUACCCCAAAAUUUACCUUCAUUUUUCCUGAAAAAAACAAAAAAAAACAAAAAAAAAAACAAAAAAAA
rnacentral:lncRNA from 1 species